rnacentral:lncRNA from 1 species
AUAAUUUUAAAUAACAUUUGGAUCACCUUUUUCUUAAUUUAGAGACUUUUAAGACACUUUGGAGAUGAAAGACUCGUAUGUAGUUUUUCCCAAAAUCUUCUUCGAAAUUUCCUCCCAUGAGCAUUCAACAAGAAGUGACACCUCCUGUUGCAUGAACUCCAUAACAGUGGACAAGGGAAUUUGACAAAUGUAAAACGGGAAAAAGAUAGAGUUGAUGAAAAUUUCACUGAGCGCUCCAGAGCAUCAUUGAACACUACUUUUCCUUCUCCUUCACCCCUUUUAUUUUUGGCUUCAUUUUAUAUUCUCUUGCAACUUUUCUUCUCGCAAUUCCCUUGCCCACCGUCAGUCACCCAUCUCUCAGAAUAUGUUGACAGUAGCUUGGCUCAAGCCAAACCUAAGCAGGUGGUACCACACACGUUCACAUGAAAAGAGUCAAAAUAUGUAUGUUAUUGAUAGAUUAUAUAUGCUAACUAGUUAUUGCAAGUGAGUGCAAUGAUAUUUGUCACCCAUUACAUCAUAAUAGGUUAGUGUAUAUAAGUUCAAAGUUAAAAUUUAAUGAUGUAAAUCCGUCACCCUCGUCUACUUAGCAUGUGCUCACCUAAUGGUCUCAUAUGGUUGGGUUACGACUGACUUUACUAAUUAGACAUUUUAUGGCUUGAUUUAAUAAUUUUGCAAAUCACAACUCAUUCUUCUCACCUACUUUUACAUAUAGUUGAAUUGCAACCUACCUCAUUUCUAUUAAGUUGGACGCACUAUGCACAUGUCAAUGAAUUUUAGCCUUACAUUAUACAAACCUAUUACUCCCACUUAGUUGGCCCAAGUUCUAUAUACAAUCACAUGAUGGUUUUAGGUUUCUUCCAUUAGAGCUACAAUCAACAAUAUCUUACACAUGAUUGAAUCUAUUCAAGUUGGAUGACUUGUCAUUUUAGCACUAGCUUAUCACUUUGUGUAGUCAAAUGACCUAAUUAGCCAUCACAUGCUAGUAAAAUUCAACUUGAUUACAUAACUUCUUAGCUUACAAAUCAUGGCUAAAUUUUGAAGGUUUUAUAUAUGGAUCACAUUUCUAUAUUACACUCCUAACUUUUUGUGUAGUGUUAGCUCACAAAACAUUCAAAUUUAAUGUCGUAAGAUUUAAAUAAAGUAGAGAGAUGCCCCUUGUAUUGGUCAACAAACGAAUCCCCUUUAGAAUUAUAUAUAUAUAUAUAAUAGGUAGAAUUGUCUUGGGAGGAAUAAUAAUGAAUUAGCUAAGUAUAAAAUUAUAAAUAGAUGUUUGAUUGGCUCCAAGCCAAUGAGUGGUGUUAAGACAUUAAUGCCUAUAUCUAUUUUUCUUUGUGUGGUCUAAGAAUUUUGUUUUAUAAAAUUUGGGAACAAUAUUGAUUAAUUAAAUAUACCAAAUCCAAAGAUGCUCUAUUUCUCCUCCAACAUUAAUAAUUAAUAAUUAAACAUCCAAAACCAAAAACUUUACCAUUUUAAAAUUAAUUUAUGAGAUUUUUUUUGUUCUUAUUGUUAUAAAAUAAUAUUUUACAUAAAGCUUGCUUACAAAAUAUAAUGUUGGGCAUUUCAAUUUUACAAAAUAUAACAAUAAUUUUAAUAACUUCCAUUUUUUUUUCUCUUUUCAUCCAACAAGUGGAUUUAGGAGAAUUAAAAAAAAAAAAUCAAACUUUUGAAUUGCAGUGACUCUUUUCAACAAUUUAGUCUCAAUUAUCAUGUUAUGAUUUGUAUAAAGUUUUUAAAAUGUAAUUUCAAAUCAUUAAUUUUUCCAUCCACCACAGUAUUUGAUAGGAUGUUUUUAUAGAUAAACUGACAAUAUACUUAUUUAUUAUUUAUUUUUUGAAGCAAAUGGCAAUAUAUACCUGAAAAUAUAGACAAUAACUAAUAUGGGUGCAAUUGCAAGUCACUUCAAUUUCCUAUGUAAUAUUUUGAAUAGAUUGUUCUUUUUAUAAAUUAAAGUGAGACUAAAUCGAAAAGAACUAAGUUAUGUGAACCAAAAUGCUAAAAGUGAUAAAGUAGAUGAACGAAUAAGAAUCCUCUUAACUCAUGCAACUUUAUUCUUUUCUUAGUAAAUAGAAUCUAAGUUUAGUUAUAAUAUAUCUUAUAUUUGUACAGGAGAAUAACGAGAAGGGUUCUUUUUUUUUUUUUGUUAGUGUAAACAUUUGGAAAUUUUAUUUCAAAUAAAAAAGAGUAGUUUGUAGGGUGAAGAAAAGAGAUAGAAAUGAAAAAAAAAAAAAAAAAAGUUGAAACCAUCCAAGCAAGGAAUUAUCCAAAAAUAUAUAUAUAUACAAAUACAUAUUCACAAAAAUUAUUUGAAUUUGUUAAUGAUUAAGAUAAAAAUGCUAAUGAUUAGGUGACAUUAAUAGCCAUCAUUUAUCUCAUGGUAAUAAAACAAAUAAUUUAAAUUCUCUUUUAAAAAAAUAAAAAAAUAAGUUUUAAUUUGGCAGUUAAUGGACUGACUAAAGAUAACCAAAUAUUUUUCUUUAAAGAAAUCAGGAGUAAAAUUACCUAUUUAUGGAAAACCUAAAUAAUUUUUCUUUAAUUCAAAGUAAAUUUAUGUCUGUCGAAUUUUGAAAAAGGAAUUUAAGAAAUUCAUAAAUUAUAAACUUUGAGUUGAAAAACUAAUUGUAAUAUUAAAAGCAAAAUAUGUAACAUUGAUCAAUUAGAGUAAAACAAAUGGUAGAAUGCGUACAAAAAGAGAGAGAAAAGAAAAAGGAACUUUGAUAGAGGAAGGGAUGAUCAUCAGAAACAGCAUGAGAGGGUAAUGAAGGUACUGGCAGUAUAGAAUUUAGAAUUUACAAGUGCAGUUUUUUUAAUGAAGGGGUUUUUUUCUUUUAAACAUCAUGAGUCAAGAUUUGUUUUUGUAAUUUUUUUAGAAAAAAAGAAUUCACAAAGAACUGAAUCUUGUGUGUUUGUGAUGAAGCAGAAAGAAAUAGAGAAGGUGAAGUGAAGCUAAGGUUUUGUUAAGUCAAGGCAAAAACCCCAAACCCCUGUUGUUGUUGUUGUUGUUGAUGUUAUCUUCCACUUCCUCCUCCUCGUUGUUGUGAGCACCGCCGCCUUGUACAUCCGCCGGAAACUGGCCGCACUUCUGACAUCUGGCCACUACCAGUAUCUGACGGCAAGAAGGGCAGGAGGAGUGGGUACCUAGCCACGUGUCUACGCAACUGACGUGGAAGCAAUGCCCGCACUGCGGCAACUGUCGGAUCUCCUCCCCCUCCAAGAACUCCGCCAGGCAGAUCGCACAUUCCGCCGCUAUUUUCCCAUCUCCCACCGUUGACUUGUACCUGAAUUUCGGAAGCGACUGCAGUAUCUUCUUCUUCAGUCCUCUAUUCGCCGACGCCUGAUUUCCACGGCGGAGCCAGGCGCACCGAGCCACCGCUAUCAACCCUACCAUACAAAUUAGGGCACAGAGCAAAGCCGCGAGAAUGACCACGAAGUCCGACUCCAAGGCCACCGCUUCCGGUGGAGGCGCCGACGAAGUAUUUGCGGUGAGAGCUCUGAUAUAGGGAGACAUGAGACAGAGGGUUGAGAAGAGAAGGGAUUGGGGUUUGGGGAUUGAGGAUGGAGCAGUGAGUGCAAGUAAUAUUGUGUUGAGGGUUUCUUUCUUUCUUUCUUUUGAGGGAAAAGAAGAAACUGUAGAGUGUUUUUGUUGUUAGAAGGGAAAGAGGAGAAGAGGACAACUUGGGAGGUGGGGCCACUCCAUACUUUGGUUCUUUUUUCUUUCUUCUUUUCUUCAAAAGGGUUCUGUGUUGUGCUUAUCUUUUCUUUAAAACUCACUUCAACCUUCUGAAUUCCUUCUAUGUAGGUGCCAUGUAAAAUGUAAUGGACCGAUAUUCUAAUUACUGCCGGAAGUUUGACAUGCCAUUGCCAAAGAGAAUGUGAUCUACUACAAUGCCCACAAGAUUAAAAAAGGCAGUUUAGAAGUUGCUACUGCUAAAUACCUCCAUUAUAUAAAAUCAUGUAAAUAUGUCUUUCUUUUCUUCUCUAUACAUACAUAUUCUUCAUAAAAUGACAACAAAUUCAACAUUUGCAACUUUCCUACCAAACCAAGACUUGAUGCUUUAUGGUACAUUCAUAUUUUCUUUUUAUUUUCUUAGUGGUGAUCCCAAUCAAAACUAGAUCAUAUGUGCAAACAAAUUCUCAACACCUCUACAAACUCUCAGCUAUGGCCACCAAGCUUAUUUAUCCUAGUGUUGCAGGCUUUAUAAAUGAGAACUCAUCUCCUUCUUUAGUUUGAAUUGUACUGUGGGGUUGCUCUGUUUCAGCGAUUUGUUGUAUUUCAUCUCCAUCUUUUACAUCAACAUUAAUCGAUUCACUUGUUGACGCUUGUGUAGGUGUUGCUAAUGGAUCCCCCUCGUAAUCAGAUGACUCAAGGUCCUCAUACGUAGGCACACGUAUGGAGUGUCCUGUAGUUUUAAACCGUCGCAAUGAGUGUAGAGGUGAAGCAUUUGAACUACCUCCGAGGGUUUUAGUUGCUGAGGCUCGUUUAGCCCGCUUCUUCUUGGCCGUUUCCUGCCAUUUCAUGAGUGCCUUUGAUGUCUGUUCAUCAAAGAUGGACCUCUUCAUACCUGAACCCAUCUGCAUUAACCCGUAAACGCCAUCAUGCGACCAACCUUAUGCCUCAUAACAGUAUGAUUGAGUUGGAAAGAAUAGAAGAAGAGAAGAUAACGUAUAUACCUGAUUUACAAGGGCGUAUAUUGGAAGCGUAACAUAGCUGCAUAGAAAUAAUGCUACUACCCUACGAAACCAUAAGCAGAUCCAAACCUUGUGGUAAAAAAGCUCUUUAUAGAAGACAAGAUAAUUGAAGCGUUCAUGGAAGAAAGACUAACUUACCCUAAACCAACUUUUAUAAUUGUAAGGAUGUGACCAUCAAAGAAGCAAGAAUUCAGGCCAAAAGAAUACUGCACAAGCAACCACAUCGUUUAUUGUAGCUUAUGCAUUACACAAACUUGUAAUUGUAUAGAGUCAAAAGAGAGUAUGUUUUGAUUGUCACCUUCAUUAUUGUCUCAUCAGAUAGUUAUUUAUAUUCACAUUGUAUGUGCCUUUAAACAUGACUAAUUAAGACUGUAAUGUUAAUAAGAAACUUCUCAAAGUUCAUGAACCAUAAAUAAAACUUAAUUCCUGGUCAAGGGGUUGAUAUAAAUAAUGGUUAAGAAGAAUACCAGUGUAGACAAAAUAUAGGUGGUCUGGAAUGCAUUCUGCAUGUACCAAAUGAACAAAUGAUCAGAUCAACACCAAAACACACCUUUCUCUAGAUAUAGUCUGAACUGUAACAACUCCUAACCUUAUGUGCUACAUAUGAGAAGUUCCUGUUACCUGAAAUAAAGAAAAAUGCAUGAGAUGAAGAAUCAGUUGAGGGCGGCCGAACCAGAAAUACUUGUCGGAUCCUUGCACGAGUGGAAUUCCCUGGACCACUGCAUGUUUCUCAGAGAUUUCAAGAGCCAUUCUAGUCAAAAUGGCUUGAAGUUUUGAUCCAACGGCUAAGAUUAUCUGUGUGAGGUUAAAACAGACAUCGUCGUAUAAUAACUAACUAGCCAAUCUGGUGAAUUUCACCUCAAGAAAGAGAUUUUCCUUACAAGCAGAGGGAUAAAUGAUGCCCAGAACAAUGUAUGCCAUCCUGAAAAAUGAAAAAGUCUUCUUUAUAAUCAAACUUAUCAAACUGUUCGUGAAGUCAAAAUCAUUAGUUAAAAAUAAAGUUAUCUUACCAGAUAAAUUAAGGAGCAGGAAGAUCACAAAUGACGACCAUAGAAAAGGACUGCCAACAAAAUCAUUAAAAAAGAGAAGUUGAAUCGGCAUAACAAGUUAAAAGAAUUUAGAUGACAGAUUAUUACCUCACACCGACGACUACCUUGAAGUCAUCUUCUAAUGACCUUUUGAUAUAUCUCUGGAAGUUAAAUUUACUUCCAGGUGCUAAAUGAACCUACAAGAGUAUUACAUCACUUUCAAAAAUUUGAAGCUGCGAUCAAUCUAGUGCUUUGCAAUCGAGAAGAUGAGAACUCACUGUUAUGAAUCCAUUGCGUAGCGUCAAGUAAUCAGCCUUACUAACAGACCCAUAAAAUUGCCUGAAGAAGCAACUCUGCAACAUAAAAUCAAAUCUGAGUUAUUUCAUUUUCCCUCCGGUGACUUCAAAUUUCUAUUUGUUGAUGGAAUGUCAAGCUCUCAAAUUCAUAUAAUUGUUAAUGAAAAUCUUGGCAAAUAUAGACAUUAAUAGAAAUUUAGAGAAACUUCUCGUACAAUAUAGAAGAAGAAAGGAAGACGUGUCCAAAAGCUGGUGUGUGCUUUCACAAAAGAUGUCUCGUGAGUAAGCCUAAAUCUUGCAGGAUCUGUACAAAGAAGAAUAACCAAUUUUGGAUCAACAAACAUGUGAAGCUACAAAGUUCAUGCUAAGGAAUUGACAAAUAAACUCUGAUUUGAACCCAUGAGAUAAAAGAAUCACAGUUCAACAAGCGUAAAAUGACAGACCGUUGAAAAACUCAUAGUUAUGCGUUGAAGUUUCCUGCUCCCACUCCUUCCAGCCUCGAAUCUGAGCAGAAACACUUCUGUAAAUAACAAAGCGAUAAAGUAGGCCGAAAUUCACACGGCAAUGAUCCCAAAAGUUAACUACUUGACAUAACUAAGACCAAUUGUCAGACUGGUCAUUUUUCCUGAUUUACUCUAAGUCAUGGCUCAUAUGCUGCAUUUUGCUUUAUAUGGGAUUCAACGCAAAGCACAAUAAUAUGCUAAGUUGAAUUGAAUUAAAGAAAUUCUAGCAAGCUUGCCAUUCCCCAACAGAUAAAAAGUUCUUUCUUUUUUAAGAACGCCUAACAAUUCAAUAUAAAUAUUAUGCAAGGAGAACGAUGUAUUAACACAAUCGCCCCUAAUACUGAUUGCCCAACUGUAGUAACAUAUUAUGUAUUGUUUACAGCGCUUUAGCUAUUGAAAAGAAUUGAUUCAAGUAGUUGCAUGCAAGACUUAAAAUAAAACCAAAACAUAACUUUACCUUUAUCCUUCCAAGUGUCAUUGUGAUAACACUAAAGAGCACAUGAAACACAGCUAAGAAGAAAAUGAGAAUAUGCAACUGAUGCAAUCCAUCAAUGGAUAUAAGAGACACCUUACCCUGUUUGAAAGAAUGAGCAAUGUUAUAGACCUUCCACUAUUUAGCAACACUUAAGUUUGUAAAACAAAGGGUAAGAAGCAUGAGACAGUGGUCUUACAUCCUCACACGAGACAACAUUGUGACCUCCAGCCAAUGAUCUUCGAAUUAGCCAUUGUAGUCUCCGGUGAUGUUCGUCUUCAUCGGUUGAGGCAUUUUUCUCUUCACGGCGACAGGGCAACAUGGAGUUUGCAAUGGCCGGAGGAAUACAAAUUUGGACAAUAUAUGCUUGAGCAAAAGUCAGAAGCAGGGAGAUGAAACCCAAAAUCAUCAACUCUGCAAAAAUUUUAUGGAAUGUCAAUCGCCAUCUCUUGGUUUUUUUUCUUUUUUCUCUCGUAUUCAGAAAGUUUGAUUAAAUGUUUGAUGUACGAAUAUUGUAAUACCCACCAGCCUUAACCUUCUCCAGAGCUUCAUACAGAGAACUCUUGUGCUUUUUUGUCAACCACUAGAGGAACAACAAAUACAAUCAGAAAUGAAUGGCCUAAUUGCCAACAGAACAAAUGGGUGGAUUUGGGCUAUGAAAUUGUUUUCUUAUUUAAUAAAAAAAUAAUAAAGUACACAAGUAUUGCUCGUACUUUUACACCCAAAAGCUUACAAAUAUAAUAUUAUAUCCUCGUUGAGACAAGUGAAAAUCAAAACUAAUCGAGAAAGAAAUAACAUAAAAAAAGUCAAUGAAUUACCGUUCCAAGUUUGUGAAUAACAUUUUCCAAGACAAUGGAAAUAAGAACGAAAAAGAAGCAAACAGCAGCAACAGCCCAGGUGGGUGUGUUAUCGAGAUCCCUGGAGUGGGAACCGCCGUCUCCACCGGACGCGGCGGCGCCAGUCAAUAAAAGGCAGAAGCAAAGACAAAAAACAGACAUAAGAAAGAAGAAGAAGAAGAAGAAGAAGAAGAAGAAGAAAAGGAAUAAAUUUUGGAAAAGUAAAGUGAAGUAGUAAUCAAAGGUGUGUAAAAUGAGGGAUGAAGUUCAACAUUAUUGAAUUGGAUGACCCAAUGGGUGGGACGAUGGAUCCCACCAUCCAUGUGUGAUUAUUUAAUAAUGAGAUGAGAGGUUCCAAUUCAAAUAUUUUAAAACUGCACGUUAAAACUCUAAAAAACAAAGGUUACACAGAUAAAUAAACGGAUCUGCACGCCACCAACGCCAAUUAUACUAUCACUCCAAGUCCAUCCAAUUAAAUGGGCCAUUUUUUUCUGAACAAUAAUUGCAAAGGAAAGACGACGAUGAGAUGUCCAGAGGUUUUGGAGGGGAGACCUCCACAUACCACAUUCUAAUAGAGUAACAGAUAAGAAAAAAAAGGUGGGGCGGGUCCAUUUUGUUUUGUAGCGGGGACGGCUUUAGCUUUGUGAGUUCAUUUAAUCCCAAAUGAAAGAGCUAUCAGCUAUGGGUGUGCCAUAAAAGUCACAAGUCUGAGUUUAUAGUGAUCCAUUUUGCAGUUCCGGUGGCGGAGCCUUCCUUACCUUUCCCCCCUCUUUUUAUUACUCCUCUCCGCCCUCCAGGUUCGCCAUUUUCUGCAUUCCCCACCCCCCAUCCUCUCCUGUUUUUAUUUUAUUUUUUGAUACACACCUACUACUCAAUGCUCAACCAUCAUUAACAUCAUCUUCUUCUUAGUUUACACAUUAAUUCAAACUUUUCUUAUCUUGAAAAAAGAAAACCAAAUCCACUCUGCUUAGUUAAUUACUUCUUUUCUUUUUCAUAUUCAAAUCUACUCUAAUAUUCAAGGUAUGUGAAAUUGUAAGUCAUUUCUUUUAAAUACCAAAGAUCUUAUAUACAAAAUUACAUUUCUUUUUUCUUCUAAUGUUAAUAUUCCAAGCAGACCUAAUUUGGGAGAUUUUUAACAAAAACUGUUCUUCAGUUCAGCUGGAUAAACUUAUAAUUCUUUCUUUUAUGAUUGUUUUUCAAGGAAAUUUUGUAUCUAAUAGUUGAUGAACUUUAAAGUCUAAUAGAUGAUAUGAAGAGCCUCAACGUUGAUAGCUAAAUUCGUAAGUUAACCAAAGUUAGAAAGAUAAUUAGAAAAUUAACAAAAAUAGUACCUUUCUUGUUUCAUAUUUUAAAAGUAUAGCAUCCUUUGAGAAAAUUUAUUUUUUUUCCAUUCCAAGAUUCUUUUCCAAUUGAUCUAAUUCUUCCAAGGAUUUAUCACAAGUCCAUCGUCGAAAUUGAACUAUAUAAUGCUUACAUAGUAUGAUUUCAUAGCAACUUUGCCUUCGUUCAUUGAUUAUGCAAUAUUAAUUUGUGUAUUAAUUAAAAAAAGUCAACGUUUUUGUAUGAUCUCAAAUCAAAUAAAACUUUAGAACACAUAAAUCCUAACAAAGAUUCUCGUAGCAAAUUUGAUCGGAGAAGAGUUGGCUUCAAUUUCAAAUCUUUAACAGAAAAACUAACUCUCUAGAUGCAUUUCACUUAGAGAAACUCUUUAAUGGUGAGAAAAACAAAAUUAAAAGUUCUUACAAUCCUGAUAUUUUGAAAUAUAAAACAAAAAAAAAAGAUGGUUUCCUCAAUCUUUCAAUAAAGUUUUCUUUUUUACAAAAAUAUCACAAUAAUAUAGGGAGUAGGGACCGCGUUUUUCACAUGGUGGCUUCGCUGGGCCCUUUUUGUAUAAUAAUUAAUUCCUUUCCACAUAUACAUACAUAUAGACAUGUAUGACAAAUAAAUAUAUAUAACAAAUUAAAUCAAACUAGGGGGCUGUAAAAUCUUUUUUCUUCAACCUAGCUAGUUCAUGAGUUUUAAUUAAAAACUUUAACUCCAAAUCUAUUAUGAUAAUGUGAGAAGUGAUUCUAAACAACUCAAUAGAUUCUAGGCACUAAUUGACAAAAAUGUUCAUAUCUCAGUUUGUUAAAAGUAUCAAUAACGACAUAUCAACUUUCAGGACAAUAUAAUUGAUAUAUACUUUAUAAAUUUAUUAAACAUUUAGAAAUCUGUAGGAAUCAAGUAAAUUAAAAACUAACUUUGUAUUGUGUUUUAUAUAUUUUGAAUGGAAGGAAUUAAGGUAGGUUAAGGAAUUAGAGAUGGGGUUGUUGUCUUUAUUGGAGGUGGCAUCCAUGCCCAAUAUACAACUCCUCCUUAUUUCUUUAUUGGGAGCUUUCUUAGCCACUGAUUAUUGCAACAUUCUUCCUCCCCAUGCUACAAAGUCUCUUAAUAAGGUAUCAUUAUUAUUAUUUCAUUCUAUAUUAACUCAUUCCAUUGUAUAUAUGUAUGUAUAUAUAUUCUGAUUAAUUGUUUUGUUAUUACUGCAUGUGCAGAUUGUGUUUGCUGUUUUCACCCCUUGUCUCAUGUUUGCAAAUUUGUCCAAAACGGUCACCUUUCAGGACAUUAUUUCAUUGUAAGUUAAUAAACUUUUCCUUUUGUUAAAUUUAAUAUAAUAUAUGAAGCUAUUUAAUGUUGAUGUAUAUAUAGGUGGUUCAUGCCUGUGAAUAUUGGAUUUACGUUCUUAUUUGGAGGAAUGUUGGGAUGGACAAUUGUGAAAAUUUUGAAACCAAAGCCAUAUCUUGAAGGCCUUAUCGUUGCUUCAUCUGCUACUGGUGAGUGAGAUAUAUAGUCGUCUUAAGAAUGGAUUAAUUAGUGAAUUAAUAUAUAUCAUACAAACAUACAUAGGGAACUUGGGAAACCUUCUUCUGAUAAUCAUCCCAGCCAUUUGUGGGGAUGAGGGGAAUCCUUUUGGGGAUCGUGAAACCUGUACUUCUCGUGGAUUGUCUUAUGCAUCGUUUUCCAUGGCGGUACGUAAUUAUGAAUGUAUGUAUUAUUAUUCCUGAAAAUGAAUGAAUGAAUUAAAUUAAAGAUUAUUAUGCAUUAUUGUAUGCAGUUAGGGGGAUUUUACAUAUGGACAUACAGUUACCAUGUAGUGAAAACAUCCUCAUUACGCUUCAAACAACUUGAAGUUCCACAUGAUGAUUCCCAGUUGCACACUCAUCUUCUGCCUCAGAAACCUGAUCAAGGACAACCACAAGAUUCUUAUCUUCCCUCUACCAACAACAACACACUCAAAUCAGAUCAGGUAAUUAGUUAAUUUAAAUUGAUCUGAUAGGUGAUUGGUUUAACUUAUUUUUGAAUAACUGAUCUCUCAUGCAGAUUGAAUCUCAAUUAUUAUUAGAAGAUGGUGGAAGCGUGGUACCCAUUUCAGAGAAACAAUAUUCAGAUGAUGUGAUAUCAUCAAAAGGAUCAAGAUUAUUAAUAUUAUGGGGUAAAUUACAACAUUUGCUUCGCUCUAUUGUCAAGGAGUUGAUGGAGCCACCCACUUUAGGAGCUGUAAGUUUAUUACUUACAUAUAUAUAUGUAUAUUAAUUCUCUUUUGAUCAUCUAUUAAUACUAAAACUGCAACAAAUAAAAUGGAAUUGUUUUGUUUUGUUUUGUGUAAUUAAUAAAUAUAAUUAGAUUGUUGGAUUCAUUUUUGGAGCGGUGACAUGGCUGAGACAUUUGGUGAUUGGGGAGAGUGCUCCAUUGCGAGUAGUCCAGGACGCUGUCAAACUACUGGGGUAAUACUAAUAUGUAUAUGAUAUAUAUAUUAUUGUUCUUGGAAAUAAUUGUUAAUGAUGAAUAUAUAAGAAAAAUGAAUGCAUGCAGCGAUGGAACGAUCCCAAGCACAACGUUGAUCCUGGGCGCCAACCUAAGACAAGGGAUACAAUCGUCACAAACAUCAGUGCAACCAGUGAUCAUCCUAGCCUUAAUCCUCUCUCGAUAUGUUGUUCUCCCUGCAAUCGGAAUAGCCAUUGUGAAAGCAGCAAUGUGGUUGGGGUUUCUGCCACCGGACCCAAUGUACCAUUUCUUGUUGAUGGUUCAAUACACGCUCCCACCAGCCAUGUCCAUCGGCAUUAUGACUGAGCUCUUUGGCGUUGGUCAACAAGAAUGCUCUGUUAUUAUGUUUUGGACAUAUUCAGCUGCUCUCCUUGCGCUCGCGCUUUGGUAUACACUCUUCAUGUGGAUUUUAUCUACUUAAUUCUUAUUUUGAUUCCAGAUACAAAUUAUAAGUCGUCCAACAAAAUAGAAGGGCAUUAUAUUGUGUGUGUGUGUGUGUAUAUGUUAGAGGGCAUGCAAGGCCUACCUAUUAAUUAAUUUGGAGUAUGUAAUUUGUAGAAAGUAUCUUCUUUUCAGUUUAUUUUUACCUUUCCCACAACUUUUUCUAUAUACCUAAAAGUAUUUGAUAUAUACUCUAUAUCUUCCUUCUCACAUCACAUCAUCUUUUCCUUGUCUUAUCUUAUUACCUAUCAUUAUUAGACUCUCUUACUUGAUACUAAUUCAGUUCUUAAUUAUUUCAUUCUUUCUUUUAUUAAACUAGUGUAGAUAAUUAAUAAUGCUUUUGAAUUUGGAGAUAAUGCUUUACUACCCCAAAUAUAUCAUUCUAUCGGAUUUCAUAUGUCUGGCUAGGGUUUGGCUUGCCUUGAUCAUCAAGGCUAAGCAUCUCCUCCUAGACCAACUACAUAUGUGCCUUGGACAUGCUUCAUUCACUUUUCGUUAGGGUUGGCCAAGGUAAAGGCCAAACAUAUAUACAUUUUGGACUUUCAACUUGUUUGCUUUGGGCUACGGUCCUAUUCUUCUGUUCAAGUUAGUUAUUGAAAAAUUGCAAAGAUGACUAUUUUAAGGAUAUAACAACAUUUUUUAAAAAUUGCAAAUAUAGCAAAACUAUCACUAAUAAACUUGUAUCGUUGAUAAACUUUAUAUGGUAUAUCAGUGAUAGACCAAUAUUUGACUUAUAUCAUUGAUAGAAUUUGACAAAUUUUGCUAUAUUUGUAAAUUUUUUAAGAUUGUGCUAUAUACUUAAUUAAUUUGAAUUUAAUUGCUAAAUUUGCAACUGUCCCUUUUUUAUUCUCUCCAUUUUACUCCGAUUCUUAUUUUAUAUCUAGCCAUUAUACUUUUCCAUUUAAAAUUAUUAACAAAUGAAAACAACUUCAACCCUAAACUAAAAAGUUUUCCAACACAUAUAUAUGAGUAGGAGACUUGCUCUCUUUAUCUAGACAAAACACUAAACUUAAUUAUUCAACUAUACAUCAUUGUAGAGUAAAGGAGUAAAAGUCUAAAAGUUGGGAUCUUGAUUUGACACAUGCAUCUGCUUGUAACUUAAAUAGCAUACCAAUAUCUUCAAUGUUUCGAUAAUUGAAAAGACUAUAAUAUUGUUAAAUAAUUGAGGUAUAUGAUAAUACACCAAAAGAUUUUGUUUGAUUUUUUUUAAAAAUAAUAGAUUUUUUAUCAACUACCUUUAAAAGAGAUUUUUAUAAAUAUUAAGUUAUCGUUUAAAAAAAAAUUCUCAAAAAACAUGCUCAGCUUCAGGAACAGCUUAGAAGUAUAACUAGACCAACUUCCUUGAGCAAAGAAUCUUUGGAACCUGGGCAUUUUGGAAACGUGAGAAGAACAUAUAGAGACAAACUUGAGUUGGCACCAUAUCCUAUUGAUGGGGAGUGGCUACCAAAAAGUGCUGUGUACGCGCUUGUGGAUCUUAUGGUUGUUAUCUUUAGCCGGCCUAAAGGUCUCUUCAAAGAGUGCACAAAACGAAUUUUAUCUGGAAUGCUUACUAUACAAGGUAAAUAUUUUAGAAUGUUCACACCUUAACAACUACGAAACUGAAUAUACAUUUGUCCUAGAUUAACUGAUGUAGCCUAAAGAAUAAAAUGAGAGAAAUCUCCUAGAAUAAAGUCAAAAUCAGCCGCCUGGUGUACUUUGACAAAGGAGUUUAGCGCCUAUACUAUUCAAGACUUGUGUUUGAACUGGCCAGCCUUCACCACUUGAGUUUUUUGGCUUUUCUUUGUUCCAUUUCUCUGUUUUUUGUUUCCUAAUGUAUUUCUGUUUUACGUAGGAAUGUAUUUAUGAAUUUCUUUGGAUACUAGUUUCUUGAUUGGAAAUGAUAAGGUAGCUAACGACCUUACUUUUUUGAAAUGGAGACAAACCUAUUUAUUAAUAAUAAAUGAGACUAAUGCUCAAAGUACAAGAGUACUAAGAGCAAAAUAAGAAAAAGACAGUCAUCAAAGAUGAACCCAAACAAAACAUAUGGGAAAAAGACCAACAAACAAUCACAAAGUAGAAACAACAAAAGAACCAAAGCAACAAAGAGUUGAGACACUAGUUAAGAUCUUAAUACAAAGCAAAUAUAUAUACUUUCAUGAAAAGCACCCACUUCAGAUUGAAAUUUUGAAUACCACAUGCUUCAAUUCGAAAGGAGAAGGGAUCCAUCGGUUGCUUCAAUUAGAAAUUUUUGCUCUUUCUUGAAUAUGAGAGAAUUAGUUCUGAGUAAGUGGUCAAGAGACUAGAAUCAACACUUUAUCUGCAACCUUCAAACCUUACGAAGUACCUGAUUAUUGGACCAAAAGAUGGCUGAAAUCAGAUCUCGAAAGAAAACUAAUUUGCAUUUUUCUACUAUUGAGAAAUUAUCUUCAUUGACCUAGAUGAGAAGGAGGAAGGUUAUCAAAUUUUCAUUAAACCAAAAUGAUUUCACAAUCAUUGACUAAGGGCAGCAGAUCCUUAGGCAAUUCCAAGGGAACUUUGAUGGGAACAACACUGGCUUCAUCAAAUAGAAAAGAGAGAUCAGCCCCUUCAAUUUUUUCAUUAUUCUUGAUAUCAAAACCAUUUGUAAACCCUAGGGCCUCCUCACUACUGACACUAAAUGGGAACUCCAAGGUCUUGGAGGUCGGUUUGUCAAUGUCGGCACGACAAGGGGAGUCUUGCAACAAAUUAACUUUAGAGUUAAAAAUGGGGAGUUUUGAAUAUUUGAAAUGCUUGACAGGAGAGCCUGAGUUUAUGGACCUGGAAAGACGAUUAGAAGUUUGGAUUUUGGAGCUGCAAACCUCCAAAAGGUCAGGAUUGUUUGCUGAGAUAGAAUGCUUUGAAUUAUGCCGCCGAGAGGGGGCUGAAGCAAAAACUGAAGGAGAAGGAUCCUUGAAUUAUGCUUCCAAACUAAUUAGUCUUGUUGCAGAAACCAGAAACUGAAGCUGCGGAGGCCAUAAUAGGAAGUUGCCGUUGGUUGGAGGAAAAAAUGUAAUCUUUAAUUACUUUUGAGGAAAUCUCAUAAUUCUGCAUGAUAGUACUUAAAGGAGAUUUACCCUUUUUUCUUUCACUUCUGCAUGAUAGUACUUAAAGGAGAUUUACCCUUUUUUCUUUCACUACUUAGAUUUACAUCUGCCGAAUUAAUGGGAAGUUGGUUAAAAUCCAUGUGCCCUAGUUUCUUUUUAAUUCAAUUGUGACCAAUAAGGUUUUCAUUAAUUAGAAGUGGAGACUAUUCAGAUUCUCGCCCAUGGCUGCCACCUGUGUAAUUGAACCUUUCAUCUUCUCCAGCGUCAUACGGCUGGCCGGAAAAUGUUGCAGAGAUUGACAAGGGUUUCUACAUUUUGGUAAGGUUGCAAAAACUGAUCUUGGUACAUUAAGUACAAGUGGGAAGGAGGAGAGAUCACAUCCCUCAUCGAGCAAAGUUUCUCUUACCCUUAGUUGGUCAAUGGAGUUGCUGUAAACGUCUUGUACACUGGGAGAUUUUCUGGAAAACGGAGGGUUUGGAAACUCAAAAUCUCCAAAUGUAGAAAUAUGUUUUCCCUCUUUUGGUUAGAAAUUUCGAUCGUUAAAGGAACGAAUCCACACUGGUUUUUCUUGACCUUAAUACGAGCUUCACUACAAUUGGUAAAAUUAAGGGUUGGCUUUUUCUGAAUUUUCUGUUCAUUGUUUUACAGUUUUUUCUGGUCCCUUGUAAUAGGCUGAUUGUUAUUAGGUUGCUCCUCUGUUGGUUUUUGUGUUGAUGUUUUCUUUCUCGGGAUAUGAUGAUUGGCGUUAUGGAGGUGUCAACCUAGUUUAGAUGUCUGGGUGCGCCUUCUGGUCCUAUAGGUUCCCCCUUUCUUCUUUAUUGCUCUCUUUGUAUUAAUCUCUUAUACUUAGAGUUCUUAUUAAUAAAGAAGUUUUUGUCUCCGUUUCAAAAAAAGGGUUUCAGAGGCUAUUUCUAUGAAUCCUCCAAAAUGGUCUUUGAUUGUUUCGAAAAUACUUCUACACCAGAAAUCAAGAGGAAGGUUCUUCACUUUAAUCCAACCUCCAUAACCUUUCAACACCAAUGGCCUACUAUGUUUUGCACUGGCCCAUUUUUCAAAUUUUAGGUGGAAAUUGUCCCAUUCUUGCCAUCCUAGUUGAGAUGUUCGAGUGCAUCCCCUGACCCCUAAACCUCUUGUACUUUGAGUUCUGAAUAUCAAUAAAGAGGUUGUCUCCUUCUAAAAAAAUACUCAUGUACUUUGAGCUUUAGUCUCAUUAUCAUUAAUAAAGAAGCUUGUUUAUGUUUUAAAAAAAUAUCGAGGACAACAAGGUUUUAUCAAGUGCUUCCAAACUGAAUUGCAAAGUGGACAGCAUUCCGAUAAUGUACCUUUGUCUUCCUUUGUGUGGCUAUCUAGUUGAGAUGUUUGGGUGCACAUGCUGAUCUCAUAGGCUUAGAUCUUGUCUCUUCAUUUUACUCAACACUACUUUGUCUAUUCAUUUUCUUAAUGAAGAGGUUCAUUUUCCUUUUUUUUUCUAAAAAAAUCAUAACAUUUUGGUGACUUUCCUCUCUGCAAACUUCAGAAAGAUAUCAUUUUUUUUAAAAAGGAUACGAGUCUCACUAUUAUUAAUAUAAAUAAAGAGACAAAGCUCAAUGUACAUGAGGGUUAUACAAAGAGCAAUAGGGGGGAGGGAGGAUCAACGGGCGCACCCGGGCAUCUCAACUAGGUUGACACUCCCAUAGCGCCCUCAUCACAUUCAAAAAACGACAAUACAAGAAUCAAACAAAAAGCCACAAAUACAAGGGCAAACAAAAUGAUAAAAAUAAUCUGUCCAAAGCAAAAUCAUAAAUCAUAGGCAGCAGGCCGAGAACAAAGGCAUCAUUAAUAGUGGUUAUAGUGUUUUGCUAUCCUGCCUCUAACCUCAUAAAACUCGACACUGAGACCUGCAAGAAAUUUGUAAGUACAGCCAGUUUCCACAGUUUUUUUUAAUGCUUUUGAUCCUCUUUGACUUCCACUCAUACGUACCAAAGAGGUCAAGUUCUUGCCAAAUUCUUAAGAGUGAAAAUUCUGGGUAACUUAAUUACUUCCCUAUUGUAUAUCACCCAAUUCAAGGUUUGGCAUCCCACUUGGCAAACAAAGGAUUUUUUUAUCUCUGGUGCAAUUUUUUCUUUCAUAAUGUAACCAAUCUCUCCAUGUCCACGAAUAUACAUCUGAACACUUUGGGACCAACAAAGAAAAUUAUUCCCAUUAAGCUGGAUGGAGGUUAUUUGGAUGGUAGAACCGUUGGAAUGGAUUCAAUUGUUUAAAACUUUAGCAAUAGAUGACUUGUUAUCGGACAUUAUUGCUGGAAGUAGAGGAAAAACGAACUAAAACCCAAUAACCAGAGAACCAAAAGAAGGAAAGAAGGGAAAAGCUAGCCGCGAUAGCCUUGUUUGAUCUCUACCUCCGUCAAAAGGAAAGGUAUCAUCUUAGGCAAACCCAUCACUGAUUACACAAGUUUUUUCUGCCAUAUCUUUGUUCGUUACAUCAACCUCUCAUCUGUUCGUGUAGCUUUCAGAUCGACCGCCGACCUUUGGUGGGUCUCUACUAGGAGUUGUUUCCAAAUCCAUCGUCUGUUGUUUGUCUUAGCUCUGUUGCCUCAAAUUCUUGUGCACCCUCAAACCCGCAUAGUCCUCAUAUGCGCCGCUUCAUCCUACAAAUCCAUCUGCUGUGUUUAGAUUUGUUUAAAUCUAGAUUCGUCGUUGAUCCAUCUGCUUCAUCCUUCAUCGUUUCAGUCUAGAUUCAAUGAAGCCUCGACCUCUGAUCCGUUGGUGGCUUCACUUGCACCGAUCACCAUGGGUUUCAUUUGUCAGCACCACCAAACUCGUUGUUUGGUGUGUGCUUUUUUGUUCGUGCAUUAAAUUUUUCCCAGUUUGUAAAAGAUUAUCAUGUACCCUCUCAAUUAUUCUGAAUAUUCAAUAUAUUAUAUAAAAUGAUCAAAUCUGAAUUGAGAACCCUAUAAAAUCCAUGGAAAAAGAAAUUCUGGAAGAAGACUUGAGACAAUUCAAAACAACCGAGGCAAGAUAACUUUAUUGGGCAUGCUAAUCGGCUGGAAUCCCAAAUUUUCUUUUUGAAUUAAUGUCUUCUUGAAAAAACAUGUUUUCUGUCAUGCACUAAAAGAUGAGAUUAUUUUCAAAGAAGCUGCAAAUAAGUUAACGCCACAAUCAACUUACUUGCCAUGUUUCUACAAAGAAGAGAUCUUCGAACCAUAUACAGAAAAAUAAAUUAUUUGACUUUACAACUUCCAAUCUCCAUAUCCUUAACACUAGAGAAAUGAAAACGCAGAGGAAGGAGGCUAAGCAACAACUUACUAACCAGAGAAAGUAGUAAUGUUAACUGGAGAAUUCGGCAAAAGCAAUUGGAGAUACUGACUAAAGAGAGAGCGAGAAGAGAGAAGGGUGAGGAGAGAACAAACAUACCUCUAGAAUUCUUUUGAUUUAAAAUGCAAAUGAUAUUUUAUGUGCUCAUAUGAGUAUUAUAACAAUGUUGUAAAUAUCUUUUCAAGUUGUUUUUUAUUUUAUUUUAUCUUAAUAUUUUAAACAUUUUUGUUAUAUUGUUCUUUAUGGUCAUUUACCUUUUCCUACUUAGGUUACUCUUAUACACAUGUAUAUAUAUGUAUGUGUCUUCUGUGAACGGAAUAGAUUAUUUUGAUUCUCUCAAACCUUAGAGUUUUACCAUCACUUUCUUAUCAUCCCUCGAGAGUGAGAAUUAGCUACUAGUUGUUGGUAAGAGUCGAUUGACAAAUCAAUAACUUAGCAAAAAAUCAAGAGAAUGAAUUUAGGUGGCUCCUCAAUUAACUUGAUAUCGAAUGUUUUAUACAAUUUAGUUUUGGCCGGACUAUGAUUCACAGGCUCUACUUUUGUUUGUUUUCGGAACUCAAAUUUGCUCAUAGAAAUUUUUCUUGCAGAGGAAUUGGUGAAGCUUGGGAUAGCUGAUGGCGUAAGAGGUAACACUUGGAAGUUAGAAUACUAUCCAUACUUCUACUUCCCAAUGUUGAAUUUUGAUUGUUUCUUUUCAAUGCAUAUUUUGUGUGCAUGUAUAAAUGCAUAUUUUGUAAAAAGAAUGGGAAAAAGAUCCUUCCAUGGAAAUUGGUGACCGUUUAACUGGUGAAAUUGUUGGUUAAUUUCAAAUAUACUGUUGAGUUUAUACUUCAUGUCAUAUUUUCUUUGAGAAGAAAAGAGUUCUUAAACAAAAGGAACACUCAAUACAAAUCAAGAAAAUACAAAAUCAGUAAAUAUAAUAUAAUAAAGACAAAAAUGGGAAAUUGCUUUAAGUGACAAAAUUAUUGAACAUAUUCACAUAUAUAUCAAAAUGUCACGUCUAUCAGUCUAUCAACGAUAGACCGUGAAAUUUGCUAUAUUUGUAAAAGAAAUUGUUCAUUUUGCUCUAUUUGAAAACAACCCUACAAAAAAUAUAUAUUUAACAUAAAAGGAAGCAAUAUAUACUCCCCUUAUGUGACAACAAGAUAUCGUUUAUUGCAACCUCGUCAAUUGAACUGUUAAAUUGCCAUUUUAGGGGACCUUUAGUUAACACAUAACAAUUUUUUUUUUUUAACACAACAAUUUGUUCUAUUGUUGGGAAAGUAAGGAAUGCAGAUUACUCUAGCAGAAAUAUUCUCACACGCCCUCAUAUAUUCCUUCCUCUCGCCGGCCACUAACAAUUCUCUCCUUCCACCUCCGACGAUGGGCAGCACAACCGACAACGCUUCAUUGGGAUCCUUGUUCCUCUUUGAUAUAUUGCAAAGAUCUUCGUUGUGGGUCACCAUGGCCUCGUCGGUUCCACCUGUAUUCUAGAAUUCAGAGAAGUAUAUUUCUUAUACAUAUUGAGUCAGAGAAAAGUUACAUAUUUAUAUAGAGAAUAAAAUAAACCCUAGACACUAUGUACAAUUACAAUAAAGGACAUAGUUAUAACUAUAUAUCAUAACACUCCCCCCAAGCUGGAGCAAAUGUGUCGAUCAUGCCCAGCUUGUUGCACAGAUAGCUUAUCCUUGCUCCAUUUAAAGCUUUAGUCAAAAUAUCUCCUAAUUGUUCUCCAAUCUUUACGUAUCCGGUGGACACCAACCCAUCUUGGAUUUUCUCACGAAUGAAGUGACCAUCCACCUCAAUAUGUUUAGUUCGUUCAUGAAAUAUUGGAUUAGAUGCAAUGUGAAGUGCAACUUGAUUAUCACACCAUAAUUUAGCUAGCACUGUAAUACUAAAGCCUAUCUCAGAUAAUAAUUGGUGAACCCAUAUUAUUUCGCACACAGAUUGUGCCAUAGCUCGAUAUUCUGACUCAACACUCGAACGAGAAACAACAUUUUGUUUCUUACUCUUCCAUGAUACUAAGUUUCCACCUACAAAGACACAAUAUCCAGAAGUUGAUCUCUUAUCCUCACAAGAUUCUGCCCAAUCAGCAUCAGAAAAACAUUCAACUCUCGUAUGUCCAUGAUCUUUGUGAAAGAUCCCACAUCUAGGAGCAACUUUUGGAUAACACAAAAUCUGCUCUACUGCAGCCCAAUGAUCCAUUGUAGGGGAAGACAUGAACUGACUUACAACAGUUACAGAAUAAGCAAUGUUUGGUCGAGUUACUGUUAAAUAGUUCAACUUCCCAACUAAUCUCCUAUAUCUCCCAGGAUCUUUACAUAAUUCUCCUUCUUUAACAAGUUGCUGAUUGUAGAUUCAACAUGGUGGGUUGAGGUGUUGUAAAGGAAGUACAACCUUUUGUUCCGCUUUUGGGUUUGGACUUCUUUGGCAAGAUGGUUUUGAGAUCACCGUCUGCAUCUUUUUGCUAGUCUCUAGAUUUGAAUGGUUUCCUUUUGAGAGAGUUAUUUUGUUAUGCUUUGUAUUUAGUUCUCUUCGUUUUGUUUUAGUUUUAACUUCAUUUUUUCUGUUGGAUUUCGCCUUUUUAGCCUAUUCUUUGCUUUUUGUUUGUUUUGGUCGUUUUCCCUUGUUUUGGCUGAGAUCUUUUUUGGGCAGUUUGUUUGGUUGUUUUUGUCUUUUCUUGUUUUGCUCUUUGUAUAAUUCUCUUAUACUUUGAGCAUUAGUCUCAUUUUCCUUUAUUAAUAAAGAAACUUGUCUCCGUUUCAAAAAAACAAGUUGCUGAUUUGGCAUCAUAGGAGUGCCACUUGGUUUGGUUCCUAAUUUUCCUGUCUCGGACAAUAAAUCAAGUACAUAUUUUCGUUGAGACAAAUAAAUACCUUUCUUGCUUCUCAUCACUUCACUGUCAAAAAAAUAUUUCAAUUGGCCCAAAUCUUUUGUAUAAAACUGACCUUGAAGGAAAGUUUUGAGAGAUGAAAUACCCGAGCAUCAUUUCUAGUAAUAACAAUAUCAUCAACAUAUACAACUAGUAGAACUAUACCAUUAUCAGAUCGGCGAUAGAAAACUGAAUGAUCAGAUGUACUCUUCUGCAUACCAAAGCAUACAAGAGCUUAACUAAACUUACCAAACCACGCACGAGGACUCUGUUUCAAACCAUACAAAGAUUUUCGAAGGUGACAUACUUUAUCUCUCCCUCUGAGCAACAAACCCAGGUGGUUGCUCCAUAUAAACUGAUCACCAUGCAGAAAAGCAUUCUUAAUGUCAAGUUGAUGCAAAGGUCAUUUAUGGGUAGCAGCCAUGGAAAGAAAUAGGCGGAUGGAAGUUAAUUUGGCAACUGGAGAAAAUGUAUCUGAAUAAUCAGUUCCAUAGAUUUGAGCAUAACCUUUGGCAACAAGGUGACCUUCCUCACUCAGGUUUGUUCUAGCACUCAAGUAAUGGAACUCUUCAAUAUAAUGGAACUCUUCAAUAUAUUUGGCUAUCGUUUUAGUACCUUGGCGGCAAUUCUGGUACUGGUUAUAUAAAGCUUGUUCAUAAGUCGGAGGUAAGAACCAAGCCUUCAACAACUUCUUCAUCUUCUCCCAAGAACGGAUGGGCUGCUUCCCACAUCUUUGUCUAUUGAUCUCUAGCUGACCUUACCAUGCCAAAGCACCAGCUCUGAGUUUCAAGGCCACUAAGUGCAUCUUUUCUUGUUCAGAAGUAUCCAUGUAGUUGAAAAAAUUCUCAAUGUUCUUUUUUUUUUUGCAACGGAGACAAAAUUCUCAAUGUUCUUUAUCCAAUCUAAGUGCAUCUUCCUCCCGUUUGCCACUAUACGUUGGAAGAUCAAUCUUCAUCUUGUAAUCAUGAUGUACCUCUCUUCGUGCAUCAAACCUCCUAUUGUUUCGUCUCAUUCGCACUUCAUCAUUAUGGUUCCAUAGAUUUCCUUGUUCAUUGUUGCCCUUCGUACCAUCUUCUUGUAGUUCUUCCCAUACUUCUUGGUCCUCUUGAAUAUCUUCUUCAAGGUACUGUGGCGGGUCGUAACCGGGCCUUCCUCUUUGGGCGUGUCAUUGGUUGUGGAGGUUUUUGUAAUUCCUUCUUGCUCGUCGACCUCGUCUGUCACUGAAAUUAUAGUCGUUUGCCACAUUUGCUUCUUUUCGCGGCGGCGGCGGCAGCUCAUCCAUCCUUCUGUUCAGCAACUCGAAGUUCUCCAUCAUUCUAUCAAACUUGUUGUGAAGAUCUCCCAAGGAUUCCUCGACGGCCAGCAAGCGAACCGUUGAUGUCUCUGGAGAGAGGGCGGCGAUUUCCUCCACUUCUUCUUGCACACGAUCGUCCCCCGCGGCUGGGUUUAUUCCUCUCCGGCCAGCAAGGUUAGUUAUGAGAAAGUUGUUACAAAACAGUUAAGUAUUCUAACUGUUUUAACUACCAUGCAGUUUGGCUAACUCUUUAGACUAUCUCUGUUAUUAUUCUUAUUAUAUCAAUAUGUCUUUCCCUUAUUCACAGCAUCACAAUAGUCUCACUUAAAUAGAAGAAAGACCUAAAAUAGAAAGGGAAAAAAUCAUAUCGUAAUAAUCACAUUCUAAUUUCAGCAAAUAUAAUAACACUAAUUAAGGGAUAAAUCUAAAGUUGUAUACACUUCACAAUUUCAUGUUGUAACAAACUAAAAAACUCUAAUUAAUUAACUCUAUGAAACUUUGUUUUUAGCAGAAGUCAGUUUGCAGCACUCUGCCAUAUGGAUGGCUGGCGUUUAUUUAAUGCUCAUUAUGCAACUUCUUGAAAACAAAGUAGCCAUUGAGUUGACACGUUCUGAAUUUGUUGAGGCUCAAGAGGUAAGAACUAGGAAAGUUUACUUAUCUGUGAGUGUACUUUUUUUCAAUUGUCAUCCCUCUCUCACCCUCUAUUUGUGUCUUGUUGACUUAGUCUUUUCCUUUUCCUUGUGGUGUUCUAAAGGUUUUCGUGAUAUUCAGCACACACUUUUAUCCUCUUUUGCAAGAAGUAUCUCCAAAUGAUACAAGCUAAUGUUCGUUAGUUGUAUUUUGUUUGGUCGUUUUGCUGGAGUUUGUUCUGUAGCUUCAGAACUUUAUAACUAGGGUAUAUAUAUAUAUUACCAAAAUAAAUAAAUAAUAGAAACAACAAAGGUAUUAAAAUUGGUAUUAAAGUUUGGUUAUACCUCAUGGCCAGCAUCAUACUUCCUGUGACCUAAGAGCUUUGCAAAAGUUUCUUUUGCUCAAAAACAUUGUUUAGAUGUAAAUUUUUUUGAAAUAGAGACAAACUUCUUUAUUAAUAAUGAAACUUAAAGUACAAGAGAAUUAUACAAUGAGAGUAAAUAAAAAAAUCCUAUAAGAGGUAACCUUGGGGAUCAAGAGGCGCACUCGGACAUCUCAACUAGGUGGACACCCCCUAGCGCCAAUCAUCAUAUUCCAAAGAAACGAAACAAAACCAAACUAAAAUUAUUUGAUGUCCAGAUUAAUACAACAGAGUCGAGACAAAAGAAGCUAUCAGAAAAGAAAACAAUGCAAACCAGAGAAAACAUCUAACACCUGUGAAGGCCAAAACAAGAAAUACAUGAAAAUUCUAUGGCUAAAGUAAGAAAAAAAUGAACCAAUCCACCAAGACUUCAAAGCGUAGAAAGAGGCCUGCUGUAAGAAUCUUUCAAUCUGAAUAUUCUGCAGUCGAAAUCACCAACUAUAAUGCUGGUUGAGAGAGAAAAACAUCCCAGGCAUAUGUCUUGAAUGGAGUAAUUCUCAAAUUCCUUAUUUAAAGAACACCAAGCUGUAGCAUUACGUUAGGCAGACAAUUUCUGACCUUGGUCUUUCCUUAUCAUGAAAAAUCCAUUUGUUACGCUCGAGCCAUAAUUCCGUAAGGAGAGCUUUAGACCUGUUUACCCAUAUUAAAUGUGGUUUCUUAGAUAGAAAUGGACCCAUCAAAAGCUGAAGCACAUUUGAACUUAGGGACCCAUUAAAAACCCAAUCAGUUUUAAAGAUAGAGAAUAUGCUACCCCAGCAGAAGGAUGAAAAGGGACAGGUCAUAAAGAGAUGAAGAAGGUCCUCAUUAGCCUUCAUACAGAGAGGACGGGCUGAAGAAGAAGGUACUUGUUAGUUUAUUUCCUUUGCCAGAUUUCUGAACUGUUGAGGAACCCAAAAACCAUAAUCCACAUUAGAAUAUUAAUUCUCUGAGGACUGCUUGAAUUCCACAUAGCUUUAAAUAAGUGGUUAUCCAUCGGGGAGGCAGUUUGUAGAUAAACCCAAAGAGACUUAACAGUGUAAUGGCCUUGGUGGUCAAUGGACCAAUAUCUAUAAUCUUCAGAAUCUCACUUUUUCAGACAAGGGGAGGUAUAAUAAGGAUUAAAACUCUGCAAUUUCAUCUUCUUUCAAACAUCUUCUAAAAGAUAAGAACCAAGAUAAAGUUUCAAUGUCCCAAUGUGUUGCAACAGAGCCGUUGAGCAAUAGAGCAAUUCUAAAAAGCUUGGAAAAUUAAUCCUUGAGAGGGAUGACAUCAACUCAAAGAUCUAUCCAGAAUCCGAUUCUACAACCAUUGCCAAGUUUAAAUAAAGCUAGUGAUUCCACCGACCUCCACACUCUUGAAAUGCUUACCUAUGGACUCCUUAGGCUAUUACCAAACUUUUCCAUUGCAAACCAGUCAAAUGCCUCUUUGCCGUGGAUGCUUCUUUCUAUUUGCCUACAUAAAGCUGUCUUCCUUUUAAAGUUUCCACCCUCACUUAGCAAGCAAAGCAAUGUUAUGUACUUUAAUGCCACCUAAGUCGAGACCCCAUCCUUUAUUGAUAGUGUAACCUUGCUGCAAUUCACAAGUUGAUUGAUUUUACUGCCAGCAUAACCUUCCCAAAAGAAAUUCCUCAUAAUUUUCUCCAAAGAGGCAGCCACAUUUUUCGGGGAUAGAAAACAAAGAUUGAUAGUAUGUGGGGAGACUAGCCAAGACCGAAUUGGACAAAGUAUGUCUACCUCCUCUAGAAAUGUUAAAUUUUUUCCAUCUAUCUAAUUUUUUGUGAACUCGAUCAAUAACUGGUUGCCAAAACUCUUUUUGUCGAGGGUAGCCUUCCAAGGGGAGACCGAAAUAUAAAAAAGGUAACUUUUCUGCCUUGAAACCUAACCGGUUUGCUGUUUGAAACAAGACUUCCUCAACCACAUUGACACCGCUAAGAGCUGAUUUUACCCAAUUUACUUUCUGCUCCAAACACCAUUCGAAAAGCUUUGGCAGUGUUUAAAGUAGGAAAUGGCAGAAGAACAGCCUUCAGGUCAGAUCUGUGGGUGGUUAAAAUUCCUCUAAAAUUCGCAUUCCCACGUUUGUUCAGAAGUGCACGCAUUUCGGAAGGAUCUACUGCUGACCAUUGGGAUUUCUAUACUUCUUCUUGGUCUUUAACCUUCAUAAGAUUGCGGAAAGAAGAAGAAAUUAAUGAUUUUCAGGCUCUUUUUUCUUUGUUGGCAGGAAAAGAAUUACCGAGUGCCCCAGAUAAAAGAAUGUGGUCUUUGGAAACAAGCGGUGCCUUCUCUAUUAAAUCCCUUGUUAAUCACCUUUCUUCUGCUACACCCCUUGAAAAUUCACCGGAAGUUUGCAUCUGGAAAUCAAACAGCUCGUGAAGAGUGAAUAUUACUCUUUGGAUUAUGCUUUCUGGGAAUUUGAAUUGUGCUGCCGUUAUGCAAAGGAAACUCCCCUCGGUCCUUUAGGCCCCUCCAAACCCAGACAAAGGUAGGUUUCUCUCUCUUCUCUCUCCUCUCUCCUCCCCCUCUCCCAUCCUUCUCCUUCUCUAGCAGUCAAUAUCGACGACUCAAUUUUUCUUUUUCGUUCUCCUCCUAGCGUUUCUUAAUCCUUCAGUCAGAAGUUUUGAAAUGAUGGAAGUGAUAAGAUGUCGAAUCCUCCAAGCACACUGCUGUAUCUGGUUGGAAGAUGGAAAGUUCCAAGUAGAAGAUGUGGAAGCGCAAAGAAGGUUGUCAGUUUCAAAGGCACAGCUGAACCAUGAAAUCUAUAGCGGUCCUUAUGAGAGGUACAAAAGAUGGUUUCUUUCAUAAUUCUGGGGAUUUGGAUCGAGGAAGAAUGAAAGUGUCGAAAUUCUGGUCCAAAGUUGGAUGGAUGCUAUGCUGUGAUUUUUGGCCUUUGUCAAGUGGUCACUCCAACAUUCGAAUGCGUGCAGGGGAGGACAGGCAGAGGUGGUUAGAUUUCCAUAAAAUGUUAAAGAGUUUCCUGUCUAAGGUAGACUAUACAAGAUGGUUUGCAAAUACAAGGCCCACGUCUAAUUUUCCAUCUGAGAGCAAGAGUUUAAGCUACGCAGACAAGGUUAGGACGCUAAAAAGGUGUCAACCUAGUUGAGAUGUCCAAAUGUGUCCCCUGAUCCUUAGGUCUCUCUUUUGGUACUCUUAGUAUAUAACUUACUUUGAGUUUGAAUAUUAAUGAAGAGGUUCUCCUUUUCAAAAAGCAAAGGAAACUCCUCUCUCAUUGCUUAUUGCCUCAUAUCUGCCCCCUUUGUUUAAAUAAUCUGGAGGAUUUACAGCACCAUCCCUUUGAUUGUGACUAUGCUAAGAGAUGCUGUUUCAGAUUGCUUCAAACCUUUAAUCUAUCUUGGGUUUUUGGAAAUGAUUUUAGGAGUAAUGUCCAACAUACUUUGGUUGGUCCAGCCCUCAAGAAAAGGCCUUUUUUUAUUUGAAGCAACGCGGUAAAAGCCCUACUAUCUGGAUUAUGGUUUGAAAGAAACCAAUGAGUCUUCCACGAUAAAAUUUUCCCUUGGCUAGACCACUUUGAGCUUCCUCAUUUAAACGCUUCUUCAUGGUGUAUGCUUCCAAAUAUUUUUGAAGACUUUUCAAUUCAGGAGAUCAAUCUGAAUUGGCAGGCUUUCAUUUUCCCUCCUAAGUAGCAGAAGACUUUUUGUGUACUUAUUUUUCUGUCUUAGGAGUCAUUUUGUAUUUGUAUCACUGCUUGUUAUUUUCUUGAGUUCUUGGUCUUAAUGUUCCUAUAUUUUUUUCUUUGGACAUUGAGUUUGGGAUGUAUUUCUUAUUUCUUAUUUUGACUAUUCUCCUUGUUCGGAUAUGAUGAGAGCGCUAAGGGUUGUCAACCUGGUUGAGAUGUUGUAUAUUUUCUUGUAUUUUGUAUAGUGACUCUGUUUCUUUUCAUUAAUCAAUGAAAAGUGUGUUUCCUUUUUUAAAAAAAAAAAUUGAUUAUAAUACACGAGGAAUCCUAGGUUUGGAAUUAAUUAUAGAAGAACAGGACAUCUAAAAAUAAUUAUAAGAUGUAAAUGACUUCACAAAUCUACAUCUUGGUAUUCCAUUCUUUGGAUGUUUCAGGUUUUGUCUUCUUACUCUUCAUUGGAGUAUAUAUUCUUUGAACAUUUUUGCUUCUUUUCAUUAAAAAAAAAUUUCAUGUUAAAAAAUGUGACAAUAUCCCAAAGAAGAAAGUGGAAUGUUUGCCUCUCCGUCGGUAGGCGCAUCCUUUGUCUAAAUACCUGUAUUGUAUUAUGUAGGCCUUAGUGCAGAUGAAGAAUUGGUUCUUGCGCUUUCCUACAAUCUUACAGGCAUGUGAGAGUAUGAUUGAGAUGCUUAGAGGCCAGUAUGCUCACUACGUUGGUUGUUACCAUGAAGCAACUUUCCAUUAUAUCGAAGCUGCAAAGGUCUUGCAAUUUUAGUUUCCAUGCUUCUGAUACUGCUUGAAAUCUCACACUGUGCUUAUGGUUUGUUAUUUGUGUCAAAUUUUGUUGAUUCUCUUGUCUGAUUGUGUAGCUUACAGAGAGCAAAUCAAUUCAAGCAAUGUGCCAAGUUUAUGCUGCUGUCUCUUAUAUCUGUAUUGGCGAUGCUGAAUCAUCUACUCUUGUAACAUUUUCUCCUGCUUAGAAUUUAUAUACAAGAUGAAAUAUACUAGCUUCCACAUUUUUUAGUUUGAUUGAUUGAAAUAGCAUUACAGGCACUUGACUUGAUUGGACCAGUUUACAGCAUGAUGGAUUCUUUUGUUGGUGUUCGAGAGAAAACAAGUGUUCUUUUUGCGUAUGGCCUCUUACUGAUGAAGCAACAUGAUUUACAAGAAGCAAGGUAUCUUUUUCCAUUUAGAUAGGAGAAUACAGCAAGUAUUUGAGGUCUUAAUCUUCCCCUGCAAGGUUUUAAGUGGCCAACUACCACUGCCUUGUAGUGAGUUCUGACCCUUUGCCAAGUGAUCUGUUGAUUUGCAUUUUUUAUGGCCCUUAUUUUAGAAGCUUUGUUAACCUUCCUACAAACCAAAGUAGGGGUGAUCUUCAGUCUCUCCUUUUGUGUGUGUUUUGUGUAUAAUUCUCUGAGCAUUAGUCUUGAUUUUAUUAAUAAAAUUUGAGACUGUCUCCUUUAUAAAAAAAAAGGAAAAACAAACCAAAGUAGGGGUGGAAACGGUUUGGUUUGGUGGCAAACUGAACUGAAUUGCAGAUUUGAAAGUUUUUAAUGGCAAAACCAAACCACCCUGCUUUGUCUGUACAGACCGAACAGCAUAUAUGCUGUUUGUUUCGGUUUGAUUUUCAAUUUUUCUCUUUUCUUAGAAAGAAAUUGAAGGAGAUAUUGAUUGGCAAGAGGGUGAGAGAAGAAGUAUGUUGGAAAUUAAAGCAUAAGACUGCCAAAGAUUAAUUUUUUUUUUACUAAUAAAGCAGAAGACUGCUGGAGACGAAGGUCAAACAGAGAGAUGAAGACAGCCUGCCAAAGAUGGAGAUGAGAAAGAAUCGGAAAUGGUCCAGAUGGAGAUGAAGACAGGGGAUGAGGAGAGUUUGAGAGAUGAGAAGGUGGACACAUGAGGAGAACCGAGAUACUGAGAGAGAGUGAGUGGCCGAGAAGAUUGGAAAAGUUGACCAUGGGCAGUGGCAAGUGGGCUGCGAACUGCGGAGAGUUGAGAGACUGAGAGUGAGCAAGAGAUGAGAAAAAUAUAAUGAAAAUCAAGUGGGCAGGCAGCGGCAAGGCACUAGGCAAGGCAACCCUAAAUUAUAUAUAUAUAUAUAUUUUUAUAAAUGCAGUUUAGUUCAGUUUGAAAAUCAGUUUUCAUAAAUGAAGCUAAACCGAACUGAACAAUUCAGUUUUAAAAUUUCUUUAAACCGAAUCGAACUACAUUUUUCAGUUUUAAUAAGUUUUCAAUACCUGAUCCCCUAGGACUCCCCCGUUUAUCUUCUUUUUUAUUGCUCCCUUUGUAUAAAUCUCUUGUACUUAGAGUUCUUACUAAUAAAGAAGUUUCGUCUCUGUUUAAAAAAAAAAGUAAGUUUUCGAUUCGAUUCGGUUCAGUUCAGAUUUUAUAAAUGGUUUGGUGUUAUGGUUUCAGUGACCACCCCUACCAGCCAGAUUUCUAAAUAAGAAUUCGGGUCGGAAAAGGAAAUUUAAUAUAGUAGAAGGAAGAAGAGGAAAGAGAGUGUUAGUGUUGGCACGUGUGAGUAGGUUGUGUGAGUUAGUUAGGAUAUUCUUUCUAAAUCAUUAUAAACAGAGUUGUAGUCUUGGAGGGAAAGUAGUUAGAUUUCGGAGAUUUAGUCAGGUGUUUGUGCACCUUUGAGAGAGAAGGUUGUUGAUUUUAUGGAAUUAAUCUAUAUUUCAUUCAUUAUUUAGUAGAGAUACAAGCCUAUAUAUAACCAUAGAGAAAUACACUUAAGGAAAUAAUAUCAAAUAAUAUCUCCAAAAUAAUAUCUCCUAAGAAUAAUCUAAUUAUAUUAAUACCCUCCCUCAAACUCAAGGUUGAAAUCACAAACUUGAGUUUGCUAAGAACUAAGAAAAGAAACAAUAUAUCUAGAAUAGAAUAAAAAACCCGAAGAACAAACACACAAAGAACUUCUAGGUUAAAACAAACCCACGAAAAACUUCUGGGAUAGAAACAUAGAUCUUCGUAUAGAGAUCUAUAACAGAACCUAGGAAGAACGAAACAAGAACUUCGGGGGCAAAAUGAAAGAGCAAAACUGAAGCAAAGUAGAAUCAAAGCUGGACAAAAACAGGGUCGGAAUUGGACAGAAGUGUUUUGUCGGAUCAGAAUGGAACCGAACGAACUAAACUAGAGCAAGUCAGAAUCAGAUUAAACGGGAAAUCUGGGGCGAACAGAACGGAAACUGAACUGAAUGGAGCAGAGAGGCUUAGCGGAUCUGAACAAAAACAGAAACGAGGCGUCGUUGGAUCUGGGCUUCGAUCUAAACUUUGAAGGCAGACAUGAAGGAUGGGUCUGAACGAAAUUAGACAGAUUUGGAACAGAUUGGAGGCAGACGCGAGGAUCUGAGGACAUGGGGUUUCAUGGUUUUGUUGGGACAGCGCAAGGAGAUGGAGCAACGGCAACUUUAUGUUGCGGCGAGCAGAGCUUCUUGGACGACGAACAAAACCGAAACUCUUCGGCUGGGCGUUCGACUUCAACUGACAAAGGUUCAAUCGGCUGCUUGGCUAACGGAAAAACAAGAGAUCGGACGAAGAACUAUGAAGGAGAUGGCCGCCGCAGACGCUAGUGAAAAACGAAUGGGGUUUCUGGGGUUUGGAUGGUGGCAGAUUUGAACAGCAAUGAGUGGCAAAGGGAAGGUGCAACGACAACGGCGGAUUUGCAGAUCUAAGGGGCGGCUUCAGCUAAUGGGAGAUGAUUCUGCCUCCGUUGAUGAAUGAUCAACGGAGGCAGAGAUCAAACGGGAUGUGGAGGCUAGAAUUCAAUAAGGGGAAAACCCUAGAGCUCUGAUACCAUGUUGAUUUUAUGGAAUUAAUCUAUAUUUCAUUCAUUAUUUAGUAGAGAUACAAGCCUAUAUAUAACCAUAGAGAAAUACACUUAAGGAAAUAAUAUCAAAUAAUAUCUCUAGAAUAAUAUCUCCUAAGAAUAAUCUAAUUAUAUUAAUAAAGGUAGCAGUGAGAGAUAGUAACCGAAUUGAGAUUUCCUCAAUUCGUUUUAUUAUUCUUCUUCUUUGAUAUUGCAUUCGAUUUGGUUAAAUUAUCAAUAAAAGUUUCAUCGAUAGAACACAACCUUAGUGUUCCAUCACAUUGCCAAUGAAGUGGUGGAAGAAUACAUAGUGAAAAAGAAGAAAGUGUGGCUGAUUAAGUUGGACCUUGAAAAAGCGGGUCAAUUGGGACUUUUUAGAAAAAGUAAUAGCACAAAAAAAUUUUGAGAUGGCCGAUGGAUAAAAUGAUAAUAGGUUGCAUGCUCAAUCCCAAAUAUUCAAUCUUUAUAAAUGGCCGACCAUGAGGCAGAAUUCAAGCAUCAUGAGGCCUUCAAUAAGUAGACCCACUUUUCCCAUUUCUUUUCCUCCUAGCAAGUGAAGUUCUAAGUAGCCUAAUUUCAAUAAUACAUACGAAUGGGAAUGUUUGAAGGCUUUAUUGUAGGCAAAGACAAGGUACAUUUUUCCUUUAAAAAUGAUGAGGCAAUGAUGGAAAUCCUCCAAAAGACUUUGGUCUUAUUAGAAUGGUGUUCUGGACAAAAAGUCAAUUGGGAAAAAUCUGCCAUUUCUGGAUUUAAUAUAGAGGAAAGAAUGAUCACUAAAACGGCCUCAAGACUAAGAUUUAAGAUGUAAGAUAGAAAAGCUUCACUUAAUGUACCUUGGUUUACCGCUUGGAGGCUACCCAAAAAGCUCCUUAUUCUGGCAGCCCAUUAUAGAUAGUGUUGUUUUUAUGGAAUGAAUCUCUAUUUCAAUGAUCAUUUAACAAAGGUACAAGCCUAAAUAUACUAGAUGAGGAAUAACUUAAGGAAAUAAUCAAUAGAACAAUAUCAUAAUAAUAUCUCCUAAAAAUACUCUAAAUCCUCCAAUACCCUCCCUCAAACUCAAGGUUCAAAUCACGAACUUGAGUUUGCUGAGAAAAGAAACAAAUCAGUAGAUUAGAAACCCACGGAGAACAAACACGAAGAACUUCUUGGUUAAAACAAACCCACGAAGAACAAGACGAAGAACUUCUAGGAUAGAAACAUAGAUCCUCAUAUAGAGAUCUAUAUCAGAACCUACGAAGAACGAAACAAGAACUCCUGGGCUUAGAUGAGGGGAAGGUUGGUUGGAUUUGGAGCAGACGGAUCAGAAUCGAACAGAUCUUGAAACGAGAUUGGAUCUGUGGGACAAAGCAGAUGAAAACCGGAGAUGUGCGGGACAAAUCUGAACUGAAACCAGAGGCGGAAACCAAAUCAAAGCAGGUUGGAAUCAGAUUGAACGGAUUCGAAAUCUGGAGGUGAACAGAACAAAAACCAAACUGAUCAGAGCUGAGAGGCUGAGCGGAACUGAACAAAAAAUAAAUCGGGGGCGGAUGGUGGUGAAAAUGAAGAACACGAAUGGGGUUUCUGAGUUUGGAUGGCAGCCGAUUUGAGCGGCAAAGGGAAUUAAGGUGCAACAGCGGUGGCGGAUUUGCAAAUCCAAGGGGCGGUGGCGGUUAAUCGGGGAUGGCUCUGCCUUCGUCGACGAAUGAUCAAUGGAGGCAGAUAUCGAACGGGGAUGUGGGGGCUAGAUUCAAUGAGACAAAAGAAACCUAGAGCUCUGAUACCAUGUUCUUUUUAUGGAAUGAAUCUUUAUUUCAUUGUUCAUUUAGCAAAGGUACAAGCUUAAAUAUACUAAAUGAGGAAUGCACUUAAGGAAAUAAUCAGCAGAAUAAAAUCUUAAUAAUAUCUCCUAAAAAUACUCUAAAUACUCUGAUAGAUAGAAUUCAAGGUAAACUAAGCAAGUUGAGAUACAACUUAUCUUGUGGUGGAAGAAUCACACUGUAAAUCGGUCCUUUCCAAUCUCCCAACUUACUACAUAUCAACUUUCCUCAUGCCAAUUUCAGUUUCUAAUACCUUGGAGAAAAAUCAUGAAAGAAAUUAAGGGAUUUGAGAAUAAUGGGGGAAAGCUGAACCAUUUAGCUAAAUGGUCUAAAAUCAUCAAAAGCCAAAGAGAUGGGGGCUUCAGCUGAGAAUAAGAAAUAGAAAUAUGGCUCUUUUAUCAAAAUGGGGAUUGAGAUUCAUGUCAUAACAAAAGGCCACCUUGAGUUUGAGAACCCUGUGGAUUAGUAUUUCAAGAGAAUGGCGCAAGAUUAAAGUACUAGCCACUUUCAAAAUUGGUAAUGGCAGCAGAGUGUUUUUUUGGACUGAUCCAUGGCUGGAUAAUAUUCCCCUAAACAGCAAGUUCCUUAGAUUAUCUCGUAUUGCCCUCUUGCCUAAAGGGUCAAUUUCUGAACAUUGGGAUAGCCAAAUUAGUUCCAGGGCGGUUUACUUUAAAAGAUUAUUGAAAGAAGAGGAGGUUGUUGACUUUCAAUCACCGACGAUUUCUUUAAUGGGAAAAUGGUAAACUCUAAUCAGGACAAGAAAGUUUGGUCCCUAUAACCAAGUAGCUGCUUCAUCGCUAAAUCCUUGCUUACUCACCAAUCACCUACUUCUCCAAUUGAUGUUUCUUUAUACUGGGGGCUUUGGAAAACUAAGAGCCCUUAAAGAGCCAACAUAUCUGUGUGAAUUAUGCUUCAAGGGAAUUUUAAUUGUGCUAAGAAAGCUUUCCUCUCAUUGCCUAUCUCCUCAUAUGUGCCAUCUAUGUGGUAUGAAUCAAGAAGAUCUUUUUUCGAGUGUCCUUAUGCAGUGAAUUGUUGGUGUAGGCUGAUGCGAAUUUUUUAUUUCAGAUGGGUUUUUUAUGGCAGCUUUAGUGGUAAAGUGCUGCAAAUUCUCUCUGGACCAGAUUUAGAGAAAAUCUCAUCAAUAUUGUGGUGCAAUGCAGUCGUAGAAAUAUGGUUUGAAAGAAAUCAACGUAUUUUGCACGGUUUAGAUUUGUCUGUUAGUCUUUUGUUAAUGAUAGGCUGCUGUUGUAAAGGUCUUAUUUUUUGGACCACUUUUACUAGCUCUAUGUCAUUUCACUUUUCUAUUUUUUGGAUAUGAUGAGGACGCUAAGAAGGUGCCAACCUAGUUGAGAUGUCCGGUGCGUCUAUGAUCCCUAGUUCUUUAAUUGCUCAUUGUAUAACCCUAUUGUACUUUGAGCUUUGCCUCAUUUUUACAAUAAAUGAGAUCCGUUUCCUUUUAAAAAAAAGGAUCACGUAAUUAAUGAUCUGCAUGUCUGUAGUUUUCAGCUUUGUGUCAAUCAGCAGCUGAAUUAUGGCUUCUUACUUUGAGCCUUCCUGUAACCAUUCCUUGUAUGUUUUCUAAGCUUUUCUUUGUAAAUAGUGUUCAUAUUUGUAUCUUAUCUUUUCUUAUCAAUGUAUUAGGUUCUAGUUAAUGGAUGUGGCAAAGCUAUACUUUGCUGCAUAGUUUUUUGCUUUUUUUUUUUUUUUUUGUAAAAUUCACUUUUGGUCCACAAGAUUCAGAGUUGAUAUCUUUUUUAUCUAUGAGAUUUCAAAAGGUGCACCUGUUAGUCAAAAUGGUCUCUAACUCGAAUGGACUAUUACUAAUAGCAUGGUAAUCAUUUGCAACUAGAAUCAUUUUCAAAUUUACACAUUAAAAGUGUACCUUUUGAUAGUUGGAACCUUAGAAACAAAAAGAGGCUACAAAAUAGUCUGUCGAUAUCUUAAAUAUAAAACCAGUCUUGCCUCCAUAUUUCCAGCAUCGGUUAUUUCCACUGCACUCACAAGAAUCAACUCCUAAAAUAUCGAGGCCUCAAAUAAUAGCAUAUGGUAUUUGUUAUGUCAUUGAUGUUGGGAAAGAAACAUGGCAUCAGCUAAGGGUGUUUUCCCCCUCUUAUUCAGAAAUCGGUUGGCGAAAGGAUUACAAUUGACCCACAAUCAUUUGGGGAAUCUUCAACUUGUCGCACAAUAUUUGACAAUCCUCGGGAGUUUAGCACUUGCUCUACAUGACACCGUGCAGGCCAGAGAGAUAUUAAGAUCAUCUUUAACAUUGGCAAAGAAACUCUAUGACAUCCCAACUCAGAUCUGGGUACUAUCAGUUUUAACAAGUAUGCCAAUGAUAUAUAUUCUUUCUAGUUACUAUUAACAUUUUAGUGGAAUGAGAUUUUCACAAGGCACUUAGAAUGAAGAACACACGCUGGGAGCAACUGUCUCAGAACCAUUUUUUUUCACAUGUUCAAAUAAAGUUGUUUAGUCUUCGUACAAAUAUAUAUAGUGAACCCCAUAAAUAUUGUUACACUUUCCGGUGAUAUAUGUAUUAUAUUAAUAAUGCACAUACAAAUUAAUUUUUAUUUUUGUAUACAUUAUAGCUUUAUACCAAGAGUUGGGUGAAAAGGGGAAUGAGAUGGAAAACGCGGAAUAUCAAUGUAAAAAGGCAGAUGAUCUGCAAAGGAGACUGGUUGAUGCACAUUCCUCCAUUCAUCACAUCGAAUUAGUAAGGCGUUCAUGUUACUCUGAUAUUUUGAUGAAUAGUUAGUGUGUUUGAACAAAUAUCUGCUAUUAUGCACUUACAUCUUUUAUUGCUUUUUGUUUACCCCUCAUGCAUUUAGAUUGACAAAGUACGGCUUGAGAUUCAGCAACUAAAGGGGGUUGACAUCAAGCGUGCAGGUAGCAUCUCACUUGGAGUUGAUCUUGAUAUACCAGGAUCCAUUGGUGUGUCGGUUUCGACUUCAUCAUUGAAGCUUAUGGAUAUAGACUCAGGGAGACGUGGAAAGAGGAAAAUUUAGAGCUUGCCUGGGAAAUUUUUCAAACCAGCUUCUUGUUGUUGUUAUUCUUUUUAAUCUUUAAUUUUGUUUUGUGUUUUUUUUCUAAACUAUUAUUGACUUGUAAAUAUUAAUUUAUUGCUCACUUUAAAUUAAGGGAAAGUGUGAUGGUUGACAAAUGUAUUUGGGGUUUUAGAUUUUGCAGGUAUAUCAAAACUUUCAGAUUUGAAUUUCAUUAUUUUUCAUAUUUUCAGUUUACCCUCAACUUUUGCUAUAUUCCUAUUUCACCGUCGAAAGUUUAGCACGAUAUUUCUUUUUUCCUCAACACGCUACAAUUUCACGUCUCAGGUGAGCUAGGGUUUUGAUCUUCUUUUUCUCCCAAAUUCUGAUAUUUUUUUUCCACGGGUGUUUUGAUAUCUUUCUUUCCAUUCUCAUUGUAGCUUUUAUUUUUUUCACUGGUGUUUUAAUCUUCUUCUUAUUGAAUUUUCAUUUUCUUCACAGGCAUUUUUAUAUCUCUUUCUUAUUGUUGUUUUGGUUUCUUCUUAAAAAUGCUAUUUGAGUUUUGAUUUCUUCAAUUGGCAUUUACUUUGAAGAAAAUGAAAAGAUGAAGAAUUAACUUUGUUGAUGGAAAGAAACAUUAGAACAGAUGUUACUGCAAACAAUACUUUUUCAACAGAUAUAUGUAUAUGAAUAACAACAAAAAAUGUAAAAGAAAUGAAAGCAAAAAAGCUGGGGCGAGCGGGUUAACAAAAUUAAAAAGUAGCAAAAAUUAAAAAGAGAGAGAAGGUGACUAAAAAUGAAAUGUUGAAUCUUAGAGAGAGGAAUUUUGAUUUCAAAUCAAUUAAAUAUAAUUUGAAAUUAUAAUUGCAUCCCCUAUUUUAGCGUGAAUUUAAUGUUUUGUAGAUGUGUGAUUUAUUUGUUCUUCUAUUUAAGGUGAAUUUGAGAUUUUAGAGAUAAAAAUGUAAUUUUAAGAAAAGAAAAAGUUAUCUUUAGUUCCUUUAGAGUGCAUUUGGGGGAGAAAAAGAGUUGAUAAUAAUUAUGAUAAUUCUAGGAUAAUGUGUUAUGAUAAUAUAUGUUUAGAUGAUUUAUUAUUGGUAGUGUUAUGGUAAUAUGUUUUUUUUUUUUGGGAAAGAUUAUGAAUAGUAGUGUUAUGAUAAUAUAUGUUUGGAGAGGAUUAUAAUAGAUAGUACUAUGAUAAUAUUUGUUUGGAGGAGAGAUUAUGAUAGUAGUAUUAUGAUAACCUGCAUUUGGAGGGAAGAAUUAUGCUUGUAGUGUUAUUAUAAUAUGCAUUUGGGGGAAGGGUUACAUUAGUGUUGAUAAAUUUUCUUCUAUAUAAAAUAAACAAUAUUAAUACAUGUAAUUAUAAUAAAUCAUAUUGUUUUUUGUAAAUAUGUUUUGCAACAUGUUUUUUACAUACCCCAUUUAAUUCAUAAUUUGGUUUAUAAAUCUUUAUGUUGUGGUGGGUUUCUUUUUUUUUCUCGGGUCGUUCAAAACGUAACGCACAAAUAUGUUAGAGCAUGCAAAUAAAAGUUUGAAGCUGAACAAUUGUGAAGAAUUGGUUCACUACAAAUUGUCGUUCACAUAACAACAAAAUACCAAUAUAUAUGAAAAGAUCGUAAACAAUGCAGAUAAAGAUAUCGAAAAGCACUCAAGGGUUUUCUCGGAGAAUGACCAUACAUAAGUUUAAAUUCAUGGAAUGCUUUCAUGUCGCUAACGUUGUGCAUUAGUAUACGCAUACAGCGACACCUAUCGAUUUUAGUCAAUUUGGGGAUGGCAUGUAACUAUCGAAUGACCUCUUGUCAUAGUGUGCUUGCAUCUUUCCAUUGUAAUAUCGACUAGUAUGCAAUGCAGUUAAGCUACUCAUUAUCGUACUCAAUGACAUUGCGAAGUAUGUGUGCAGUUUCUAUCGACUGUCCUCUCCAUUUCCUCUUUGAUUUGCUAGAAGAGCUACUCAUUAUCGUACUCAAUGACAUUGCGAAGUAUGUGUGCAGUUUCUAUCGACUGUCCUCUCCAUUUCCUCUUUGAUUUGCUAGAAGCAUUCCUUCUGUCACCUGCACGGGAUCGUGUCUCCAUUAUUUCGUCAGGUGAUAUGUCUAGUCUUUGACUGUACAUUGUGGGAAACUCCAUAUCGUUGCCAUCAUCAGAUGCAAAUCCCUCGUACCCACCAAGCACAUUGGACCCGACGCGGUAAGAGUGGACUGAAAUUCUUGUUUGUCUUUUACAAAUUCUAUAUUGAAACUCUGUUGAAAAAAAAUCUUAAGUUAAAAACAAAAUUGAUUAACCUAAUUGUAGUCUUUGUAUUUGUAUAAAAAAUCUUCACAUCUACCAACCAUAAUUUUGCUAACGCGGUUUUUAAAGUCUAGUUGCGGAACACAUAGACUAAACAUAGGGAUAAAACAAAGAAAUUAGUGUGUCAUGAAUAAUGAAGACAUGGAACAGACAGGAGCAUAUGAAAUACACUGAAUGGUAACAACAUGGGGAUGAAACUCAACAAAUAUGAACAUCUAUAAUUAAGUGAAAAAUGAUAAACGUACCAAAGAGUAUCUAGAGAUGCAAAAAAUUUUAAGACUGAGGAUGCAAUGGAAUGGGAAGCAAGGGGCAAAUAUAUAGUAAAUGGAUGAUGGUAAUAAAUUGGACAACAAGCAACCAACAAGUAUCAUGGAAAACAAGAGAUAUGACACAUACAGUAACAAACGAAAAUGACAAAGAUCUAAUAGAAAAAUUAGGCAAUUAGGACUCUGCAAGUACACAAUGUCCAUGAAAAUAUAGACCUAAGCAAGGGGUAUGUGGAAAAAUUAGAAUUUAGAAGCCCUAAACCCUAAUAAAAAGCAACAAAGUAGGUUUCUACCAAUAGAAUAUGGUAUUUGGGCAUAACAUCCGUCACUUGAAGCACCUUAAGGUUGAAACAAAUGCGCGGCAAGGGGAAGUAGGACCAACAACUGUUACAGCAAAGCUGUGAACGGAAACAUAGAGAGGAAGGCGAGAAGUUUAAGAGACAACGAGUGUGAGCGGCAACCGAUCAAUGAAAACACAAAGAGGAAGCGAUCCGUUUCAGAGGCAACGUGCACACAACCCUCAACGAAAACGCAAAAGGGUUUCAACGAAGGGAAAAUGAAAUCAGGGAUGAAAACACAACGACAGAGGAAGACGAAAAUAUGCAAUAUAGGUGUAGAUUCGAAGAGGAAAGGUGGGGAAAUCCGUUCAACUGUGUAUUUUCUUAAGGGAAAAACGAAAUUGGAACAGAAAAUGACGAAGAAUACGAGUAAAAGAGAAGAAAAUUCGAUGGAUUGGCGAACAAAUUACAUAGGGUUUCAGAAGGAUUACGGCCGAAUUGGAAGAAGAGUUGAAGGGGGUUUAUCAGAUGGGUUUUGAUGUGUGUGUCAAAAUUAACCGUAGACUUUCAAAAGUUUCAAGAAAGUCUUCCUUACUUUCGAAAAGGGUUCAAGCUUUAUUUCAAAAAUAGUCGUGAACUAUUGAAAAUUAAUUUUCAUAAACAAUCUUGAAUUUAUAAAAAACCAACAUAAAAUUUCUUAGCCCACAAAACAAAUAAAAAAAUUUAACUAAAACUAUAAUUUUUAAAUUUUCCUUAGUUCUCUAGAUAUUCUCACAUUUUCAUAGGUUGGAUAUCAACCGAAGGAUAAAUUGAUAUUUUGAAAAAUUCAUGAAUCACACAAGAUAAAAUAUAAAAUGUCACUAACAUAAAUAAUGACAUGUUUAUUUAUUUCAAAAUAACAAAAUAUUUAUUUGCUAAUUUAAAAUUAUUUUUUUAUUAUUUUUAUAAUUUUUCAAAAACAUCCAUUGUAAUUUAAAUUUCUUAAAACUAAGACUUUGAUAACUAUAUUUUAAACUUUGGUUAAAACAUAAAUUACACGAAAACUCACGAAGUUUUAAAAGUUGUCUUUAAAACAUACUAAAACAAUAACUAGUCAAAUAAAAAGAAAUUGCACACUAAUAGAUCUAUCAAACUACCACAUUGGGGUUAAUAAUCAAAUAUAUUCUUCUAUUUGACAAUUAACUAUACGUUAAUUAAAAAAUAACUAUUAAAAUCGAUUCUGUUUGUGAUCUACCAUUCGGUGUUAAUAGUGUAAUAGAUUUUAAAUUGUAGAUUUAAUUUAAAGUUUUGAUUUUUGUUGGUAAGAAAAUUAGUUUAAAUUUUGGGUCAACCACCCUAUUUCUAACUUUUAUAAGCUUAAAGUACUUAUGAAUAAAUAAGCUAAUUAACAAGCUAUUUUUAAAUAUACAAAGUGAAUAAAUAUUUAUAAAAUACACGGUAAAAUAUUUAAUUUCCAAAAGCUCACCAAUCCAAAAAAAGAAAAAAAUAGCAGAAAAGAAGAGACCUAAAAUAUUUUUAAAAAUGGACCAAAUUUUUUGAUUUGGUUAGAUAUUAGUAGAUAUAUUGAUUGUUAUAUAUAUAAAAAUUAGUCCAAAAUAGAUGAAUUUUGUUAUUUAAAUAAAUUUGAGAAAGAAAUGAAAAACGUGCAAAAACACGAGCGAAGUUUACUGGCUCGCUCGCUCGCUCGUCCUGCGCUAUUACCCGAGGGAGGGCUGGAAAAAAAAAAAAAGAAAAAGAAAAGGCCUUAAUGUCUUGGUUUUUUGCAAUCUCUCUUUACCCUAAACUCUUCCUCCAUUGCAGAUCGAUUUUAUGAUUGAGUUGUGUAGCUAAGAACAUCGAUUCGUUACCCUACAAUUGAGAAUCAAGCUCUCUGUUUACCCCAAUCUUAUGUGAAGCUGCUGAUCGAUUCAUCAAUGGAUUAGAAAUCAGAUGUCUGACGGUAAGCCUCCAUUCUUCUGUCAUCGAUUAUUCGAUUGUAGGGGGCAGUUCGUCUGAUCUGCCUGUGAUACACUUUAGUUAGCAAAGCACAAUCUAUAGGAGAAGAGGAAAUUUGGAACAACAAACAAAUUUAUCAGGUCCUUUUUGUUGCGCUCUUCAGUUUUCCGUCUGCUAUGAUAUAUCUUCGGUUCUUAGUAAGCAGGAAACAUAAGAGCAUUUCUGUCAUCUGAAACCUACGAAUAGAGUCUCCUGGGGACCAUACUUCCCGUCCCCCCAUUUGUUUUUUAACUUUAUUCUUGUGAUUCUAUCUAUACUUCUCUGCUCUUAGUCAUGUCUUCUCAUCGGUUGACAUUUUAUUGCACUUCUGAAGUAAAAAAACUCGUGCACUUCCAAGUUGCGCUCUCCGCUCCGUGUUAUAUAUCUCUGCGCAGUAUGUUCUGUUCUCGGUUUGUUAUUUGUCUCUUUCAAUUUCAUCUAUUUUUGCCUGGAAUAGGAGCAACACGAUAUCAUUUUGAGCACUUAUGCUUUUUAAAUCGUCUAAAAGAGAAGUCUUUUUAUUUAGUUUUUGAGUUAUGUAUCAUUUCCGCCGACUCUGAAUGAUUAUUAUGUGGUAUUUCCCCGACCCUGUCCGAGUUGUGGUUGUUAGAGGAAGUUCAUAACUUGCUAAGAUAAGGAAAAUGAACGUAUAUCCAUUUUUUCUUUUUGGUCAGAUAUCUGGGCAGGUUCCUGAUAAAGCUGGUGUGGAGUUGUCUGGAGAGGUGCUCUCCACGUGAUAUGUUCAAUAUGGACUCUGAACUCUAUAAAGCACGUGUCUUCAUUCAAGAGAAAAUGUAAGGCUUAUCAUUAUAUAUCUCUCUUUGAUGAAGACUUCAGGCCUUCUUUCUUUUGUUCUUGUGCUUCUUUCUGUCCCUUACUUACGCAUCCCGUACUUAGCAUGGCUUCUCAAAAAUCUAAUGACAUAUAGAUUUAAUAGUUAACUUUAAGGGCCAUGGAUGCUAGAACAUUUUUUAUAUACCCAAAUAACAUCUUGUGAGGGCCUGAAAAUUCAUGAAGCAGCUUGAACUUUUAAGUACUUAAUCAUAUGUUUGGGAAUUAUCUCUUGUUUUUAAUGCUAAUUUCUUUGUUCCCCUUUUUAAAAGUUCCGCAAAUGAAGUUUGUUUAAUGGGGUUCUAAUUAAAAAUGAAACCAGAAAGAAGUAUUGUGUAAUUAGGCAAUUUUAACUGGAUGAUCUUCAGUUUUAUUAUAUUCUGACAUCUUUAUUUCUCAAUAUUGGAUUUUUCUUUUAUUGAGUUAAGAUUUAUAUGUUUACCUUGGUCCAAAUUUUCAUGUUGUAUCUUUUAAUCAUUUAUUUUGGAUUAGAAAUGACUUCAUUGAUGAAUGACACCAAAAUCCGUGCAGAGAUAUUUCUUCUCAUCCUCCUUCAUUUUCCCAUUUUGUUUUUUGUGUGAUGGUUAAUGGAAAGGAAACAUAUUUUUGGGAAGAUCUUUGGGUGGGAAUAGACCCCUCUCCUCUGCAUUUCGUUUCCUCGAUUAUAUCAUCCGUCCUCCUUAAGAAACUGUUGAGUAUUAGAUUCGUUGGUUUGUUCAGGGAAUUUGGUUUCUUUCUCCUUUGUUUUUUGUCGGUCUUUGUCCAAUAGGGAAAUGACAGAGGUGGCUUCUCCUCUCUCUCUUGAUUGAGGCCUUUGAUUUUAGGCUUGGGAGAAAAGAUGUUCAUGUGUGGAGUCCUUCUCUUGUAAGUCUUUCUUUAGAUUCUUACUCGAUCCCUCUCCUGCUGUUGUGUCGAUCUUUGAUGUUUUAUGGAGGAUUAAGAUUCCAAAGAGAGUCAAGUUCAUUUCUUGGCAAGUAUUGCUUGGGCGUGUGAAUAACAAGAAAUAGGCUUGUGAGAAAGAUGCAUUUCGUUAUUGGGCCCUUGGUGCUGUAUCCUUUGUCGAAAGGCAAGAAAAUGUGGAUCACCUUCUCUGGGAGUGUCAAUAUGCACGAUUUGUGUGGAAUGGAUUUUUUCAGGAGUUUGAUUUUGCUCUUGCUCGUAAGAGGGAUGUUUGUUUGAUGAUCAGGGUGUUCCUUCACCAUCUGCCUUUAAAAGAGAGUUUUUUUUUUUUUUGCAUGUGGAGGUGUGCAUGAUUUCGUGGGAUCCUUAGGGUGAGAGAAACAAGAGAGUGUUUCGUGAUGGGGAGUGAGACCCUAGUGAGGUUUGGUCCUUGGUGAAGUUUCAUGUUUCUCUUUAGGCUUUUGUUUCGAAGACUUUUUUUGUAAUUAUCCCUUAGGCGACAUUUCACUUAGUUGGAAUCCCUUUGUCUAUGGGGUUUUUUUUUUUCUUUUACGUCCUUGUAUGCUUUUAUUUUUUUUCUUAAUGAAUGAAAUGAUCCAAAGAGAUACGAAUUGGCUCCCAUUUAAAUGGAAUACAAAACAUGUCUCCCAUUUUAGGAUAUUUCUUAAUAAUUAUGAAAUCAUUCAACUCUGUAGCUUUUCUUUUUCAAUUUUUUUAGGACUUUUGUGCCUUAAUUUUCUACUUUAUAUAUGACAAUUUGAUAUUUUUCAGUGACUGUUGUUCGAGAAAAUUUUACUAUUGCAUAUUAAUAUUUUAUAUUUCUGCUUUUCAGUUUUGAGAUUUUAUUACAGCGGCAUCAACGGCCCAUUGAUGACCUACAGAGGCUGAGGUUCAAGGACAUUGUGAAACGCUUAGAGGAGGGUCUUUUUAAAACGGCUCUUACAAAGGUCUCCACCUUCACCUCCACCCUCAUUGUAAACAAAUUACCACUACAAUAUUGCAGAAGAGUGCAGAGACCACCUCUUUUGUGGUUUAUCUUUUAUAAGUCUCAGAUAAACAAGCAUGCCAACAUUUUACUUAUUGUGAUUCUAAGUAACUCUGGAGUUCAUAUGUUUUCUCUGGGAAUAAACUUUGUCGUUAUGGUAAUAUGACACAGGAUGACUAUAUGAACCUGGAUACUCUGGAGAGUCGUCUGCACAGUUUGAUCAAGCGUUCACCCAUGAAUAAUCAGAACCAGCAAUAUCAACAAGUGGUUAGUUCUUCUUCUGCAAUAAGUCAGAUGAUUCCAACUCCUGGUAUGGCUCACAGUGGGAAUUCCAAAAUGAUGGUUGCAUCUUCGGAUGAUUCUAUUAUUUCUGCUAGUGCCAGCUUAGCACCUAUGACUGCUAGCACAGGAAGCAUCAUGCAAGCUGGUGGAAUAAAUGGUGGUUCCUUCAACAGAGCUGAAGGUAACUUCCACUAAAAUAUUUUGUCCCUGUGUGAACAGUUUUUCUUUUAUGAAAAAAGUUAUAAUAUCCUCCUUUUCAGGUCCCAUGACCAGUGGAUAUCAGCAGUCUCCUAGUUUCUCGGUUGGUUCUAGUGGAGUUAUAUCAUCUGCUGGUGCACACAGAAUUACUAGUCAAAUGAUUCCUACACCAGGUUUCAGUAAUAACAUUAACCAUGCAAGCAGCAACCAGUCUUAUGCAAGCAGAGACAAUUCUAGUAAUGGUAGUGGGCUUCCCAGUGUUGAAUCUACAGGGCUGUCUCAAGUGCAAUUGCAAAAGCAGCAUAUUGGCGGUCAGAACAGUCGUAUAUUACAGAAUCUUGGUAGCCAAAUGGGUAGUGGAAUAAGGUCUGGCUUACAGCAGAAAUCUUAUGGCUUUACAAAUGGACCUGCAAAUGGUAGCUUAGGAUUAAUAGGUGGCAAUGUACAACUUUUGAAAGAAUCUAGCACCUCGGAGGGCUAUCUGACUGUCUCGCCUUAUGCUAAUUUAACCAAACCUGUACAACAAUCCUUUGAUCAGAAUGACAAAUCGUUGGUGCAAGGUAUUAUUUCUCUCUAUCUUUAUUGGCUCCAGCCUUUCUUGUCGAGCAGUUCUUGAUGAAAAAUCACAUCGUUACCACUUACCUGUUUUGUAAUAAGAAUCAAUUUCUUUUGGCAGGCGAUGCAUAUGGAAUGAAUAAUACUGACUCUUUUGGAUCAGAAAACCUUUAUGGCCCUGCAACAUCUGUUGGAUCAAUGAUGACUGCUCACAAUUUGAACCCGACAAAUUUGCCAUCUAUGUCUAAAACCAGUUCACCUUUCUCCAGUAACCAGUCAAAUUUUCAUGGAACUCAACAGGGCACUCACUCUCCCCUAAUUGAUGGGUCAGAUAAGAUGAAUUUCCAACCUCCACUAUCUUCCAGGGAAAACAUCAUUGAUUCUCAUACACAGCAGCAGUUUCAACAACAUCACCAAUUUCAACCUCAACAACAACCAUUUCUUCAACAGUCAAGUGUCCAGAAACAACAAAUUCAACCUCAGCAGCAUCUACUAAAUAACGAUUCUAUUAAUCAGGUUCAGUUAGCCUCUAACCUGGGCAGUCAUGUGAAGCAGGAACCUGGUGGGGAGCAUCAUAAUGGGCCUUUCCAGCCACAAGUUUCCGAACAUUUUCCACUGCCUGAGGCACAUAACCAAUUUCAUCAGAAUCCUAGUGAAGACUGUGUGAGGAAUGCUCAAUAUCUUUCUGUUUCUUCUAGCCAGAGUGAUAUUUGUUCCCCACUUUCUCAAAGCUCUCAACAGAUGCAACAAUUUUUGCAUCCACACCUAUUAAAUUCAAAUUCUCAAAAUCGUUUUAGCAGUCCAGCUGGAGCUCUAUCAGAUGCAACUUUGCAGGUUCAAUGGCAUCCUCAAUCACAAGAUAGAAAUCACAGGCAAGGGAGCAUUGUUCAUGAGCAAAAUGUCCAGCAUGAUUUCCGUAAAAAGGUAUCCAGUCACGAUAUAGUGCAGGGUGAUAAUUUACCUACGGAAGGAUCAACAAUUGGGCACUCCUUUGUUACUAGGACCAAGUCUGAGCCUCCUAAUCCCCUUGGUGCCACCUGCCAGAACAACAAUAGUGCACGCCAAUUUAUAAAUCAGCAGAGAUGGCUCCUAUUCUUGCGACAUGCUCGUCGCUGUGUAGCUCCUGAAGGGAAAUGUCCAGAACGAAACUGUGUCACUGCUCAGAAAUUGUGGCAACAUCUUGAUAGAUGCAGUUCUUCUAAAUGCACAUAUCCCCGCUGCCAGCCUACCAAGUUAUUGCUUCAUCAUCACAAGAGAUGUAGGGAUCUAAACUGUCCUGUUUGUAUUCCUGUCCGAGACUAUAUCCAGAGCCGAAAGAGCGUGCGUGCCCACAAUGCAUCUGAUUCAAGUUUGCAAAAGUUAACCAAUGGAUUCCCUAAAACCUGUGAUGCUCCAGAUAACACCACUAGAUAUAUUUUGAAAACUCUUCAGGCUUCUGAAACUUCAAAGGAUCUGCAAUCUUCUCUUAAGCGGAUGAAGAUAGAGCAGUCCUCUCAGUCUCUUGUUCCCAAGAGUGAGAGUUUGGCAGUUUCAGCUUCUGCUAUGAAUGAACGACACAUGUCAUUGGAUGUGCAGUGCCAAGGUUAUCAGCAAGGUGAUGAUACUAUGGCUGUUAAGCAUGAGCUCGCAGAUGUGAAAAUGGAUGUGCUGCAGAGCUCUACUCUUGAAAGCCAUAGUGACUUAAAGGAAGCUAAUGCAGAGAAUAAUUGCAGCCAAAGGUCUGAUGGUGACCUUGUCACAUACGAUGAGUUUUCUAGUUUACCAAAGCAAGAGAAUGUUAAAAUUGAGAAUGAGACGGAGUCAAGCAUGCAAGAUCAUUCAGUGCAUGUCACUGAGCAUGCAGCGGCCACCAAGUCUGGGAAGCCAAAAAUUAAAGGGGUUUCACUAACUGAAUUGUUUACUCCAGAACAAGUGAGAGACCAUAUCAUUAGUCUCAGACAGUGGGUUGGCCAGGUUGGUUAACAAGCUUUUAUUCUGUGUUGUUUUUAUAGAGAUACGUUGGAGAAUAUAUUUUGAUAAAAAUGCAAAUAAAAUUUUAUUUAUUUCAUAACUAUGUUUUGUCUAGACAGAAAGUAAUUCACUUUUUGAAUUUAUAAUGGAUAUAUGUGAAAACAUUAGUUCCGUCAAAAAUUUUGUUUUGAAUUCUAAUGAUCCCUUAUAAGUUCCUAGCUUUUGAGAAAUGGUCCAUCUUCAUUUAACCUUUGUUUCUGGUUCAAGAAAUGGUAUGCAUCACGGGUGCUUGAUGACAAGAUCCAGUGCACUUAGCUAUCUCAAAACUUCUUUAUUUACUGUCUUUUUCUCCAGAGCAAAUCCAAGGCUGAGAAGAAUCAAGCAAUGGAACAAUCAAUGAGUGAGAAUUCCUGUCAACUGUGUGCAGUUGAGAAACUCACUUUUGAGCCACCACCUAUAUAUUGCACGCCAUGUGGUGCACGUAUAAAACGAAAUGCAAUGUAUCAUACAGUAGGUGCUGGUGAUACACGACAUUAUUUUUGUAUUCCAUGUUACAAUGAUGCUCGUGGAGAUGUUAUUGUUGCUGAUGGGACUACCAUUCCCAAGUCAAGGCUAGAGAAGAAGAAAAAUGAUGAAGAGACUGAGGAAUGGGUAUGUGUAUUUGCAGUGAGCUAUGGUUUAUUUUAGGUGAUUUUCUUAUGCUUCAUCUUUUAGUUUUUUUUAACGUCCCUGAUGCUUUCUUUCAGUGGGUUCAAUGCGAUAAAUGUGAAGCAUGGCAACAUCAGAUCUGCGCUCUUUUCAAUGGUCGGAGAAAUGAUGGUGGUCAAGCUGAGUAUACCUGUCCAAAUUGUUACAUUCAAGAAAUUGAAAGAGGAGAGCGUAUACCAUUACCUCAGAGUGCUGUUCUUGGUGCCAAAGAAUUGCCCAGAACAAUUCUUAGUGAUCACAUAGAGCAGCGGUUGGUUAAGAGAUUGAAACAUGAAAGAGCUGAAAGGGCGAGGAUUCAAGGGAAAAGUUACGAUGAGGUAAUUUUGAACAACCAAACCUCCCUUUUUUUAAAUGGAAACAAACCUCUUCAUUGAUAUAAUGAAAUGAAAUGAAAGCCUCUUGUGUCAUUGAAUUUUCUUUUUCAAUAGCAGUCAUGGAGUACUGCCAAGUGUUUUUUUCUUGAAUCAGAUUUUCGCACUUCAGUUUUGGGUGGGGUUUUUGUUUUGUAUUCUUAUAUUUUUUUUUUCACUUUAUGAUUUAUCUUCUUGUGAAAAGCACCAAGAAACAUGAUCUAUUCAGACUGCUACUUCAACUUCAGCACAUAUUCAGUUUCUUUAAUUCAUUUGUUCUAUUGGUGUUGCUAGGUUCCUGGAGCAGAUGGGCUUGUCAUUAGAGUUGUUUCUUCCGUUGACAAAAAGUUGGAAGUUAAGCAAAGGUUUCUCGAAAUAUUUCAAGAAGAAAAUUAUCCAUUUGAGUUCCCUUACAAAUCCAAGGUACAAAAAUUAAAAGCAUGAUGCACUGUUAUUAGGACUGUUAUGUUGUUUAAUUUCUAGAUAUAUAGAUAUAACCUUCUAUUGUAACAUGAUCUGCUAGGUAAUGAGAUGUCACUUUUCAGUAUCAUCUGAAGCUAUCUUCUUUAAAUAUUUUGCCAGGCAAUUCUAUUGUUUCAGAAGAUUGAAGGUGUUGAAGUGUGCCUAUUCGGCAUGUAUGUUCAAGAAUUUGGGUCUGAGUGCCAGUUUCCUAAUCAGCGCCGUGUUUAUCUCUCAUACCUUGAUUCAGUAAAGUAUUUCAGACCUGAGAUUAAGACGUACACUGGAGAGGCUCUCCGAACUUUUGUUUACCAUGAAAUUCUGGUCAGUUUUUUUCUUUCAAGCUCUUAUCUGAACAAGUACUAUUUUAUAUACAUGUGAGUUGUUUUAGUCAUGUUCUUUGUUAUUGUAUUUUGGCCCUAUUUUUUAUCUUUUCAGAUAGGAUAUCUUGAAUAUUGCAAAAUUCGGGGUUUCACAAGCUGCUAUAUAUGGGCCUGUCCUCCAUUGAAGGGUGAAGAUUAUAUAUUAUACUGUCAUCCAGAAAUCCAGAAAACACCAAAAUCUGAUAAACUUCGGGAGUGGUAACAUUUAUGGAUACGAAUACUAGUUUCUCUAGUUUGAGAUAUAAGCAUUUUAUUCUUUGUUGACUCCUUAUUUGGCAUGCUUUUCAAUUUCAGGUAUUUAUCCAUGUUGAGAAAAGCUGCCAAGGAGAAAAUUGUUGUUGAUCUGACUAAUCUAUUUGAUCAUUUCUUUGUCUCCACUGGUGAGUGUAAGGCCAAGGUUACAGCAGCGAGGCUGCCAUAUUUUGAUGGUGAUUAUUGGCCUGGUGCUGCGGAGGAUUUGAUUUAUCAACUUCGGCAAGAAGAGGAUGGAAGAAAACAGAACAAAAAAGGAAUGACUAAAAAGACAAUAACUAAGAGAGCUCUAAAAGCAUCUGGUCAAUCUGAUCUUUCUGGUAAUGCGUCGAAGGAUCUGCUACUAAUGCAUAAAGUAAUCUCUCUUUUCCAGAAUCUUCUUUUUUUUGUUUUUUGUAUUUUGUAUUUUUAAACAUAUUUAAUAUCUGUGUGUGUGUGUGUGUGUGUGUAUUGGGGCAAUUUGCAAAAUUCAAUCCUGAAGUAUGGGUUGGUUAGAAUUUGCACCUUUUGAACUUUCAAUUGGAAAAAUUAACCUCAAUUUUUUUGGAGUAUAAAAAUAGUAUCUCUAAACUUUCAAGUACAAAUUGACAAAAAUUAACCUCAAAUUUUUUGGAGUAUAAAAAUAGUAUCUCUAAACUUUCAAGUACAAAUUGACAAAAAUUAAACCUCAAACUCUCAUCGAUAUGACGAUUAAAUCCAUACUACAUAUUUCGUCUCUACCUUCCACCUCUUUAUCCCUGGGUCAUUCCCUUUCCUUCAAUAACCCACUUUCUCUCCACUUGAAGGCAAGGGAAGCCUUUAAACUAACAAAAAAAAGCCUUCCUGUCAAGAGGCUUGACGUCAUCUCGAAAUCCCUCUCCAAAAGUUAACCUGUUAAUCCAAUGGAUACGCUUAUCUGAAUAUAGAAAAUGUCUCAUUUUAAGCUAAUCCCUUACAUUAACAGUAUCCCAUUGAAAUGAUGCUAAUGGAUCAUGUAUCUGAAAAAAGGAAGGGAAUGACCAAGGAAGGGAGAGGUGGAAGGUAGAGAGAGAACAAGAAGAAAUAGGAGAGAUAUUGAGUAAAAUGGAUUUUCUUUUCACACAAUGAGAGUUUUAACCUUUAGAGUUGAUUUUUUUAUAUUGAAAAGUUUGAGGGUUUAAUUUUUAUGAUCGAAACUUUAAGGGUGCAAUUGUUGGAAACAUCAUACUUCACGUGUGGUUUUUGCAGUUUGUCCAAAAUGUUACUGAUAUUUAGGCAGCCUUGGUCAUUUGGCUGUGUUUCAUUAGGCCACAUUUUAUUUUGCUCUUCCACACUUUGUAACGUCGUGCAAUUUUCAUUUUUUCUUAGCAUGUUUUUCUAUAUAUCUGUUAAGUUAUAAGUAUGAACAAAUUCUGAUUAGAUGUUAUGCUGGCAGAGUGUUAAGUUUUUCUAGUUGUAAAAUUAUGUGUAUGAAUAACAUUUCUGUAGGAUAUAAAGCAAUCAAUUUAUUGGCAGUGGGUUGUGCUUACAACUUUACGUAUUAGAAAGUUCUGUUCGUUUUAGAUAAAUUGAGAUAGCAUACUCUGUCCUGCAAUAUAUUCUUUAUUUGGGUGAAAUUUUAGUUUGUGAUGCUCCAGUGAGGAGGUAUCAAACGUAUUAUCUCAAAUUUUUAUAUGUUAUUUCUCCAGCUCGGUGAAACUAUUUCUCCCAUGAAGGAGGAUUUUAUCAUGGUUCAUUUACAGCACGCUUGCAGUCACUGUUGUAUUCUGAUGGUAUCCGGAAAUCGCUGGGUUUGCAACCAAUGCAAAAACUUUCAGCUUUGUGAUAAGUAAGAGUAACAAAUUAUCUCUUAUUUAUUGAAUCCGAAAAUCAAGAUUUUAUCAUUUGACCAUUAUUUUUGGAGCCAUCAACUGAAGAACUUAAAAUGUUCUUCAUUUGAUGGUUUUUCUGGAAAUACACGUGACUUCUCAUGUUAUUAUCUUUUUGUUUUGUUUUGUAAAAUGAGUAUUGGUUUUUCAUGGAAUUUUUCUACUGGAAUUCCACGGGCUAUAUAAUGAUAAUAAUACUUUUUAUGAUGAGAAUGAGAUGAUAUUAGCAGUACAAAAGAAGAAUGUCAUAUAAAAAAAAGAUGUUACAAAAGAAGGGAAAAAAAUUCUGACGCGAAAAAAGUUAUAAUCAUCUAUGUGUAGAGUAGUUUUCAAGUCGUUGAUUUUUAUGCAGUCCUUUUACCUUGUGUUCAAAAUUAAUUGGUGGGUGCUCGAAGGGGAUGGCUGCAUUGUCCAUGCACCAGCUAUUGGCUAGCUACUGUGUUGCCAUUUUUAUAAUAUAGAGUUGAUAGGCUUUUCCGGAUAUUUCUGUAUGUUUUAUUAAAAUGAGCUGGAAUGAUGUCUAGAUAUUUGUGACUUGAGGUUUGAGAACGUAUUGUUUCAAUGUAAGUAAUUGGGCGAAGUCAUAAGUUGUUUUCUUUAUAUUGUUUAACCUGAUUUUAAGAACUAAUUGUUCUUUUACUUCUUACAUUCAAAACCAACUGGUGAAUGCUGGAAGGUGAUGUUUUCUUUGUCCAUUGCAGCUUUUUGCUGCAGUUUUGCAAUUUAUUGUUAUUUUGAUUGUAUGAAUUUUAUAGUUUUGUAAUUAACUUGGUGGCCGAUGGUGGCUUUUAGAUAUUUAUAUAUGUCUAUGUCGAUAGGAAUUGAAAGUAGUGUGUCUAGUAUUGAAGGAGGCUAGGGAAUACAUUUGUUCUGGGAGUUUUGUGUUCAUUAAGGCAAUGGGAGGAUAAUGUCCAGUUGUUUUUUCAUCAUUUUUUUUAAAGCACUAAGCUUUUCAUUAAGAGAAUGAAAGAGACUAAUGUGUAAAAUUUAAAGAAACCAGGGAAAAGACAAUUCUAAAAAUAGAAUAAUCAAACAUGAAUGGGAGAGUUUCAUUGUUUUUUUUUAGUUGCUAUCUAUUUCUUUCAAUUUUUUUUUAAGUUCUGUUUCCUUUAGAAAAAGAAAAUAGAAUAACCAAAAAUACAAAGAAAGAGAUAGCAACUAAGAAGAAACAAUGAAACUCUCCCAGUUCUUGUUUAGGUCUUGGAUAGAGUAACUCUUGUUGCAUUUUUAUAAUGAGAACCAUGAAGAAGAUGUUUAGCGAGCUGAAUCAAAGGACUCAAAAUGUGACUGAAGAAUCUUUAAAUAUGCUCUGAGUUCUUUCGUUCAAUAACAACACAGAUUAGGGUAUUUUUUAUUUACACUUCUAUAACGUAAGAAGCAAGGAAAUUGUUCAUUCUAAAAGUCAAGGCACUAAAAGUAGAAAAGUGAAGAUACAUCACUAACCAUCAUACUGGUUCACAUCUUUUUUUUUUUAAAUGGAGCUUCUUUAUUAGUACUGGUUCACAUCUAUUUCCUUUGUUUAGUUUAAUUUGUGUGGUUCUUCACUUGGUUGUCAAUUAUGGUAAUGGUGGAUCUCGAAAAUCUGAAAAUGGUGUUUCUUCUCCGAAGACCUAUGUUUUUUUUUCUUUCCCUCACAUGAUGAUUUGGUCACAGGUGCUAUGAGGCAGAACAAAAACGUGAAGAAAGAGAAAAACAUCCUAUAAAUCAAAGAGAAAAGCAUGCCCUCUAUCCUGUAUGUUUUUGAAUCCACGGAAAUAUGUUCACCAUUUUUGUAUAUUUGUUAGUUUAAACAUUACCUGCAAACAUAACAUUCUAUCCAACCAAGGCCUGAAAAUGUUUUAAAGCGUUAAUACAUCCAAUCAUCUUUUUAUUUAUUAUUUGUACUUUAGAGUUAAUGAGUUUGCUGAACUGAACUCUGCAGGAUGAAAUCAAUGGCGUGCCUAUUGAUACCAAAGAUAAAGACGAGAUUCUUGAGAGUGAAUUUUUUGACACAAGGCAAGCAUUUUUGAGUUUGUGUCAAGGAAAUCAUUAUCAGUAUGAUACUCUUCGGCGAGCUAAGCAUUCAUCAAUGAUGGUUCUUUAUCAUCUUCAUAAUCCAACUGCCCCGGCAUUUGUCACAACUUGCAAUCUAUGUCAACUGGAUAUAGAAACUGGUCAAGGUUGGCGUUGUGAAGUUUGCCCUGAUUAUGAUGUAUGUAAUUCCUGUUACCAAAAAGAUGGAGGUAUUGACCAUCCUCACAAGUUGACUAAUCAUCCUUCCGUGGUUGAUCGAGAUGCACAAAAUAAAGAAGCUCGGCAACUACGUGUCUUGCAGGUUUUGUGGACAUUUUCUUGUUAUGCAUUAGCUCUUGACAUUAUAUCUUCAUCUAGACGCAUUCUUGGCCCUGCAUUUACUGUAAAUUUCUUUUUUGACUUUUAGCGUACUUCUUGUUGGCUUUUCAACUAUGUGCCACUUCAGGUUUCUUGAUGUUUGUGAAAAUAACAUCUAUGCAUUUAGUAGUCCCAAUCUUUUCCCAACGUCUAGAAGUUAAAUGUAGAACAAGAAAAAUGUUCUGCUUCAUUUAGUGCUUUAUUUUUAGUGGUAUUUUGUGAUUAACUAAAUGUUCAUUUAAUUAGAUGAUUUGAUCAAGAAGUGAACAACUAAGCAUUUCACUGCAGUUUGAUUCUUUCUUUUCACAUUACUAUGGAGGCUUGUUUUGUUCGUUUUGCUCUAAUUAACAGGCAGUGGAUACUCAUCAUUCCUCUAAUCUUGAUUUUGGCAAUCACCUUGACCGUUGAAAUAUUACUUUUCUUUUCUUUUUUCCCAUGAGGUCUUGCAUCAUGCAUUUCUUGUUUCAUUCUGUAUGCCUUACUUUUGUUAGUUUGAUGUUGCAGCUUAGGAAAAUGCUGGAUCUUUUGGUGCAUGCAUCUCAAUGUCGUUCUUCACUUUGUCAAUAUCCAAACUGUCGGAAGGUGAAGGGGCUUUUCCGACAUGGGAUACAAUGCAAAACACGUGCAUCUGGUGGUUGUGUUCUCUGCAAGAAAAUGUGGUACCUCCUUCAACUACAUGCUCGAGCUUGCAAAGAAUCUCAAUGCCACGUGCCCCGUUGCAGGUAAUGUCUACAUCAUUUUCUUUUUCAUCUUUUGGGUUUAUGCAAUCGUGAAGGUAUUCUAUACUGUGUAUAAUAUGUCCAUUUGUGUUGCAUAUAUAUAUAUAUCAUCUGUGUAGUAACUGAGAUUAGAGAGGUUGAAUUUUUAAUGUACUCCAGAGAUCUCAAAGAGCACUUAAGGCGGCUGCAGCAGCAGUCUGAUUCACGGAGAAGAGCAGCUGUGAUGGAAAUGAUGAGACAGAGAGCUGCAGAACUGAACAAUACGGGGUAACCAGUUUGUAGGUUUACAUUAAUAUUAUUGAGGAUGCGAAGUUGAAAAAGAUUUGAAGCCAUUCUUGAAAGAGCACUGCUGGGAGGGUGGAAAUCAGGCAGUGGGUGACAGACAACAUAGAUGGAAGCGGUAGUGAACUAUACACUCAACAUCUUGGUUAAAUAUUCAGGUUUAGGGAACAAUUCUUUUAUUCUAUGUAUCUACCACUUGAACUUUCCCCAAUAGAAAAGCCAAGUGAGACUCAAGCAGAGCAGCUGCCGUCCUCGUCUUCGUCUUCGUCUUGGUCAUCGACCCCUAACAUUGUUUCUAAGUUCUCAUCCAUAAUUUUUCCUUUACUGUAAAAUACCAUCUUUCAUUAACAUGUGUACCCAGUCCCAUGUUUAUAAGAUUCAAUAAUUAGUUUCAGGAAGUGCUCCAGGACAUACAUUUACUUGUAUAAUUUGGCUUCUACAUUAUUUAUAGAUGAACAACUUUGAUCUGUUCGGUUGUCGUAGAUUCAAAACAUUGUUUUAUAUUUAGCAAAUGUGAAUUGUUAUACAGAUCAAUUACAAUGUCUCAUUAAAACCUAAAUGAUGUUUCAGCCAUCCAAGGCAACCCAAAUUAAAAAACCUAUGACUGAGAAUUUUGUUAAAAUUAAGAAAAUGUGGCUUCUCGACAUAUAUUUGAUUGUUUCUUCAAUGUUUAUUCGAGUUCGAGUUCUCACUUCCACUCCGUAUUUCUAUUCCUCCCAUCACCUAUUUCUCUUUCCCGACCCCUUCUCUUCUCUUUUCUCCUUUUCUUCUUUUUCUUCUUUCUCUUCUUUCUCUCCGUUCUCUUCCAAAAUUCUCCUUUUUUUUUUUUGUAUGACUUGCCAACCAAGUCACUAAAAUUUCUUUAAAGAGUUUUCAUAAUCAGUAACCCUUUAGCAUAAAAUAGUAAGAAUAUAGCUUUUAAAACAAUAUGCAAACAUAGCAAAUUUUUUAUUUCUCUUUGUAUAUUUCUAAAAUACCCUAGAAGUGAAUAUUAUCACUUUCACGAUUCUCUCAAUCGUCUUCUUUAUUUUCCAUUCACGAUUUUUUCUGCCUCCAACCAAUUGAUUUUAUGUCUUUGCCUCCAAGUAGUUCGAUCGCCAUAGCCUCCAAUCGACCAUUAAUUUUUUGUUUGCUUCUCCUUUGCUUGGUCAGGAUUACGGUCUUGGUAUCAAUUUUUUUUUUAAAUUUUGUGGUAUGUGAUCAAAUUUCAUUGAAGUUUUUUUUUUUUUAGAUUUGUUCCUUAGUUUUCUAAUUCAAUCUUUGUUCAUCAUCUCAAAUUGAACUUCUUUUCACAAAUUUUCCAUUGACUUUAUCUUAUUUACACAAUAUGAUUUAAUUUCAUCUAUGUUUGUAAGCUUAAAUUCUAUUUAAUUGUUAUCUUAUUUACACUAAGAUAGCACAUCAAUCCAACCAACUAAACCUUAACAGUCUAUUCGUAAUAGAAACAUAGUGUUGUUUCCCCUUUUCUUUUUCUUUUAAAACAAAAUGACCUUUACCAAAUUCAUUUUUCCAAUUUCUUUCUAUUUCUACCUUGUUCUGAAUUCUCUUCCAAGAGAGACACUCCAUGAUAUACUUGAAGCUAAAAAGUGAAUUUUACAACCUAGUUUUUAUUUUAUUUUAUGCAUAUUAUUUCACUCAGAUUACAUAAAUAUAGAAGUAUCGUAAAUUUGUUGAUUUUGUUGAAAAAUAUUUUUUUUCCCUUCAUAUAAUAUAAUAGAUGAAGUUUUAAAAUUAAUAUGUCGAUGAGUAUCAAGUGAUAGAAAACAUGUGUAAUUAAAUAAUUCGAAAAAGUUAAAACAAAUAAAAAUAUGCAACAAAAAAGGAACUUGUUUAGAUUACAAAAAAUUUCAUCAUAUACUCAUGAGAAAAAGAAAAAAAUCAAUUCAAUUCAACACCUUAAACACAAAUUUAUUCGACUUAACCUAACUAAUCACUAGUUCGUAGGUUAAACUAGUUAAGUCAGGAUAAAUGUAGAUUUUCUUAAAAUAUAUCAAUAAUUAUUUAUAAUUUAACACAAGUUUGUGCACGAAAUGCAUAGUAACUUCUAAGAACUAAGUGAUUCAAUAGAAAGCGUUUAUUUUAUUUAAAACAUUUAAAAUUGUAGUGUUUACAAUGUUGGUUUUGUCCAAAUACAAUAGAAAUGAAAAUAAAGAAAUAGAAUAUAUUAAUGAGGGGGAAGGGAUGGAUGAAGAGGAAGCGAAAGUCAGGGUGGGAAUGGUAGUCAACUUCUAUCAUUUAAUAGCAUUUGUAGUUAGGAGAGGAGAGAGUGAUAUGGGCAUUUGUUUUUGGUUCAAAAGAAGAGUAAUUAGGAGAGACGAGUAUGGGUGUGGAUGAUGACACUGACAUCCAAAAAGAUCAAAGGGAGAUGUUCGAAUCUACUAAAGUUGUCGUAAAUGCUUUCCAGCGACUGUGAGUAAGAUGCCCCGAGAUCCGCGUAAGAAGAGAAGCUUUUUAUGAGCGCCGACACAUGGAUUUUCACACAAACCCUUCCCCACAAAACGUGAAUGUAGCAUUCAAAUCAACGCGCUAUCUCCCCAACCCCCUGCCUUUAAAGUUCCUUUCCCUCACCUUCCAACUGGACUCUUCAUUUACUUCACCGAUUUUUGUUUUAAUUUUGCUUCAUCAUCCCAUACAUACUGGCCAGGCCAAAGGCAGCUCAAUAAUUCCUAUCUUAAUGGCCAAAUUAACUACACAAACCCUUCAGUUUUGCUGCCUCUUGAUCCUUUUGUUUCCCAUGCUGCUUCCGGCCAGCUCUCCACCGGAUCUUGUGCAGACAGAGUGCUUGAGCGUACCCUCCUCCCAGUUCUCCAACUCACUCCUCUCCACCAUCGAUGUUGUACGACAGGUUAUGGCCAUUUUCUCUCCGUUCAGUAAAUUACUGGGAGACUUCCGGCUUUCCACCGCCAUUUCCGACUGUCUCGAUUUGCUUGACUCCUCUGCUGACCAGUUGAGCUGGUCCCUCUCCGCCACCCAGAAUCCCAAGGGUACACCAUUAUUUACAAUACCCCACCCCCACCGCAUUCUUAUAAAUUUGCAUAUUAACUCUCUACCCCCUAAGCCUAUUCAUUUAUAUGUUGCGCUUUCAAACUUUGCUUUAAUAUGUGUUGUUGGUUAGUUCACGGGGAUAUUGUCGGUUGUGCUGCUGCUGGACCUACUAGUUACUUUUAUAAAUUGCGCAUGCAAAUGCAACUACACUAGAAAUUCAACAUAUUUACAAAUUAAACAUCCUCCUGCUUACAUUAUUUCAGCUAAAAACCAUAGCACGGGAGAUCUGAGUUCUGAUCUGAAGACAUGGCUGAGCGCUGCAGUGGUUAAUCCGGAAACAUGCAUGGAUGGAUUUGAGGGCACCAAUAGCAUUAUCAAAGGUCUAGUAUCUGGAGGCGUUAACCAGUUAACUUCACAGCUCUAUGACCUUCUUUCCAUGGUGAAAUCAAUCCCCAAUCAACCGAGCGAGUUUCCUUCAUGGCUGAAAUCUGAGGACCAGAACUUGCUGCAAAUAAAUGACUUGGCCGCCGAUGCCACAGUGGCCGCCGACGGGACUGGGGAUUUCACCAAUGUGAUGGAUGCGGUACUAGCAGCCCCUGACAAUAGCAUACGACGUUAUGUCAUAUACAUAAAGAAGGGUGUGUACUUGGAGAACGUGGAGAUCAAGAAGAAGAAGUGGAAUCUCAUGAUGAUUGGGGAUGGAAUAGAUGCCACCAUCAUAUCGGGUAACCGCAGUUUUAUUGACGGUUGGACAACAUUCCGAUCAGCGACCUUCGGUAAUUUUCCCUUUCAUUAUAAUAAUUUCUGAGGACAAAACAAAACAGAGAAAUGAAGAAGAAGUGGUUAUUAAUUAAUUUGCAAAUGAUUUGCAGCUGUAAGUGGAAGAGGAUUCAUAGCGCGAGACAUAACAUUCGAGAAUACUGCAGGAGCAGAGAAACAUCAAGCAGUGGCACUUAGAUCGGACUCCGAUCUGUCGGUGUUUUUUAGAUGUCGAAUUAGAGGCUACCAAGACACGCUGUAUACGCACACCAUGCGCCAAUUUUACCGCGAGUGCCAAAUCAGUGGGACCGUUGAUUUUCUUUUCGGCGAUGCCACCGUCGUUUUUCAAAACUGCAGCAUCCUGGCGAAGAAGGGUCUUCCCAACCAGAAAAACACCAUCACUGCUCAGGGCCGGAAAGACCCAAACCAACCCACCGGUUUCUCCAUUCAAUUCUGCAACAUAUCUGCGGAUUCAGACCUUAAACCCUCGGUUAACACUACUGCUACGUACCUUGGAAGACCAUGGAAGGAAUAUUCCAGAACCAUUAUCAUGCAAUCAUACAUCAGCGAUGCCAUUAGGCCAGAAGGUUGGCUUGAGUGGAACGCCAAUUUUGCAUUGAAUACACUAUUCUACGCUGAGUUUAUGAAUUACGGACCGGGGGCGGGAUUGGCCAAGCGUGUCAAUUGGCCCGGUUACCACCGACUGAAUCAAACCAGUGAAGCUACUAACUUCACCGUGGCUCAAUUCAUUGAAGGAAACCUGUGGCUGCCGUCCACGGGUGUCAAAUACACUGCAGGACUGGGAGCUAAUUAGUAAAUCAACAAUAUGUGGUGCAUUGAUGCUCCCUCCUAUAUAUCUCACUUUCAAAAUAUACAUAAAAAUGAAUUAAAACAUUAAAAAAAAAAAUCCCUUGCCGUAGUUUAGAUGAUACAAUUCGGUGGACCCAGAAAGUUAAGUGCCUCUAGAUAUUUUUGGUGUUGUAAUUAAAGCAAACCCCCUAAAUUCCCCUCGAGUCUUCAGUUCUGUGUGUGCCACCGUGGUGCACUUGCCAUAUGCUUUUGUGUGACCAUUUAUCUCUUCACUUUGACCUUCAUUUUGUAACAUGUUGUUCUAGUGCUUUUGGUCGCAAUUGUCCAUUGUUUUCUGCCCCUCUUUUCAUUACCAUCGUAUUAUUGUUUGAUGUUUGUUUAAUUGUCAUAUUGCUCUUCGUCUCUGUCUUUCAUCUAUUAUAUAUAUGUUGUGGUUUUUCUUGCCUUCGUGGUCUUUAUUAUAUCGUUCAUGUUGAUAUCACCAUGCAGCAACUUUGCUCAUCUUUCAUUAUUGUGUCAUCAUUUGUUAAAAUCAUCAAUAUGAAUGUUGGUUAAAAAAAUAGAUUUGAAGAGGUAAUAUCUAGUAAAAUUUUAAUAGUUAUUAGUUUCGAUAUAAUAGUACUUAACCUAAUCAGUAAAUUAAUAACUACUUUUUAGUACCAUGACGACAUUGCCGGUAUGACCAUAACUCAAAUCUUAACUAACAUCAAGCAUCUACAUAUAGUAGAUGGCGUUAAAUGUAUCAAUUUGAGAUUAAAAGUUUCAACCUCUCGUCAAAGGAAAAAAAAUGUAUUCAAAUUUUAGUUUUAAGUUACUAAAAUUUUAAAUAGAAUAAAAGUGGUGGUUGUUUGAAGAAUCCACAUUUGGCUCCUCGAAAUUCUGCUGUUGAUGUAAAAAAAUGAAAGCUUUUUACUGCAAUCACUGGGUAUCGAUGGUCUAAGAUUUCAUGCAAAGACCAGCUUCACGAAGACAGAAUCUGGAAGAUGAAAGAAGAUCGACGGAGGGGAAGAAGAUAUUGUAGAAAGAAUAUUGCAAAGAGAUCUACAAAUGAGAAGAAUAUGAAGAAGAUCGAGAAGCAUUGAGAAUCGAGGAGAUGAAAGAGAGAAUUGAGAGGAGUCCUUUGCUACUUUUACAUUUUUAUGAUGAUGUAAGCGAAAAACCUAGAACUUACAUUUUAGAAAAGUAGGUCAAUUUCACUUGGGUAUUUCAAAUUAGGUCAUCUGUGAAAAGGAUAACCUAAGCAUGCAUUGCAUAAACAACCCAAGUUUAAACCUUCGAUUUUGCCUGUAGCUCCGCAAAUCUUCAAAAAACCGAGUAGCAUACCCAGUUUUUCGGUAAACCCUAGCGAGUUGGUUUUCUUCGAUUUCCUCCACUCUCAUGGUUCUGUUGCUUUCUUGCAUAAUUCUCAAUUGCAAAUCUAAUUAUAAGCAAAGUAAAAAGAAUAUUACAAAAAUAAUAUCCCAAAUAUAUUCUAAUUACAACAAUACCCUCCUCAAACUCAAGGUUCUAAUCACGAACUUGAGUUUGCUAAUAACUUGAUAAAACAAAUCCACGAAUGACUUAUGGGAUAGUAAUGUAGGUUAUCGUAUAGAAAUCUAUAAUAUAACCUACAAAGAACAAAGCAAGAACUCAGCAAGAACAACUCCUAAAACUUGAUAGAGAGAUAGUGGAACGAAAAGUAAUGCAUGAGGUAAAGGUUGGUUGGAUUUGGAGCGGAGGACGAGCUGAACGGAUCUUUAAAGUAAAUCAAAACCAAAGCAGGUGGAAACGAGGCAGAUAUGUGGGACAAAGCAGACGAAACCUAGAGGUGAAUAGAACAAAAAUCGAACUGAUUGGAGUUGAGAGGCUGAGUGGAUCCGAAUGAAAACCGGAUCAGGGCAUAAUUGGAUCUAAGCUUCGAUCUAAACUUGAAGUGUUGAAGAGCUGCCAAAGACACUAAGCGAGAAGAGGAGGAAGAUAAGCAUUUCAGGUUUAACUUGUUAAGUGUUGUGAGUGUUUUCUUUAAAUGUUUAAAUGAUGAUUUCCAGUGCCUUGUUCAUUCUUGUUGAUUUGAAAUAGUGAUUUAGUAGAUUCGGCCUCGUGUUGAGGACAUUUCCCCGACAUUGGGAUAAACGAGCCGGCUUUCUCCGAUGUCGAGGACAUUUCAAAUAAUUUCCAAGCGUCAGGAUUAAGGUGUCGAGAAAAUAACAUUUCCCGACGUCGUGAAGAGGACAUCACCAAUUGAGAUUUUUGUCGACGCCAAGCAUCAGCGGGUUGGGAAAAGUUAAAACUAUUUAAAUUUAGAGCAAUUAUGAUGCAUACCUAUAUGUGACAUCAACAAUUGCUCCACAAAUGCCGACGUUGGCAUUGACCACGUUUGCAAAGGUUCAACCUUUAAGUAAUUUUUAUAACUUUUUCUGACGUCAAAAGUGACUACUCGAGAUUGGCCUACUUUUUGCCGACGUAGGAUCUAACAAUGUUGGGGGAAAGUGCGACGUUUAAAAAUUUUGAAAAGUUUUUUCGACGCCAUGAGUGUCAACGUCAGGAUCAGUGGAAAAUGUCGACGUUGUCAAUUAUGGCAUCGUAAAUAGAAUGGUUCUCGCAACGUACUCAUGUUGCGUCAUGAGAACCCAUUAUUAUAAAAUAUUAUGUUUUCACAUAACACAGAACACACAAGAGAACGUAAAAUGAAAGAGAGAAGAGGGAGUGUAGUCCUUGCUCGAUGUCGUCAUCGUUUGCAGCCCGCCGUCCUCCUUUCGUCGUCAAGUUACUUAGUCGUCUCUAUUUCGGUAAAGAGUUGUAUUUAUUUAUUUAUUCUAAAUAAAUGUAUAUUGUUUUCGGUUGUAUGUAUAUUGUUUUAAGUUGUAUGUAUAUUGUAUAUCGUGAAUUGUAGAUUGUAUAUUGUAUAUAUUGAAAUUGUUGAAUGUUUUUUAACUAAAAUUUAUAUGAGUUGUUUAGAUUUUAUAUUGUAUGUAUGUUUGAUAUUUAAUCUUGUGUCAUUGUAGGUUGGGAGGCAUGGGAGAACUGACGUCCACGUGUUUAGAAUUAUGUUUUCAAGUUUUAGUUUUAAGUUUUCAUGUAAUUUCUAAACUAAAACACGUGUAUUUUUUUUUAAUAUUUGAAUUAAUAUGAAUAUAGAUUCGAUUUUGGUAUGUUUUUCAUCUUAUGUUAAUAUUGUUUUUAAAAAUUGAUUGAAUUUAUAAAUCGAAUUCGUUCUCAAUACCAUAUAUAUAUAUAUAUAAUAAAUUAAAAAAAGUUAUAAACAGGUUUUUCUGACGCACAAAACGCAUCGAGCAUGGACCCUAUACCGACGUCAUGUUGGCUUUUCCCUUCCUCGACGUACAAGACGACGUCGAUGUAGGUAUUGUCGACAUCUGGUCAACAGGUCGAAAGAGCGAAGCAUGCAUUGACAAAAUCUUUUGCCGACGUCAUGUUGUUCGUGCGUCAGUAUAGCCUAUCCCAACACGGUAAUGCCGACGUGGUUUUCUGCGUCGAGAUAGCCUAUUCAGAUGCAUUUUGUGAUUUAUGCCGACACACACAUGAGUCGGUAGAACUCCCCUUUCUUGUAGUGUUUGUUAAAGUCUCUGAAUCUCACAAUUUUCUCGAGAUCACGAAUACACCAAAAAAAUAACUUCUGAAUAAGUGAGGUAUUGGUUGUGAGAACUAAUCUUAAUUUUUGGGAUUAAGGCAUAUUAGGAAUAACGAGUAACACGAGGAGAAGGUUAUGUAUCAAAUAAUUCCUAUGCGGGAGUUAUUUAAAAUUUAAUUUCACAACUAAAUUAUUAAUAAGUAAUUAUUUUAUUAUUUAUUUUAUUUAGAGGCAUUUGUAGAAUUAUAAAAAAAAUACAAACUAUUUACUAUUUUAUAAAUAAAUAAAAAACUAAUAAAAGACAAAAGUGCAUGAUCUAACAUAAUUAGGAACAAUUUUAAAAAUAAUAAUCAAGUAUAUAACAAUUUUUUUUUUUGCAAAUAUAACAAAAUCGAAAUGUGAUAAGCCUCUAUCGGUAAUAGACUCUUAUGGUCUAUCAUUGAUAAAUCAAUAUUUAUUUUGACAGGUUCUGCUAUAUUUGUAAAUUUUUAAAAAUGUCGUUCUAUGCUCAAUUGUUUUGAAUCUAAUUACCAUAUUUGCAACUAUACAUUUUUUUGUUGUAAAUAGUUGGCUUAUUUUUCUUUUUUGGACAAGUCCCCUUUAAUUUAUUUAAUAAUUAAUUAAUUCAAUUCAAUUUAAUUCAAUUAAUAGUUUCAUUUAGAUCAUAUUUAAAUGAACACAUAGUCCACGUAACCUAUACCUUUAAUUCAGCUAAUUUAAUUAAAUCAAAUCAAAUUAUAUCUAAUUAAAUAUCAUAGGUUUAAUUUAACGUAAUCUAUAUAUGAAUCAUAUUCAAUCAUAUUUCUCUCAUAAUCUAUAGCAUUUAUGUGUAUCUAAUACACACAAAUUUUAACUUAUAGUUUUAAUUUGAAUUUAAUUUAUAUUAAAUUAAUAUUUAAAUUCUUCAAAUAUUUAAUUUAAUUAAAAUAUAAAAUUGAUAUUAUAAUGUAUAUCAGUCUUAAUCUAAGUAAAAUUGAACAUUUCAAAUUCUAAAACAUAAUAGCCUCGCUACCCUCUACUAGCUGCUGAGGAGAUCUAAUAAACCUAUAGAUCACAAAUUUCAGUUUAAUUCGCUAAAACUCAUUAACCACAUUAAUCAAUACUCGUUAAUUAUGUGUACACGUAACUAAACAUUCAUAGUUUUACUCUUCUCCUUGUAUAUAUUAGUUUAUGUAUCCAUUAAUAUAGACUAAUAGCCAAUUAGUCAUUCAUGAGUGUUUGUAACAUCAGUUGAGUCAAAUUAUCAUUUUACUCUUAUAUUAAUUCAAAUCAUUAAACAUAAAACCAUCUCGAGCUAGUGAGAGGGUAAGACCCUUUGUUCGUUUCAAGUCAUUGUUUAAGGGAACACUCAUCUACUUAUCAUAAAGUUGUAAAUAAAUGGUAGGCUUAUUGAGUCAACGAACUAGUCAAUCUCACCCAUACAAAUCAAACGAAAAUCACUCGUGAAUAGAAAUACAUAAUACACUCGGAAUUAAGACUAAGUUAUCUAUGUCAUUCUAUUGAAAUAGAAACUCAACUAGUAAACAUAAUUACACCUAGUGAUUACUAUUUUCAUGGUUGGAUUAGGUUGUAAAACCACCUAAAACCAAAGCAAGUAAAAUAAUUAUAAAAUUGAUUUUUGAUUCUGCAUUUAAAGUUGAAUUACAAGGAGUUAGAACAAAAAUAACUUAACUCAAGCCAGCAUAAAAACACAUGAGAGCCAAAUUAUCUUAUCAAGAGGGAAAACGAAGAUAAACGAUUUUUAUCAUUUAAGAGCCUCUUGUAACUUUUCAUACCCCGCAUUGUCCCAAAACAACUGUUCUAAAAACAAUCCCAAUCUUUACCCCUCUCACCAAAACAGACUUAGUUUUCCAAAAAUCUUCCUUACAAAUUAAUCCCAGCAAAUCUCUAACUCUCAUCAAAGUUAUGGGUGUUCAAAUCAUCCGAAUAUCAAUCUAGACCAGCAGCCUUGACCAACGCCGCCGCUCGUGCCUUCGUAGCCAGUAAGCUCUAUCUCUGAUUCAAGGGGUUUUCUUACUCUCUCUACCGGUUAGGAGCAGUGCGUAGGAGUUUUGGUGAGUUUAAUGUGAGUUCUUUGGUUCUUCUCACACCAUAACCCAUUUGGCUUAAAUUUAACUUACCCACGUUGUUUUGAUCUUAGAUUCUUGAGUUUGCAGGAGUCUAAUGUGCUAUCCAGCAAGACAUUAAGAUUUUUGGGGUACGUUUCGAUGGGUAUUUACCCUCCGAUCUUCUCUUGGAGAUACUUUCAUGGCUUGAAUUGGUACUGAAUUCAGUUUUGGUUAGAACAUUGAUCGAGGUUCCGUAAGGAGAAGAGAAUUGUUAUUGGUGGAUAUUGGGAUUGGAUUCGAGGUAAGGGACCUUGCCCUUGGAAUGCUUUAAGGGCAAGUUUGGGUGUUACCACCGACUGUAUAUCUUACGUGAAUUCUUGUGCCAGUCUUAGACCAUGAAAGUCAUGUUUUUUAAAUGUCAUGAAUUUCAAUGCAAUGUUUUAUGACUUAUGAGUGCCAUUUCUGAAAUUUAUCCAUAAUUGAUUAAGCCAUGAAAUGUGAAUAGUAUAAUAUGUGAAGCUCGUGAAUGUUAUGUUAUGUACGUCAUGCAUGUGAAGUUUGAUGUAUAUGGCUGCAAGGCUUGUUAUAUUGCACAGGACCUCAUGCACGUGUGAAUGCUUGUCAAAGUCAUGAAAGCGUUCAAUGGUUUCCUUCCCUUUUAUUGAACAAUUUAACUGCAUGGAAGGUGCGUGUCCAAGGGCUCCAGUGCAUGAAAACGAUGUUCUAGAGUCGAUACACAUGGACGUGAUACAUACCUAACGGGGCUUGCUAUGAAGCACAAAAUACUUCACGUUAGGUAGAGAAUUGGUGUCGGAUGUCAGUAUUAGAUACUGAUAGAUGUGGCAUAUCUGUUUUCUUAAAAUUAUUUUGUUUAAAUAUAAGAUACUCAUGCCUACUUCUAGAUACGUAUAGUGGACACGCUGGACCUUACCAAAAAAUAUAUAAAAAAAGCUCAUUUAAUUUUUCCUAAUCUGAGACUAAGUAGUCUAUCUAAAAAGCUCACUGCCUGAACGAAAAAUUAAAAAAUUAAAAGAAAAAAACCAGAAUCAUCUCAUUUUCAUCUUCAUGUCAGGGUCCCCACAAAGUCAAGCAUAAAUAACCUAUUGAAUAUCUUCAACAGUUCAACGAAAAAGUCCCUCGUUGUUCUCCCUCAAGUCUUCUUCUCUGAUCAGUCCAUACUCUGGUGCACCACCAACCUUUUUAUUGUAUUCUAAUGACUAUUGUAUUUCAGUAUUUUUUAUGUUGCUUUUUGUAUUUAAUUCUAGUGUUUGUAUUGUAUUUUUUGAUAGAAUCAACAACUUUCAUUGAGAAAAAGAACAUGAAAAAUACAAGGGCUUAAAAGAAAAGAAAAGAAAAUAAGAAUCCACAAAACAUCCCCUCUAAAGAAACAUAUUCCAACUAAAAAAGAUGUUACCUAGAGCACUGUAGAUUGUACUAUUGCCAUUAACUUAACAAUAUUAUUGUAUUGUUGAUUGUAAUAUUGUCAUUAAUUUGACAUUUUUUAAAUAUAUUUUUAGUGGAUUAAAUCUAGUAUUUUUAUGUUAAAUUUACAUGUUUGAACACACACAUUCUUAUCCUAGUUUUUUAGGGCCUCGCGUUUCACCAUAUCCUAUAGUAUUCGUAUGCUAUAUCCAUGUUUGUGCUUCAUAGGAAGUUUUGAGUAUAUGAAAUGAUACACGCCACGCCCAAUGUGCAGUGGGUUAUGUGUUUGAAAGUGAUGUAGACAGACUGUGUACAAAAGUGAUGAACAACCCAACUUAUGAAAGGGAAGAAGUGGAAAACAUAGAAAGAAAGUUUAGUCCCACAAUGAUUACUUAAGAAUAGUCUCGAUGCACGUGUGUUUGCAUUUUCUUACCCUAGUUGUGGGGUUUCAUACUGAGUAUUUUUUAGUACUCACCCUUCCAGAGAAAUAUUUUAGAUAAGAACAAGUUGACUUAGGCGGAUGGCCAUGGGUGACUGCAAGGUCCAGUUACAUUUUAGUUAACUUAUUUGUAUCACUCCUUUAAGUCUUAUGUUAUGUUUUUACUUUAAGUUUUUGUUAUUUGUUUUCUAAACUUUGGGAUCCCAAACUGAACGUUGUUAUGGAAUGGAUUAUGAACUUAACACAUCUUUCAUGUUUUUAUUUGAAUAAAAGUUCGGUGAGUCUUCUAGUUUUGUCCAGUGCUGUCGUAUUGGUUGCAUGCAUGAGUCAUGACCCUUGUUAACAAUUUUGAAUAGUCGGGUCCUUGCAAUCAUGCAUUAUGUGGUUCUGUAUUGUACAUCAUCCUCUUGCUGAUGCCGAAGUCAUACACAGGGGCUUGAGGCUUGUUCACAGAGCCCUACGACAGGCAUGGGCCGACAUAUGGAGUGGGCAGGGCGAAUGGGCUACAUGUGGGGAAUCCCAAGGAAAAUGUUGUUCGUGGCAGUGGGUGCUUUUGCCAAGGCUGUGGCAAAUGUUCUAAACACCACUACUGUCCACAACGCCGAUACUCUCAUUCGACUUGUCCAACACCGGCCUCCCGGAGUGCCCCUCGUCACUGUUAGCAAUCAUAUGUCCACGUUUGUCUCUUUCCCUUGUUUUUUGGCGUUGUUUCCAUUAGCUUCUAAGCUUCUCAGUUUGUCGCAAUCCACCUCCCACGUUAACUUGGCUGGGUUUCACUCUCUGUAUCUUUGUGUAAUUUCUAAGUUGAUGUUGCUUUUGUGGAUACAACAGGAUAGACGAUCCAGUCAUGUGGGGCUUCAAAGGUUUUCCGACCUCUGAUGCAACAUUAGGUAGGUGGGUGUUGGCAGCAGAGGAUAUUUGCUUUAAGAACGUUGUGCUAUCUUAUUUAUUCCGAUUAGGUAAGAGACAUCUACUCUAUGUUACUUCAUUGUUACUGUUUUCUUUUUGGUUUUAUCUUCCAUUAGUAGGAGUUGGUUAGUGAAAGGUGAUUACAAAGCAGUGUUAAUUCAGAUGCACAGAAAAUUUCCAAUAGCAUAGUUGUCAUUAGUGGGAGUUGGGAUAUCAUCAUGACUCAUGAGAAAAGAAAUAUCAAAGUAACAUUGAAACAGUAUUAUGAUAUCAAAGACAAUGAAUCUGGAACACUUUAAUUUGUUAAGGAUUCCAUAUUGGAAAAAUCAAGGGACCUCAUAAUUGUUAAGAUACUAUGCCCUAAUAUCUUGAUAGACCCCUAUCAUACAUCAAUACAGUAGAAGAGGAAAGAAAGCUUCAACAUGUGUGGGAGGGGAUACAAACACGGAGGUGGUAAAUAAUAAAUAGGACUGGUUAGGAGCAAGUAUAAAUAGUUUUUUAACUGAGAGGGAAAGGCAUUUAGUAUUUUCAAAUGACAGUUGUACUCUGUUUCUGUUAGGAUACUAACAAUAAUUUAGACUGAAAGGACUGUAUAAAUGGCUUAAACAGAGGCGGUACUCUGGUUUACUUUAUUUAUAUAUAAAGCCAAAUGAUCCAGAUUCACAAGAUGAAAAGAAAUAACAAGAAACAACAAGGAAAAAUGCAGAAAAGAUCAUACCAGCCUCUUGGUUUUAAGAGACCCUGGUGGCUGCUGUAGCCCUACCUCCUAAAAGUUAAAAAUACCCUAGCUACUCCAACCUAAUAAUCCUAUUUAUAGACUCACAUAUUCCUCAGCCCAGUGGGCCCUACCACUCAGAACGUCCUUCCAAUCAUUUCUCCAUAAUAAUUCCCUGUGCAGUUACUUUUCUACCCUUCCUCCUAUAAGUAUGGAUAAUUGGGGGUCUUACAAUACCCCUCGGUUCCAAGUUCACCUUGUCCUCAAGGUGGAAGGUGGGAAACUGUUGAUUCAUUUGGUACACUGCUUCCCAGGUAGCCUCGUUCUCCGGUAGUUCUUUCCAUUUCACCAACCACUCGUUGGCCCCCAAGUCCUUAUUCCAUCGAAUGCCCAGUACGGUUUCUGGUUGUAGCUGUAGUUCAAACUCUUCCGUUAGUACUGGUUGUUGGAUUUGUACUACAUGUGUUUUUCCCAAUUUCAGUUUCAGUUGGGAAAUAUGGAAGACGUCAUGAAUGGAAGCUUCGGGCGGUAACUGCAGCCUAUACGCCACUUCUCCAAUUUCUUCAAUUAUGCGGUAAGGUCCAUAGAAUUUAGGGGCCAACUUCUCCGACCUCUUUCGUGCUAGAGAAUGUUGCCUAUAGGGUCGAAGCUUGAGAUAUACCUCAUCUCCCACCUUGAACUUAAGUUCCCUCCUCUUAGAGUCUGCCAUUUUCUUCAUUCGGUUCUGCGCCACGUUCAGGUUCUCCUUUAGAGCAAUCAGUGCUAAAUCCCUCUCUUUCAGCAUUAGUUCCACCUCAUUGUGAGGAGUCUUGUGAUUGCCGUAUGAUAGCAGCGGAGGAGGUGAUCGUCCAUAUACAAUCUGGAAGGGAUUUGAUCUUGAGGAGGCAUGGAAAGUUGUAUUAUACCAUAGUUCUGCCCAGGGAAUGAACUUAUUCCACUUUGUCGGCUGCUCAUUACAAAAACACCUCAGAUAAGUUUCUACACAACGGUUUACUCUUUCAGUUUGUCCGUCCGUUUGAGGGUGGAAUGCCGUACUUCUUUUUAGAAGGGUUCCCAUGCUAGCAAAUAUUUCUUUCCAAAAGUUGCUUAUGAAAAUUUUAUCCCUAUCGGAAAUGAUUGACUUAGGUAUUCCAUGUCUACUCACUACCCGGUCAAUAAACACUUCAGCCACUUGCCUUGCAUUGAAAGGAUGCCUCAUGGUGAUAAAAUAGGAGUAUUUGCUCAGCCUGUCCACAAUUACCAUUAUUACAUUCAUACCUCCUGCUUUAGGUAGCCCUUCAAUGAAGUCCAUGGACCAGUCUUCCAAGAUUCUUUCUGGAAUUGGAAUUGGCUGCAGAACUCCAGCUGGUUUAGUUGCUUCCAACUUAUUUCUCUGGCAAACCUCGCAUUCUUGCACAUAUUUUUUUACAUCCGCCUUCAUACCCUUCCAAUACAAUUCCCCACACAUCCUUUUAUACGUCCUUAAGAACCCGGAAUGGCCUCCCAAAAUGGAGUCAUGAAAUGUAUGUAGUAAGGUGGGGAUCAGAGUGGAUUCUUUUGACAACACAAUCCGCUUCUUAUACCAUAGGUUUCCAUUCACCCAUUGGAAUUUACUAGGCUCAUCAGGAUUCUGUUUUAAUUCUUCAAUGAUUGCCUUAAGCUCUUCAUCUAACUCAACCUCUUUCUCUACCACCUCCAUGUUGACAAUACCCGUGGUGGACAUAUUCUUCAUUUCCACUGGUUGUUCUAUUCGGGAGAGGGCAUCGGCUGCUUUGUUUUGUAGUCCGGGUUGGUAAAGUAUUUCGAAGUCAUACCCGAGGAGUUUAGUCAGCCACUUCUGGAAUUGGGGUUGCACUUCCCUUUGCUCUAAAAGGAACUUGAGGGCCCUCUGAUCUGAGAUGAUUGUAAACUUCCUUCCCAAGAGGUAAUGUCUCCACUUCUGUACUGACAGAACCACAGCCAUCAAUUCCCUCUCAUAUAUGGACUUGGUUUUUGCUCGGUUUGAUAGUUUUUGACUGAAAAAAGCUAUGGGAUGGCCAUUUUGAGAUAGAACUGCCCCUAAAGCAAUCCCCGACGCAUCUGUUUCAAUGAUGAAAGGCAGGUUCCAAUCCGGUAGAGCUAGUACGGGUAGGGUUGUCAUGGCUAAUUUCAGCUUAUCAAACGCCUCUGUUGCUUCUUCCCCCCAUAGGAAUGAGUUCUUUUGUAAUAAUUUGGUCAGCGGUUCUGCCAUCUCCCCAUACCCUUUGACGAAUCUUCUGUAGUAACCUGUCAACCCUAAGAACCCCCUCAAUCCGGUUACAUCUUUGGGUUGGGGCCAAUUUACCAUGUCCUUGAUCUUGUCUCCAUCAGCUUCAACCCCUCUACUGGAUAUUAAAUGCCCCAAAUACUGAAUCUGUGAAUGGGCUAUUACGCAUUUUUUUUUGUUAGCAACUAACUGGUUAUCCCGCAUUACUGCAAAAACCAUGGCCAAAUGCUUUUCGUGUUCUGUGAGAUUCGUGCUGUAUAUCAAUAUAUCAUCAAAAAAUACCAGUACACAUCUCCUGAGGAAGGGUUUAAAGACCAGAUUCAUUAAAGAUUGGAAAGUAGCUGGUGCGUUAGUGAGGCCGAACGGCAUGACCAGAAACUCGUAGUGUCCUUCAUGGGUUCUGAAUGCUGUCUUUUCCACAUCCUCCUCCUUCAUCCGUAUCUGAUGAUAUCCAGAUUUGAGAUCCAGUUUUGAAAAAACAGUGGCCCCAUGCAGUUCGUCUAGCAAUUCCUCUAUCACGGGUAUUGGAAAUUUAUCCGAUAUGGUUACUUGAUUUAAUUUUCUGUAAUCAACACAGAAUCUCCACCCUCCGUCUUUCUUUCUUACCAGCAACACAGGACUCGAGUAAGGGCUGUGACUGGGUCGUAUUAUCCCAACUUGGAGCAUUUCAGAUAUUAACUUCUCGAUUUCUUCUUUUUGUGUGUGGCCAUAUUUGUAAGGUCUCACAUUGAUAGGUUUCUGGCCGGUUACCAGCAAAAUACGAUGGUCACACUCCCUUUUUGGUGGUAAUCCCUUCGGUUCUUCGAAUAAAUCCGUGUACUGCUGGAGUAAGACUUGAAUCAUUGGAGAUUCUUCCUCAUCCCCCUUUACUCUCUGUACUUCAUCCAAUUCCCCAUCUUCCUCUGCCUCAUAGUUCUGCAUUUCGAGUAAGAAGCCUUGGUCGUCCUCUUCCCAUGUUUUUUCAAUAGUUUUCAGAGAGCACUCUGCCCUAAUAAGUGAAGGAUCUCCUUUUAAGAUAAACUGUUUUUUUCCCAUCCGAAAUGUCAUGGUCAAGGAUGGCCAGUGUAUCUUCAUGGUUCCCGUUGUGUUUAACCAUUGCAUCCCUAGAAUCACAUCUACACUCCCCAGUUCAAUUGCUAAAAAAUCAGCCACGAUUGUGAUCUCUUUAAGUUUUAGUUCUAACCUGUUACACACGCCUCUUCCUUGGCAUCUUGUACCAUCUCCGAUAGUGACUCCAAACGGAGUAUGAUUCUCUAACUCCAGUCCCACUUCCUCCACAAUUUUGUUGUGUAUGAAAUUGUGGGUGGCCCCACUGUCAAUCAGUAUCAAUACUUCUUUCCCUUUAAUUUCGCCUUUGAUCUUCAUCGUUCCUUUACUUGUUAGGCCAUGUAUUGCCUUUAACUCAAUUUCGGUUCCCUCCUCCAGUGUAAGCUGAUUCAACUCUAAUACUUCUUCAUUAGUUUCCUCUGUUCUGUCUUCGUCUUCCAGACUUUCUUCUUCAUUCAUGAUAAACAGCAUCAGCUCUCUUUUGUCCUUCAUUUUGCAUCGAUGUCCAGGGGAGUACCUUUCAUUGCAUUUAAAACACAGACCCUUGUCAAGUCGUGCUCUGAAUUCCGCAUCCGAUAAGCGUUUCACUGGUGGUUCACUCUUCUGGUAGUUGCCUUUAAUGGGAAUUGUCACCUGUUUCAAAGGAAACUCUGUUUUCCUGGUGAUUCCCUUCUCCCCACCUUCUGGACCCUUGUUCGUGCUUCCUUCGCCUUUUUUGUAAUUCCGUCCUCCCCCUUCUGCCUUGGACCAUUGCAGGGCUAAAUUUCUGUCGUUGACCAGCUGUGCCUCUCUCAUACACUCCUCCAAUGUUAGUGGAUUGCGGCUCACGACUUCAGCUUGCAGGUUCGGCUCUAGCCCAGUCAGGAAUGCAUCCCUUAACACACUCUCUGUCAUGUGGGGCAGGGGUGCUGAAUAAUUAACAAAUUUCUUUACAUAAUCAUUGUAGGAACCGUCUUGUUCAAUCCUGAUCAGUCUCGCCACUAAACUCUUCUGCCCUGUGUCUUUAAAAAAAUCAAACAUCCUUUCUUUUAGAUCCUCCCACGACUCCACCUUCCUCCGAUUGUGUGACCAUCUGUACCAGUCUACCUCAUCUUGUCCAAAGCUGACUACUGCUACCUUGACCUUUUCGGUCUCGGGUAGAUUAUUGAUCUCAAAAAAAUGCUCUGCCCUGUAAACCCAAGAUUCCGGGUUUUCUCCCAAGAACAUUGGCAUCUCUAAUUUCUUAUAUUUACUACGGUCACCCAUGGUCAAGUUCCCUUCGUUAUGAACAUCGGUUUCCUCAGCUUUUCCCUUCAGUUUCAUUACUGAACCGUCGGAGGUCCCAGAUUCCUCCCUUCUUUUGUAGCUAUGGUUCUCUCUUAGAUCCUCAGCCAUUCGUUCCAUUGCUUUUUUCAUUUCUAACAGCAUCUCUUUCAGACCCAUUAUUUCCUUCUCAGUUCCAUCCACUCUGUCUUCUAUUUGUCUCUGCGCCAUUAGUCUAGUAACCACCCCCAGUUUUUUCGGGCUCUGAUACCAAUUGUUAGGAUACUAACAAUAAUUUAGACUGAAAGGACUGUAUAAAUGGCUUAAACAGAGGCGGUACUCUGGUUUACUUUAUUUAUAUAUAAAGCCAAAUGAUCCAGAUUCACAAGAUGAAAAGAAAUAACAAGAAACAACAAGGAAAAAUGCAGAAAAGAUCAUACCAGCCUCUUGGUUUUAAGAGACCCUGGUGGCUGCUGUAGCCCUACCUCCUAAAAGUUAAAAAUACCCUAGCUACUCCAACCUAAUAAUCCUAUUUAUAGACUCACAUAUUCCUCAGCCCAGUGGGCCCUACCACUCAGAACGUCCUUCCAAUCAUUUCUCCAUAAUAAUUCCCUGUGCAGUUACUUUUCUACCCUUCCUCCUAUAAGUAUGGAUAAUUGGGGGUCUUACAGUUUCAUCCUUGAGAGAUAGGAUAGCAGAAGUGUGCCCUAGUUUCCAAAUUGAGAACUCCUCAAUUCGUUCUUCUACUUUCUUGAUAUUGUAACAGUGUUACGAUUCAUCAACACUAUCAAUAAUAUACUAAAGUUGAUAUUCAAUAUCGAUUCCCAUCAUAUCUCUGAAGUUUUUCCGCUAAUGUUUCUAACAAACUCCCACGGGGAGCUAUUUGUAGUGGAUAAUCAUGGGACUUAGCUCUCAAUGUAAGUUAUUUGCAGUUACGAGAAAGAAUAGUUUAGUAUCUCCCACCAGAUGCUUUUGUAGUUAUGGGGAAGAAUAGGAAGAGUGUGAUUAUUUGUCUUGAAAAUUAAUCCAAGGAGACUUUGACCAUCAGAAGCAUCUAGGGCAGACUGAAUCUCCAAUUUGAAGUGUCCUUAAUAUAUAAUCGCUUAAGUUCCUAUCAGUAUCUCCCUAAAGUUUUUAUAAAAAAGUUCCUUCUGUUUCUUAUAAGGAAAAAUAAUGCAUGUAUCAGUAUCUCCCUAAAGUCCUAUUCUAUCAUGCAUGAAUGCAGAAACAUAUUCAUUAUUGCAUUCUAAUUUGUAUGCUUGUAUGCUUGUAUGCAUAGCUAUGUGAACUGUCUAGUGUGUUUUGUGAACUACAAUUUCAAAAUGUUUAAUUCUGUUUUACACAUAAAACUAUGCAGGAAAAUGUAUACCUGUUACUAGGGGUGCUGGAAUUCAUCAAGAAUAUAUGGAUGAAGCACUUGAGCAUUUAAGGAAUGGAGAAUGGGUACUUAUCCAUAAUUAUGUCUUGAUAUCUACAAAUAAAUUCUUUCAACACUUUUGCACACCAAAAAUAAGGAUUCAUAAUCAUUACCAUUUGUGACUACGAACCUUCCUUUUCUAGCCUAAAAAGACAAUUAGAAAAGAGGGGUAAAUUUGACACAAAUACCACAUCGCAAACAUAAUUCCAAAAAGAAAGUACAGGUCAAAUGUUCAACUAAAAGGCCAAAGAACUUGAUUUGCCGAACAACCAAACUCAAUUAUAGAAACAAGCAAAUGCUCAACGUUCUUGGAGACAAUUGUUCCUUGAUAACUAUGAAAUUAUAUUUCAGAUUUUAGGAAAUAUUUAACAAUUUAAUUAGACUCUCAGAGUUAUGUUUUUCCUGUUUACCCUUAGAUUCCAUAAAUGAGUCCGUGUAUGUGUGUGGGGUGGGGGGUAAUCAUUGGAUUGCAACCACCUCUGAAUGAUCUUUUUUUUCCUUUUAUGUUUUGAUCGUGAACAUUGCCAGCUCCAUACAUUUCCAGAAGGUAAAGUGACUCAAGAUGAUGUGCCCAUCCGACGAUUAAAGUGAGGAACAGCUAGUCUUAUUGUUCGUUUCUCCUAUAACACCAAUAGUUCUGCCGAUUGUCCAUCGCGGCUUUGAUGAGGUAGUUUUCUUUUUGCAAAAAUUAUAGCAAUAAUUCUACUAAUCCUGCUAAUAUUUCUGUCUAGAUGAAACCAUGGUGCUAAACUAUGGGGUCAGUCAUAGAGACCAGCUGUCUAAACUCUAAAGCAUUAGUUGUAGAAAAGGUGCACCCAUAAAAAUUUAAUUUAGGUGGAUAAAUGUGAAAGGAUUGAAUUUCUUUUUAGAACUGAAAACAAAAUUGCAUUCCUUGAUAGAGGAUAAAAUUUAGCUUGUUCUGGGGCAUUUGUUUGGAUAGAGUUCAUCUCGGCCAUGGAAUUGACAUCUAGGUUCUCCGAUUUUUAUAGAUAGGUACGUAUUUGAAAGAUGUGUUGGGUUCCUCGAUGGCCCCUUCCCAUUAUUUCCAUUUUCCCCUCAAUGCGAAUCAGUUCCCAUUUCCAUCGACCACUUGUGGAAUGUGAUUAUUAUUGUCAUUAUUAUUAUUUAAGUUUCUUUUUAAGUAAACACAACCUUUCAUUGACAUAAUCUAAAGAGUCUGAAGUACAAAAUCCAAUAAAAAAAAUAUUUUAAAAAAAAUUACGAGGAAUUUCUAACUUAAACAAAAGGGCACUGUUUAAGCACUCUCGUCUGUUAAUGUCUAUGUUUUUAGAGAUAUGAUACAGCAAAGCCGAAAGGCAUUACUUAAUGGUGAAUUAAGUGUCCUUGAAUAUUUGAUGCAUCGGUCGAAGUCAUGUCAUAUGAUUUGCUUGAUGAAUUUUUGUUUGUUUUAAUUUUCUUCUCAAGGUUUAGUAUCAUCAUUCAAUGACAAGUUAUUUUUAAGAUUUUCUUGUCUCCUCUUCCAUAUGUAAAUAGCUCUCUUAAAAAAUUCACCCUGGGCUUGAGUAUACGAGUAUUUGCUUGUUUCUUUUAGUAGAAACCCAAUAUUUAUCUUUUCACCCCGUCUCACUUUUAUGAUGAUUACCUAUGUGGAUUCUCAGAUAAUGCCUGAAAACUCUCUCUUUGGUAGGAGGCCUCCGGUUCCCUUGUGCUGUAAGAAGAUUGAGAUUAUUGUGGGUGAGCCGAUUCAGUUUGACAUACCUAGCAUGAAGCAGAUGGCAAUUUCCAUGUCGCGUAACUGGGCCUCUCCUCUACUAGGAUGGCCUGCCACUGGAGAACAAACUAGGCUGGAUGAGCCUGCACAGAGAUUCUUGUACGGUCAUAUCUCAGAUCAAAUUCGAAGUGUUAUGGAGAAACUACGUGCACUGUCAUUACAGAAGAGAAGCUGAAGAUUUAUUUUUGGCUGUUCAUUAUUUACAAUAAGUCCACUGUAUUUCUUAGAUUAAAUACUAAUUCAUAUCAAAUGGAAUUUUUAUUUCAUUUCAUAACUUAAUUUGUACUUUAAGUUUAUAACUAAUUUCUUUCUCUUCAAGAAAUUCGAAUAUUUCCUUAUGCAUAACAUUAUUUUCAAGGAAUAAUAUUAUUAAGAUUAAGAAUGUAAGACAGACCUGAAAACUAACAUGUUACUAUGGAUUGAAGGUUAUUGAUGCAAAAUAUGAAACUAGCCAUCUCAACAAUAAACCUGGCAGCAUCUUGCCUGGAACAGCAAAGAGCCCUUGGAUCAUACCGGUCUUUUAAUUUGUAGUUUUCUUAAUGAAUAAUGGAUUAACGUCUAAAUGUUUAAAUGUUUUAAAUGUUUUAGAAAUAAAAUUAGUGUUUGUGAGUUUAAUUUUUAAAAAAAGAAAAAGAAGAGGAACAAAAAAUUACCAAACCAUAUCUUAGAUUUUGAUGUUAUGAGUGAUGGGAAUUAAUCAUUAUGAAUACUUAAAAUUAAUAAUCCAUUUAAUUAUGGAUAUGUUGUCUGUGCCCAUAUUAAUUGUCCAAACUCAUCCAGGUUUAAUUAUGGAUAUUUUUGUUUUCUUUUCGAAAUUCAAUUUUUUGUUUUCUUUUCACAAUUUAAUUUUUUUGGAAAGGAAUACGUUGGAUUGAAAAUUGCAAAAAAUUAGAAAUUGAAAUAUUAGUACGUUGAAAAACUUCGAGCAGACAUGUCCAAAAAUAUAUACUAUUACCGUCAAAUUUAAGAAAAAACAAUUUUACCAUUAAUAUCUCUAUUAGAUAUGUGACUUGUUUAUAUAUAUUGUUUGAUUUUUUAAUUAUUGGUUUGAUGCAUAAAACAUUUUCUUCUCACUUUAAAAUGUGGUAGCCUGACAUAAAAGAAGGUUUAGGAAACUGAUGAGUUGGUCUAAAGUUCAAACUUGAAAGAGUUUAGAAAAUACUUAAAAAUUAUAAACUAUAAAAGAAACUUAUAAAUUAGAAAAACUUUAAACUUUAGUAUGCUAACUCUUAUUAAGUUCUCAUUUUGUACAUUCUAGAAGGAGAUUGAGAAAGAAGUGUGAACGACCAAAAGGUUUGAGAGUGUUUUUGUAAUUAGGGUAAAAAAAAGAUAAAUUGUUAUUUACUAUUAUAUCAAUUUUUUUAUUAUUAAUUUUUCCUAAUGUCUCGAUUAUUUUUCUGCUUUUUUUUUUGGAUAGAAAUGAGAGGUUUUUGCCAACAGUUAUGGCACUCCGAUUGGAAAAAAAUAAAAGAUAAAAAAUCGUCAGCAACGUUUUAUUAGAUGAUGUGAACAUAAAGAUUGGUUUAAGAAAACAUAAAUGGACAAGAUUAUAGAGAUGUAGAUUGAAAAAAAAAUAUUCUACACCAAAUAGAAUGUAAUAGUAUAAGGUCUGUUUCUGCCAACCUUAUAAAGUUGUAGGUUUUAUUGGAAAAAUGGUAUGUGGAAAUAUGAAAGGAUGAUAUUUAAAGUCGAGGGAUUUUGUAAAUUUCCCCCUCCCCGGUUUGAAGGAGUAGUAGAUUUGCAGCAAUGAUAAUGUAAAUGCCAGAUUGUCGAAGAUAUUGUCAGGCCGGCAACUCAAGUCGACUAGCUACCAAUAUUUUUUUUUUUUUUGUUGGCUUAGUCUUUUGCUUGCUUGCCAUUUAAAACACUCUCGUGACUCCCACCACUGCUGCUCCGCUCUCUCUCUCUCUUUCUUUGCCCCUCUCUUCCUAUAAUCUAUACCAACCAGCGACUCAAUGCCUGGCUGACUUUCAAGUUUCACCUCAGAUCUCUCCGCCUCCUCUCGUUUGCUUCCGAAAGGUAACUCCUUUACAACAUCUCCACCAUUUUGCUUCAACCUCCAAUUAAUCCAUUCAUUCUUCAAGCUCGGCCAAUUCUGCUUCUAUGCAUUCAACUUUUUUUUUUGCCCCUUUCUGUUUUGUCAAGGGCUGGCUUCUUACAUUGCUGUCUAAUUUUAGUGGAUCUAUUUUCUUUCUUGUAGCUCAUAUGGGUUUUAUACAUAUAUCUUUUACUCCUUAAAUAAUUGCUAGCGCGUUUCAAUGUCUCACUAUCUAGCGGCGGCCAUUGAUAAUGGUUCUAUUGUUCGAGAACACAUUCCAUUAUGGACUAGUUCAAUUUUUUUUUUUUUUUUUUUUUUUUGUCUCCCUUGCACUUCUCAUCAUUCUAUUUAUUGUUAUGAGUAUUUAGUGGUAUUUAAAAUUAAUUGUACGUUUGUUCGGAUGCUAAUCGUAUAGUACAGAAAUUAACCUUUUCAACCACGCACCCUUUUUGCAGUUUUUAGUUAUAGGGAUCCCCAGAAGUUAAAUCCAUUUCUGCCACUGUCAAAUGACCUUUGACAUGGCUCAGAGUGCUAGGACAAUCGGAUCUUCCUUUAACUCCAGCAGUGGCAAUGAUGAUACUCUCCUUCAAAGCUUUGCUGCUGCUCCAAAUGGGGAUGAUUAUGAUAGUGAUGGCUCCAAUUUUGCACCCCCGUGAGUGUAAACCGAAUACCUGUAGCAACUAAGCUCUUAACUUUAUUUAUUACAUGUUGAAUUUCAUGAAUGCAUAUUUUCUCUAAAACUUUAUUUACUAUAUUGAAUUUCAUGAAUGCAUAUUUUCUUUCUCCCUUGAAGCAAUGUUAUUGUAAUAUUGUACGUUAUUGGUUUCAGUCUUCAGAAAAAAGAUUAUACUGAAGUCAUUAGGUCAUAGCCAGGCUUGCCAGCUACACCAUUCCCGUGAUUAAACGUAGUUUAUAAAUUAGAGAAGCUAGCGUCACAUUAUUAGUUUAAUUGGUCUAAUAUUCAGGUAUUUAGUGAAGCAACGAAGAUCAGAAAGCAUUGUAAUUAGAGGAACUAUUCUAUGCAUGCAACUAACGGAUUACAACUAGUGUCAUGAAAAGCAUCUCACUUGUAGUUGUUUUACCGGGCAUUAUGAUCUCCUUCUUCGAGGACUUCAAUCCACACGUGCAUUAAAAAAGUUGUUAGUGUUACUUCUAUCAAUAGUAAAUUAAUUAUUGACGAUUUUAUUCUAGCAUUUUUCUCAAGCUUGAAAGCUUGGUUUCUCAUCCAGAAAAAUAAUCAAUAAUGAUAAUACUUACAAUUCCUUCUUCUUUCUUUUUUUUGUCUGUUUUUCUUUUUGGGUGUAAAAGUGAUAAUACUAACAAAUGCAAACUCACUGACUUCUUAUAUUCUCUCAGUGGCUCCUUAGCUCAUAUUAUAGUUUGAUGUUUUCUUGAGUAGAUUUUUCAGUCCCUCAAAAUUAACUUUCUCCUUGGUUGUUUCUGUAGUACUCCUACAACCAUAUCCACAGCAAUUCCUGCAGAACUUGCUGGUGUCAUACCUUUGAUUGAUAGAUUUCAGGUGGGAUAAUAUUUAUGAUGCCUGCAAGUGUGAAAGGGAUUGCGAGUUGUUUCUGAAGUAUGACAAUUUUAGUUUUCAUUAUAAUCCCUGAAAAGUAACGUCUCUAUAUUGUAUUAUUUUCCAAGGUUGAAGGAUUCUUAAGGAUGAUGCACAAACAAAUCCAUUCUUCUGGAAAGCGUGGAUUCUUUUCCAAAAGAUCUGUAGGUCCUCAAGUUCGGGAAAAAUUCACAUUUGAAGAUAUGUUGUGUUUCCAAAAGGUGAAAACAUCUUGUUUGUCAUGAAAUUUAAGUACUCACCAAACUUUUACAAGUGUAAGUUGUAAAUUUUUACAGGAUCCUAUACCAACUUCGUUGCUUAAAAUCAACUCUGACUUGGUGAGCCGAGCCAUAAAACUAUUCCAAAUAAUCUUGAAGUACAUGGGUGUUGACUCUUCUGAUCGAGUUAGUGCAACAAGCUUAGAUGAACGAAUUGAACUUGUUGGAAAACUGUACAAGCACACUUUGAAACGUUCAGAGCUACGAGAUGAACUUUUUAUCCAAAUCUCUAAGCAAACUAGAAAUUCUCCUGAUAGGUUUGCUCUAAACUAUUAUUUACCUUGUUGAUCCUUGGCGUUGAUGAUUAAAUUCUAUUAUGAAUUGCUGAUAUUUUAAUUCAAAUGCAAUACCAUAUAUUUUGGACUGAUCUCUAUAUUCAUAUUCAUAUGAAUAUUACAGGCAAUAUUUAAUCAAAGCAUGGGAGCUGAUGUAUUUAUGUGCAUCAGCUAUGCCUCCUAGCAAGGAUAUUGGUGGAUAUUUAUCAGAGUAUGUUCAUAAUGUUGCUCAAGGCGUAAGUACUGAUCCGGAGGUUCGAGUUCUUGCAUUAAAUACACUGAAUGCUUUAAAGCGUUGCAUGAAGGCUGGUCCCAGGCAUAUAAUACCUGGUCGUGAGGAAAUCGAAGCUCUUUUGACAGGCCGAAAACUUACAACUAUUGUAUUUUUUUUGGAUGAAACUUUUGAAGAAAUUACAUAUGAUAUGACAACAACGGUCGCUGAUUCUGUUGAGGUAAUGAUAAUUUUGAAUCUUGAUGGAAUGAUAUAUUUUUGUAUUUCAAUGAUUUAAAGAUUAAAAAGUAUAUCUCUCAUAUAUAGGAGAAAGGACCAUAUAAGAUAGAAAAGUGGAAUCGGAAUCAGAAUUAAAUUUAAGCUAUUUAGUUAGUGCUUACUAAUAAUAGAGUCAUAGACCAACACUUAUCUUUCAUUGCCGAUUAUUCUUGAAAAGGAAACAAACUUCUUCAUUAAUGAUAAAAUCUCAAAGCACAAGAGGUAUAUACAAUGAGAAUAAUAAAAAAGCAUAAAGCAAAAAGCCCUAGAGGAUCAGGAGGUGCACCCAGACAUCUCAACUAGGUUGGCACCCCUUUAGCACCAAAACAUCAUAUCCCAUAUUUAAGCAUGAACAAAGCAAAGAAAAUAAAAAUAGAAAGUACAAACUAUGAAAGACCAGCAAAAUAACAUAGGCCGAGACUAGGAAAGAAGAUUAAAAAGAUGAUGUAAAGACAAGAAUUAAAACUACAGCUGCUGAGUAAUAGAAAAAAAGGCUGGAACCAAUGCUGGACGAAAAUUAAGAGGCUGGUUGGGUGAGGAAAGCUGCCCAGUUGAGAUAAAUAUCUUGAAUAGAAUAAGCCUCGAACUCCUUGUUUAAGGAAACCCAAGCUGCUGCACUUCUUUCUGCAGAGAGUUCUGAACAUGGCUUUUCUUUGUCAUGGAAUAUCCUCUGAUUUCUUUCAAACCACAGUUUAGAGAGGAUAGCUUUUAGCAAAUUUAACCAUAAUUGUCUUGGCUUCUUGGAUAGCUGAGGAGACCUCGUGAUGAUUAUUAACAGUUGGUAUACUUUUCUUUGCUAAUUUUGUUGAGGGAUAUUCUCAACCCCCUGCCCUUUGUUUUUCCUUUUUGUUUCUUUUUGACAUACAUAUGUUUAUUAUCAAGGAAAGAAAGAGAAUAAAUAGUUUUGUUUUUGCUAUAAAUGCAUGAAUUUUAGUCUACUUAAGUGAAUGUUUCCCCGUGUCUACCACACUCAUUAAUGUGAUUAAUUAGUGGAUAUUUAAUGUCAAAAUUCAUAUUACCCUCGGAACACUUCAUAUUUUUUUUCAGGAACUUUCAGGUGUUAUAAAACUAUCAGCACACUCUAGCUUCAGUCUUUUUGAAUGCCGUAAGUUCGUUAGUGGAGCUAAAGCACUUGAUCUAGGGAAUGGUACAGUUUAACUUAUUGUUUUUUGGUUCGAAUUUGAACGAACAAAUGUACAUCUUAAUCUUACAUGGAAUUCUUCUCAACAGAGGAGUAUGUUGGGCUUGAUGAUAACAAAUAUAUUGGAGAUCUGCUAGCAGAAUUCAAGGCAACAAAAGAUCGAAGCAAAGGAGAAAUUCUGCACUUCAAGUUGACAUUUAAAAAGAAGCUGUUUAGGGAGUCUGAUGAAGCUGUUGUGGACCCAAUGUUUAUACAACUAUCAUAUGUUCAGGUAGGAGUGUUUUUAUCUUGAUUACAUUACAAGGUGGAUUUUAGAACUUCGAAUGUUCUGUCUAAUAGAUUUAUGAACUUUGAAGAGUGCUCCUAAUUUUCACUUUUGUCAUUUUGUGUCGAGUAGGCCCCCAGCCCCAAUCUUUGAACUAUCAAUUUUGUAUCUAAUAAGUUAGCGGACUUUAAAAAUGUAUCUAGUAGGUCAGGAUUGAAUGGAGAUAACAUCGAAAGAUUAAGAACCCAUUAGAUACAUUUUGAAGUUCAAAACCUACUGAUGAUUAAAUUAUAAUUUAGGCCUAAUUUGAUAACCAUUUGGUUUAUAAUAGUUAAACUUGCAAACAUUACUUCGACCAAAUCCACAACAAAAUACGAAAUGGUUACCAAUGGGGCCUUUAACUUUUAUAUUUAACAUUUAUGUGAGAGUCAGUCUAUAUCUACAGCUGCAGCAUGACUAUCUGUUGGGGAAUUAUCCUGUUGGAAGGGAUUGAUGCUGCACAGCUUUCAGCAUUACAAAUCCUUGUUUGAAAUUGGAUUUAUUACCAGUCCAGAAUCUUGCACGUAGGUGUUUUUCUUGCUCUCCUUUAUUGCAAAUUUGUAAUUUAUCAUUUUGCUUUGUUUUCACAUUUUAAAUUAGUAUGUUAAACUUUCAUUUCCUUCAUUUUCUACAACAAGCAUCUUCUUCGCCCCCAAUUAUGUAGGAAAAGUGUUACUUUUUUUAGUAUAGUUUUGUACACUCCAUUUUAAUCGCACUUUUAACUGCUUGAUGGGUACUAGUGAUUGGAAUUCGCUUCUAGAAAGAUUUGUACCGAGACAAAUUGCCAUAACAAGACCAAAGCGAGAGUGGGAGUUGGAUAUUCUCUCGCGUUUUCGUUCAAUGGUAAGAUUUGGUAUUUGGAACAUUCUGUUGCAGACAAUUACUAUCUUGAAGAGUCUAUUUAGAUUACUAAAUGUUCUUUUCAAUUGAUUAUUGAGGCAAUUUUACUCUCAAUUUUAUGAAUAUUUUCUUAACACUGAUAAGCAUUGUUGUUUCUAGAGAUAUGGUAUUCAACAUGAUCUAUAUGUGAGUGGUUUAAUAUAUUCCUUGGAGCACACAUUCAACUCUUGAGCGUCUCUUUUUGUUUGAGUCAGGCCUUUGUUUCUGAUUGAUGUACCUAGUUCUGUACGAAUUAGUGAAAAAUAUGUAUCAAAGUUUAUGCUCAGUUUUCCAUGCUAUUUUUUCGUAGGCAUAUAUGUCUCUGUCUUCUCCAUCGCCCCUAGGUUGCUCUUUCCUGCCUUUUUGUGAAAUAUACUCACUAUUUCUUAUCCCCCAAAGAAAAGUCACCAAGUCAAUCUUGACCAAGAACAAAGAGUUUGCUGAUUUUUUUCUUACUAAUUUCCCAGGAACAUCUGACAAAGGAUGACGCAAGACAACAAUUUCUUCGAAUAUUGAGAACACUUCCUUAUGGGAAUUCAGUUUUCUUUGGCGUCCGGAAGAUUGAUGAUCCCAUUGGACUUCUACCUGGACGAAUCAUUUUGGGUAUCAACAAGAGAGGGGUAAUAUAGGUUUCUAACAUGCACAGCUACUUUGUUUUUGGAGUUAAAGAGAAUUCCAAUUCAAUUAUUAAUAUACACAAAACGCAUAGAAAUAUUGCCAGUUUUCAUAUGUUUCAAAGCCAUUCUUCCCUCAAAAGUUAGAAUUCAAAGAAUCACUCACUUCCUCAUCUACCCAACUACUUAUAAUGGCUUAAUAUUCAAACGCUUGCAUAUUGGCAUUCAUGUGUCAAAUAUAAUGAGAUACCUGUCUGGUGAUUUAAAUUUUUCUAGAUGGUUGCAGUUGGUUUAAUUGCUCAACUUUCUAUAGGUUCAUUUUCUUCCGUCCAGUUCCAAAGGAGUAUUUACAUUCUGCUGAAUUAAGAGAUAUAAUGCAGUUCGGUAGCAGUAACACUGCAGUCUUUUUUAAGAUGAGAGUUGCGGGUGUCCUACACAUUUUCCAGUUUGAGACCAAGCAGGUUACCGUCAUUGCUUUCUUCUCCGUACAUCCAUCAUUGCAUUUUGGGAAUUUCAACCCUUCAUGUGCCCUGUCACGGUGGUUUUUUGACUAGGUGCUCUAACUUUUUAGGGAGAAGAAAUUUGCAUUGCUCUCCAGACACACAUAAAUGAUGUCAUGUUGCGUCGUUACUCUAAAGCUCGAUCUGCUGCUGUUGGCUCCAUGCUUGGAGACUCUUCCUGCAACUUGAAGACUCAAAGUGUGGAAGCAUAUGAGAAACGAGUUCAAGAUUUGAGUAAGGGCAUUGAAGAGUCUAAGAGAAAUGCUGAACAAGUAAACCUUGAAAGAGCUUAUUCUUCCUUUUGUAUCGCUCCUUGUGAAUUGAAAGUUAUGAUUCUGAUCCCACCAAAAAAAAAAAAGGAAAAAGAAAAAAGAAAGGGCUUAUUCUUUGCCUUGAAAUGUUAAUAUGUGGAAAUGCAGAUGAAUAUGUGCUACUUCACGAUACCAUCCAUUAAUACAAUUUUGUAAUUAUAGCUUGUCUACUCACGAAAUCAUCCAUUAAUUUUAGCUUGUUUACUCGCAUUACAAGUGGAAGUGUUUUUUUGCAAUUGCUUUUUAUAGGAUUUGCAUAUAUUUUACCACAUUUAUCAUAUAUAAAGCAUUUUCAUUUCGAUAAUGGAAACCGUUCUUAAUGUAGUUGCUGAAGGAAUUGCAUGAAAAGAAUAAGCAAGAAGUGGUAAUGCAAGAAGAAUUGGAAGCUCUAAAAGAAUCUUUGAGAUUUGAAAAGCAGAACUUAGCUGAGGCAACACAUAAUCUUGAGAGGUUGAGAUCGCAAUAUGAUGAAAAAGACAAUGAACAUCAGGUCAGUACAGCUAUCUUUGCAUCAAACUUAUUUUGAGCCUUUAUUUCUAUUUAUUUGGUCUAUUCUAUUUUCAGAUCAUGUUAACCGAGAGAAGGAGUCUGGAAGCAAAAAUUGCAAAAUUGAGCACUAUGAUGUUGGAAAAUAAUGGGAAAAAAGAUACGGUUGGAAUUGAUGAACAGGUAUGACUUUAAGCUAUUUGUUUGAUGAAAAACAACAUUAUGUUUUUGUUUGAAAAUUAUUUUAAGAAUUAUAGCUCCAAAUUUUAAAACCGUGAUUUAUAACUUGAAAAGAUAAAAGAGAUUGAAAUGGGAAUGGAAGGGGGGGAAUUGACUUGGGACUACAAUUUACAAGUUGGAUGAAGGAAUGAAGAGAUGAAUGAUGAGGGGAAAAAAGCUGGGGUACUUGAGGGCCUCAUUUUUAUUUAUUUAUUAAUUAUUAUUUUUUUGGGGGAGGGGUCAUAUUUUAAGGUAGGGGCGAGCAAUAAGACCCGAAAAAGCGAACUGACCAACCAAAACCAACUGAAUUGAAGUUGGAGGGUUAGUUUAUGGUUGGAGUUGGUUUUGUGGUCAGUUUGUGAAAAAUGGCUCUGCCCGACUAUAUACUUUAAAAGAAACAAAAGAAGGAAGAACAAAAAUAGUAUAAAAAGAAAAAGAAACAAAAGAGAGAAUGAUGGAAAAAUGAAAUGAUGGUGGAUAGUAAUAAGAGGGUGGUGAAAAUGAUGGAAGAAAGGUUUAAGAAAAAUAGUUGUGGCAAGAUCUUGGAAAUGGAGAGGGUUUUGAAGUUCGGGAGAGGGGUUUAUGAGAAGAUGAUGAAGAAACAGGUUUUGAGUUCUCUUCUUGAACUUGUCAACCAUGAAUAUGGCCACUAGAGCAUCUGUUAGAUAUUAUAUUAAAUUUACCCUCACCCACAAGCUUAAACUUUUGGGUUGAAUUGGUGAUUUAAGAUGGUAUCAGAGCAGAUGGUCUAGGAAGAUCCUGUGUUUAAGUGCUUGUCCUCCUCAUUUAAUAUUGAUUUUCACUUGUUGGGUCUUUUUUUAUAAGUUAAACCCACAAAUGAGGGAGAAUGUUAGAUAUUAUAUUAAAUUUACACUCACUCACAAACUUAAGCUUUUGGAUUGAAUCGUUGAUUUAAAAGCUUCUGUAGCUAUCACCCUACAUUUUUUCUGUUUUGUUCUUUCCAUCUGCUUGUGUUUCGUGAAGUCGAUAAGCCGGGGUUUUUUAUUGUCUAAAUUGCUUCCAAAAAGAAAAACAGAAUUGAUUUCUCAAAUUAGAGAGGAACAUGUUCAAUAAUGAUUCAAACAACUUGUUAUAUUUCCAAAAAAGAAAAAAAAACCGUCUUAAACAAGACCAUUAAUUUCAAAGGAAAAGCUAAUUGGAGGGAAACUUUGAAAAGAUAAUUGAAGCAUAUUUAUCUUUUUACUGGAUUUCUGUUCCAAUAAGCAGAAAACUACUCUUCAAAGCAAAAUCCCAACUUUCAAUUUUUUUUUUCUGGUAUCCUUUUUGUAAUUAAACAUUAUGAUUGAUAUAACUAUUUAAUAUAAAAUAUAUCGCAAAUUGCAUUGAGUUUAAUGUUUUUCUUUAUAGCUUCUACAAAAACUUCAAGAUGAGUUGAGGCUUCGAAAUGAUGAGUUGCAAGCGUCUGAAGAAAUUAGAAAGAAACUGGUAAAUGAAAAGCUGUUCUUGGAACAAAGAAUUUUUGGACUUGAGAAGAAGACUAGCAAUGAGGUACAUUAUACAGGUUCUUAAUAUGAUAUCAUCUUUGCUACUUCUUAACAGAGUAAUGUGUAUUAAGUUUUUUACUUGCAGAUGGAACAUCUCCAGAUAAGCUUUGAACAUGAACGCAAAGUCUUGAAGCUGAGAGUGGCAGAACUUGAAAAAAAACUUGAAGAAGUAACUCAAGAACUAGCUGUCAUGGAGUCAACUCUCACGACCAGGAACUCUGAUUUGGCGGCCCUGCAAAAUAAUUUGAAGGAACUAGAGGAACUACGAGAGAUGAAAGAGGUUCUAGUCUGAUUUUUUCUAUUUAGUUUUGCAGAAGCGGAUUGAGCGACAGUAUCUCUUACAUCUAUUUAACACCUGGUGUAUUCUUUCGAUCUUAUUUUUCACUUUUCUUUUGCUCUUUUUGUUAUCAUUCUUUUUUUAUUUUAGGACAUUGACCGAAAGAAUGAGCAAACAGCCAACAUUUUGAAGAUGCAAGGGGCUCAGCUAGCUGAGAUGGAAGCGCUUUAUAAGGAAGAGCAAGUUCUGAGGAAACGAUAUUUCAACAUGAUAGAAGGUUUGUUUACCAUAACGUCCAUAUUGAAUGAGUUCUUUUGUAUCCAUAUAGAAAGUUUUGAGAAUUUCUGUGCUAAAGUACCAUGGGUUGGCUUAGUGAUUGAUACGACAUGUGAGAGGUAAAAGAAAAGAAAUAAAGACUUUUGGGGGAUAACUUUGUUGAGAAAAUGAAUUUGAUAAAAAAAAUUACGUUGUGGAAGCAAUGAUAGAAAUGUUUAUGUUAGAAAAUGAACUUUGGAAAAUGAGAGUGAAAUCCAAUAGAUAAAUAAAGUUCUAAUUGAAGGAGAACAAAUUGGUGAUACCAACUUUUCAUGGAAGCUCACUUUUAUGUAUGGUUCAUUAAUAGUUUAAUACCAUUAACUUACAAAUCAAAACUGUGUUUUUUCUUUUUCUUUUUCUUUUUUAAUGGAAACAAACCUCUUCAUUGAUACAAUGAGUGGGACUGAUGCUCAUAUUACAAAGUAGUGAAACAAGGAAAUAAACAUGUUAAAAAUAGAAACUCACUUAACUUAGAGAAAACUAAAAAGAACGAAAAAACUGAAAAUCUUAUAUCUAAGAAUUAAAUCGACUUAAAGAUACUAAACUGAAAAUUAAAUCUAACAACAAAAUAAGAAACUUAAAAACAAAAAAACUGAAAUUUGAUUAGGAAAAAUAACGUACUUUUUUUAAAAACGGAAACUAGCUUCUUUAUUAAUGAUAAUAAAUGAGACUAAAGCUUAAAGUACAAGGGUAUUAUACUAAGAGCAAAAAGAAAUAAGAGAAAAUGCAGGCUAAAUCUGAAAUAAAGACUAUACUCGGAAAACAAAAUAUGAUGGCAACCUAGAACGAACCCAAACAGAAAACAACGACCUAAUCAAAGCCACUAAAAGACAAUACAAAGUAAAAUUUAAAUGCCCACUCAAAUCUAAAUUUUUCCACACGCAAUUCUUCAAGAUGAAAAAAGAAAAAGAACACUAAGAAGAUGCAACCAGCUGCUUCAAAACUAUCUUUCCAAUGCCCAGAAGAACUUGAAAAUAUCUUCCAACCCACAGAUUUGACAAUCAUGCUUUGGCAUCAAUGUUUCAGUGAAGAAAUAGGACCCAAUAAACAGCAAAAAUUAAUUGCCUGUUCCAAAAGGUAUCCCAGCGGUUGUUCUCCAUUGGCAAGCAAGAAAUCGAAGAUCAACAUAAUAACCAUUAUUAAGCUAGCAACAACAAUCAGUGAGACUUUACUUGCUCGCCCACGUGAAGAAAAAUCAUGGAAAGACAAGUUGUUCCAACAGGUGGGGGGCAACUACAUUCAGCGGCUGAAGAAUCAAACUAGAAUAAGUCCACAAUCAGCGACUAUUGACUUUAGAUGAUCUGGGAUUUCACAAUAAUGAGGAUGAGAGCGAGUAGCAGAGGGAAGUUUUUCAACUUUCGGUUCUUCCUCGCAUUGAAACAGGGUAUUAAGAUCCGUCUCUGAUGGCUCAAAAUGUCUCUACCUCUAAAGCUCAGCUGAUUUAUCAAUAUGCAUCCCUUCCUCACUACUUGCUACUUCCAUUGCACUGGGAAUAAGCUGAAGAAAUCACCAGAAAAGUCUGAAGGUGAUGCUAGAGACUGAACGUAGAAAGUGAGUAUGCCAGAGCAAUCACCGGAGAAGGUGCAAAGGAUCAAUGGAGAAGACGACUGUAGAAGGAGUGAGUAGAGUAUUAAACCACCAAUUCAUCCCAAAGCUUAAGCUAGUGGUUGAAGACAAAUUUAAUUAUGUAUCUCUAACACUCCCCUCAAUUGUGGGCUUGAAAUAUUUGAAAGGCCCAACAAGUGGAAAUCAAUUUUAAUUGGAGAGGAAAUGACAAUGCAGAGCUUGAACAUAGGAUCUCCUGGACCACCUGCUCUGAUACCAUAUUAAAUCACCAAUACAUCCGAAAGCUUAAGCUAGUAGUUGAAGGAAAAUUUAAUUAUGUAUCUCUAAUAGAGAGAGAGAAUACUUUACCUUGUUCUGCUGAAAAUUGGAAAAUCAACAAGAUCCUUUUCAGUAUUUGAAAAAAAUAACGUACGUUAAAUCCAAUGCUGGCCAUCUACAAAGGAUUUUAUUUUAUUUUCAUGAGUUUUCUGAUAACCAAAAUUUGAGGUUCACGUAAUAAUGCAAAUCUAAAAUAACUUUUUAUUCAAACCGUCAAAUUAGCCCAAACAGCUCGUAGAUACAAGUAUGUGUAGGUGGGGCAGCAGCCUCCAAAGAGGAGAAGAUUAAUUAAUUGGCUGAAACAAUAAGCCCAAGGUAAAAAACCUGAAACUUACCUAGGUAAAAACAACAUUUAUCUAACAUUAAAGAACGGCCAAGGAUGGGUAUAACUUAGGAAAUAUCAAGAAAUACAAAACUACUCAAGAAACACACUAGAUAAUGUAAGCUGGCCCAAACACUCACGCUAUGAAAUAAAAUCAUCCUUAGUGCCUCUCAACCUUAUCUAAAGAUGCCUAUUUUCUUAAUUUAAUUACUAGUAUAUUUAUUACAUAAAUAUGUCAUAAUGGUUUUUAUUUUUAGAAAAAUAAUUGAACAGAAGCCUUGUGUGAAACAUGGUUGUUUUGUUGGUUCUUUUUAUUAGGAUUCUGUUGGUUGUAAAUAUGUUAAUUAGCUAUAAAACCAUUAAUGGUUUUAUUUUAUGAUUAUUUCCUUCUAUGUAUCAAGUAUUUCUCUAUGUAUCUUACAUUAAAAUCAUUGGAAUACAAACAUCUUAUUUUAUUCAACUCAAGAUGGUAUCAAAGUACAUGAAGCCUAAAUGGGCAUUCAGUCCAAAAAAGAAAAAGAUUUUUUUUUUGUGAUAUGAUCCAAGAAUAAUGAACUCAAAAUAGGCAGCCUUAAGGAGGCAUGUUGAGGAUCUCAUAUAGGGAAAAUCAAUGAACCUCAUACUCUUUAGAAAAUAGAUGGAUUACAUCUCUCAUAUUGUGAUUGGUUUUGAGAUGGAACCUAAUAGAUUCCUUCUUCUAUCUCUGAAGAAGGUGAUGGGGUCGUGGAUGUUGAAACUCCUUGGUAUGUCUCCUCUAUGAUUUUUGAGGAGUUGGUUGGUAGUGGUUCUAAUUUUUUUCAAUGAAGCUAUCUUAAAAAAAAAAAAGGGAAAAAAAAGAGAGAAUAGAAAACUUAUGCAUUGAAUUUAUGAAAUUUGGACGAAUAUAUUAUAGAAUACCUCAAUGACAAAAUAAAAUUAUAUGUUAUUUAAUUAUUAUACUAGUGAGAUCUUCCAAAAACAUGAAAGUUCCCUUUGUUUCUUUUACUUUCUAUGUCUCAUUGUAUUUCGAGCAGUAACUUCCUUUCAUUCAUCAAUGAAAAAUAUUCUUUCCUUUUCAAAGAGAAAAAGACUAAAAUUGUUACAACCAAAUUAGCAAACUAAACUCGGAAGGUGAAUAUAUGUACUGAUAUAAUUUUUAUUAAUAGACUUGAGUUGAGGCUGAAAACUAUAUGGUCUAUGUGAGUGGUGGUUUGACUGUUUGAGUGAAAUUAUACAACUAUUUAUGUAGCCUAAGUAACCUCAUGGAGAAAUCCUCCAAGAACCAAGGUUGUGGAUUUUUUAUUAGAAUGAAUAAUGUGUUUUAUACAAGAGGAGAAGUUUCCUAUUUAUAGAGUUCUAUUACAAUUGGGGUAAAAAGGGAAUUAACCUAGAAUAUUACCUAAUUACUCAAUUAACCCUUAGUCUUCUUACAUCAACUGUUAUGGAAAAGGAAGGAAAGAGAGAGAAAAAUUAUUAUUUUUAAGAUGGAACCUUAUAUUAUUUAAUUAUUGUAUGUAUCAGAAUCCAUAAAGUCCAAACGAGUGUUUGGUCUCCAAUAUGAUGAACCUAAAAGAGGUACCACCUUGAAUAGGGGUGUACAUGAGUUGGGUUGUCGAGUUAUUUAUUAAACAAAAAGUAAGGAAAGGGGGGAGUUAUGGCUGACAAAAUGCUUCGUUUCUAUGUUGUAUUCUCUAACUAAACCUUUUUAAAUUAGUUGUUGAGUGUAACUUAUAUUUCUUGGAGUUGUAUGUUUUAACUUGAGUAGGGUUCUAUUCUGCUUACUUUUCUAUUUUUCAUCAAAUCAAUGAAAUUUCUGAGGUGUACAUUAAAAAGAAUUAAAUAAUAUCCAUAUAUUAUAUAAUUACUACAAAUUGAUUUUUUUAAAAAAAAACUUAUGAAAAGUUCAAUUAAAUUUGCAUUUGAUUUCAUUGCAGAUAUGAAAGGAAAGAUUAGAGUUUAUUGUCGGCUUCGACCUCUUAAUGAUAAAGAAAUUAUGGAAAAAGAGAAAAAUGUGCUUACUAGUCUAGAUGAGUUCACAGUUGAACAUCUAUGGAAGGAUGAUAAGCUGAGGCAACAUAUGUACGAUCAUGUAUUUGAUGGCACUGCCUCCCAGGAAGAUGUUUUUGAAGAUACACGGGCAAGUUCAAUAGAACUCAAGAGCUUCAUUUAUUUAUUUUGAUAAAUAGAACUUUGUUGUUCUUUUAGCUGUCAUGAAAAUAGAAAACAUUAAUUGAUACUCUUUUGUACAAUCUUAAUGCAGUAUCUUGUCCAGUCUGCUGUAGAUGGUUAUAACGUAUGCAUCUUUGCUUAUGGUCAAACUGGUUCUGGGAAGACAUUUACAAUAUAUGGAUCUGAGGACCACCCUGGAUUAACACCUCGUGCAAUUGGAGAACUUUUUAGGAUUUUGAAGCGGGAUAGUAACAAGUUCUCAUUUUCUUUGAAGGUAAUGAUUUACAUUCGCCAAUAUUAAGUUAUGUCUUACUCAGUACCUUUCUUGAGUUUGUAGAUCACUGUAUACUGUGUAUAAAUUAUAUAUCACGGAAAUAGAUGGCUCGGUACUCUCUCUAGAGUUCAAUGAUCAGAAUGCGCAAUGUUUUAUACACUGGCUUUCAUACAAAAUGCCUUGUUGGUUCUAGUUUUUUCCACGUGUGAAUAAAUUUGAUUACAAUGCGUAUUUGAAGAUUGUUAAAAUGCAUAAAUGGAUUCUGUCUUUCUCACUCAUACUCUGCUUUGAUUUAGGCUUACAUGGUAGAAUUAUAUCAAGAUACGUUGGUAGAUCUUCUUCUGCCAAGGAAUGCAAAACGAUCGAGAUUAGAGAUAAAAAAGGAUACAAAGGUUAAUAUUUUAACAUUUGAUCGUUUGUGAUUUUUGCAAUUUACCCGGAUUUCAAUUUAUUUGAGUUAUUAUGUUUCUAACUUUAGUGGGAUGAUUAUUUGCUGAGGUUAGGGAAUGGUAUCCAUUGAAAACGUUACAAUAGCUUCUAUCUCAACAUUUGAAGAAUUAAAAAGUAUUAUUUAUAGAGGAUCGGAGCAACGGCAUACUUCAGAGACUCAAAUGAACGAAGAAAGUUCAAGAUCACAUUUGAUACUUUCAAUUGUUAUUGAAAGUACCAACCUUCAGACGCAAUCUGUUUCUAAAGGGAAGGUAUGGCAAUAACUUUAGUAGUUUCAAUAUUUUUAUUUAUAGUGAAGGAUGUCUGAGAGGUCGUAUGAUUUAAAUAUGAAAAUACACUAUUUGUCCUGGUAUGUUUGCAUUUUCUUCAUUCAUAAGAGACAAUUACUUUACAAAUGGUAGAUAUGAUUUAAAAAAUUUAACGAGCUUUUCAUGGAAUAAACAAAUGAAUGUUGCUUCUUACCAUGUAACAACUUGAUUAUCUUUUAUGCAGCUUAGUUUUGUUGACCUUGCGGAUCAGAGAGAGUGAAGAAAUCAGGCUCUUCUGGUAGCCAACUUAAGGAAGCUCAAAGCAUAAAUAAAUCACUUUCGGCACUUGGAGAUGUCAUCAGUGCUUUGUCUUCAGGGGUCAACACAUACCUUACAGAAAUCACAAGCUCACUAUGUUGAUGAGUGAUUCACUCGGUGGUAAUGCCAAAACGCUCAUGUUUGUCAAUGUCUCUCCAGCCGAAUCCAACCUGGAUGAGACAUACAAUUCACUCAUGUAUGGUAUCCUUUUCUUUACCAUAUACACUUUAAAGAAUUUACUAAAUUAUAUAUUAUUUUAUAAACCAAUUGGGAAUUUUUGUUAAAAUAUCUUCUAUGAUUUAUGUAUAUUUGAAAUUGUCAUGAAGUAUGUUUUUGACAUGCAGAUUUAUCUAGAAGUUGGUAAAUGUGGUCAUGAGUAUUUCUAGACUCAUCAACUAUUCAUUAAACAUAAAACUUCAUUUACUUAUUCAUUUUAGCUCAGAAGAAAAACGAUGAGAAUAAUAUAUUAAAAGUAUUUUAAACGAAUUGAAAGAAGUUUUACCAUCAAAUAUGGAUGGAAAAUGCGGACUUUGUAGAAAAAAAUUGUAUCUUUACAUUGAAGCUUCUUUUUAUGAAUUUGUUUUGUAUUUCAGGUAUGCAUCAAGAGUUCGAUCAAUUGUUAAUGAUCCAAGCAAAAUGUAUCUUCUAAGGAGGUUGCUCGACUGAAAAAAAUGGUUGCUUAUUGGAAAGAACAAGCAGGUAGAAGGGAGAGGAUGAGGAGCUGGAAGAAAUCCAAAACGAGCGACAUACUAAAGAAAAAGGAGACGUUAGAUAUUCCAUGUAGAACCUUUAGUACGUUGCAAUUAUCAAGUAUAUAGCUUGGUAGGUAGGGUUGGACGAUGAGAAGUGAAUUGACUAAAUGCCAUUUGUUACCAUUCUUACGUCUGAUUGAAUAUUGCCCAUUGGAAAUUUGGUUUGUAACUAGCUUAGCUUUUUUAGGAUGUCUUCCAUUGUAUAGUUCGAGUAGUUUUGUAUUGUAUAUAUGGACAAAUGUGUUGUCUUAUCUAUAGGCUACUUCUGUAAUUAAUGAAUACUUCAGCCCCCCGGGUACUUCUGUUUUGAUUUGAAUGAACUUUCAAUUCCAUCCAGCUACACACCCUUUGCAAUAUAUUAUAUAUAUAUAUGUAUCAUCGUGAACAAAUUGUCUAAUGUAAUUGAAAAAAUUGCAUUGUCAUUGCGAAUGGUAGUAGUAGAUGUUUAAGUAAAAUUUCUAAUUCUUUAUUAGACCGUCAAUAAUGUAAUAUUGUAUCAGUUUUCAUCACUAGACAUUGACCAAAACAAAUAAAAGAAACUUCUGAAAGACUAGUCUGGAUUCAAAAUAAAAGUGCCUUCAAACCAAUUUUAAUGGGUAUUAAAACUCAUAACCAAACCACCAAAAAAUCACUCAAAAACAACCGGAUAGCAGCGGAAACGAGUAGAUCCGGCGGCGGAGAUGUGUGAGUGGUGGCCGUCGACGGUGGAGGUGGACGAGCAGCCGGUAAAACAGAAGUGCAAACGGGCCGCGGUGGUGACCCUUGGGGUAAAGAAGAUUUGAAAAUAUUUUCUUCUCUUUUUCUUGUUACCUUUCACGUUUCCCAACCAAACCCUAACAUAAAUAACCCAAAGAGAAUAAUAACCAUAUUAUUAUUUAUUUCCUUUUUCCUAAAUAAUAUAAAAUAAUUAUAUGUAUUUACUUUAUCUUUCCUAAUUAAUUUUAUUUUGCCCCAUAUAAUCAAUAAAUACAAACCCACUCUCCUUAUUAAAUAUAUUUUCAUUUUUUGAAAAUAAAUACAUACAUCAUCCCUCUCACUCACAAUCAUUUUCUUUUUCUCUUUUUUUUUUUUGGCACAAAACUUCACCAUUUCUCGAACGAGACCCAUUACCAUUACUAGCUGGAUGUGAGUUUUCAACGUUAUUUUGAAACCAACCUAAAUUGGGUCAAUUUUUUGAGAUAUAACAUUGACCAUUUUUCGAAUGUUUUGGAUGUCACCUUAAUUAGUGCACCACAAAGUAGCACCAAUUGCCAUCCUUUCAAUUUUUUGUGCAAUAAACCAUGUCCAAGAUACGAUCUCAUACUUAUGAGUCUAGAAUCCUUAAACUAAAAAGGUACAAGAUCAAAACAAAUAAAAGAAACACUAGAAAGAUUAGUUUGGACUUCAAAAUAAAAACUUAGUCUAAGACUUCACUAAUAAUCUUUUUUUGGAAAAAAAACUUCUAACAUUUCUCUAACCAAGACCAACUACUAGACACACUUUGGGAAUUUUCAACAUUUUCUUAAGCUUGUCAAAAUUGAAUCAUUUUUCAUAUGCUAUAUCAUUGACCAUUUUUCGAAUGUUUUGGGUGCCACUUUAGUGCAAAACAAAAAAGCACCAUUCGCGACUCUUAGCUUAAUUUUCUGUGUUAUAGACCAUGCAAAAGAUACGAUCCUAUAAUUGUUGAUCUAGAAUUCCUUAACCAAAGAGGUGCAUGACCAAACGAAAUUAAAAAAAAACCAUAGAAAGACUAAUUUGGACCCCUAAAUAAAAAUUGUGUAUGAGAUUUCAUUGAUCAAUUUUUUGAGAAAAAACUUCAGCAUUUCUCUAAUGAGAACAAUUACCAACUCGAUGUAAAUUUUAAGCACUUCUUAAAACUAACCAAAAGGGGGUCAUUUUUCAUAGGUGUUAAUUGGCUAUUUAUCGAACAUUUUGGGUGCACCUUAGUCCACCACAAAGAAGCAUCAAUUGCGACCAUAGUUCAAUAUCAUGUGCUAUAGAACAUGCAAAAGAUACGAUCUUACACUUAUAAGCCUAAAAUCCUUGAACUAAAGAGGUGCAUGACCAAAACAAAUAAAAGAAUCCAUAAAAAUACUAGUUUAGACCCCAAAAUAAAAAUUGUGUAUGAGGCUUUACUAAUCAAUUUUUUGGGAACAAACUUCAACUUUCUCGUACACAUACUAUUUACUAGUUUGUUCUGAAUUUUCAGCAGUUUUUUGAACUUGCCAAAAUUGGGUCAUUUUUCAUAGGUGUGCAAGCCAUUUUUCGAACAUUUGGGUGCCACCUUAGUGCACCACCAAGGAGCAACAAACGUGACCCUUAGCUCAAUUUUCUUUGUCAUAGACCAUAACAAACAUACAAUCUCACACUUAUCAUCAGUCUAGAAUGCCUGAAAUAAAGAGGCACAUGACCAAAAAAAAAAAAAAAUGAAAGAAAUUGUAGAAAGACUAGUUUAGACCCUAAAAUAAAAAGUGAGUGUGGGACUUCAGUGAUAAAUUUUUUUUUUGUUAAAAAGCUUAAACAUUUCUCUAAAUGAGAUCAAUUACAAGAUGGAUGUGAAUUUUCAACUGGUUUUCUGGACGUUUUGAGUGCUCCCUAAGUCCACCAUUAAGGAGCACCAAUUGUGACCCUUAGCUCAUUUUCUAUGUCAUAAAACAUCCCAAAUAUAUGAUCCCACACUUAUUCGUCUAGAAUCCCUAAACUAAAGAGGUGCAUUACCAAAACAAAUAAAAGAAACUCUUGAAAGACUAGUUUGAACCCAAAAAUAAAAACUAAGCAUGUGGCUUGAGUUAUCAUUUAAAAAAAAAAAAAAACUUACAUUCAUUUAAAUGAGACCAAUUGCUAGUUUGGUGUGAAUUUUCAACAUUUGUGAAUAUGCCAAUUUUCAACACUCAUUCCUCUAAAUGAGCGGCGGGGAACGACGACGACAAAUCUCUUCUUCUUCUUCUCUCUCUCAUGCUCCUUCUUCUCUUUUGAUUUUUUAAUUUAACAUAAUGAAAUGAGUUUAUUAAAAGGGGAACUCCCGAUGUAUCUUGAAAACGUCGGGAAAUCCACCCCCAUUCCCGAUGCAUAACUAAUGGUGUUGGGCAUGGUGAUCAUUUUUUCCAACGUUCUGACGUCGCGCAAAGUAAAGUUAACGAUAUAAUUAAUUCUUCAGCCUUGUCCGACACGACACUAUAGACGUCAAAAAGUACAAAGGCAGUCCCGACAUGCUCAAUAUAAACGUCGAGGCUUGGCCACAUUUUCCCAGCGUGCAUGGACACAUGGACAAUAUGUCUAUAACAAUAACAAUACUACUUAUGGUUAUUUACAUAUUAGUUAUGGUCAUUCAAGUGAUUGUGGUUCCUAUGGUUAUAUUGACAGUUGUAACAUAUCGGUUUGCAUAAGGAGACCACAACUUCCUCAUGAAAGUGAUGGAAAUUCAUACUCAAAGUCUCUAUAUUAUCUAGAUUCUUCAAAGUCAUCCUCAUUAGGGUGGAAUAUGGUUUGAUCCAAGGUAUUGUCCUAUUGGUAGCAUUGAGGUUGAUAAUGAGAUUCAUGGAUGACAUACUUUCAAUUAUGUUGGAAACUUUUAGUAUACUAAAAAAUAUUAUCAUUUGAAAUCGAACAUGAUUAUUUCUUUUUCUCCUCCUUCGAGAUUUGAUGUUCCAACUUACUCCUUCACCGGGUUUUCCUAUUGCUCUAAUUCUUGGUUCACCAGCUCUAUGGUCAUGUUGCAUGCGUGAAUUGAGAUUCUCAAGUGUGGGGGCUAAGUUCUUUAUUUUGUUGACUCUUCCCACAUUGUCAUAAGCUUGGCCACCCCCAUUGAAAAAUGUUGGUUUUUGAAAAAUUUUAAUUAGAAAUUUGAGUUGGAAAAUGUUGUAUUUUAAAAAGAAUGAAAAAUAGAUACUUUUAGAUAUAUCAGUUGAAAAUAUGGAGAAUAUCCACGACAUUCAUUUGAUAGUUCCACAAUAUUUGUCGAUGCAUUCACAUUUACCAAUUUUUGUAUGGAUAAUAUUCACAAAAUGGAUAUUAUCUAUGUAUGGAAAAUUUUGAUCGGUUUGUCAUUGGGGACAACCAUUUUUCAACCCUCGUAAUAGUAUCAUGAGGUUUAGUGUAUGCUCUUUUCCAUAAACUAGUCUAUCUAUUCAAUGAAAAAAAAAAGAAACUUUCCUGGUGAUCAUUAUCUCCCUUAUUUGAAUACAUUUAACAUUAGACCUAAAAAGUUGAGAUCUAUGAAGAAUGUUUAAGUGCCUAUUACAACUCCAACCAUACCUUACACAUUGAAGAAAAAGAAAGAGAGAAGAAAAAUGAAGCAUGGGCGUAAAAACAAAACUUCACUGAAAUGGUAGUGGAAAUUGGAAGUAACAAGUACGACGUGACUUUCACUCAAGCUUCCACAACUGCUUCAGCAAAUUAGUAAAAAGGGCUGGCAACUAGAAAGUCCUGUGCUCGGUUCUUUCUGGAUAUAUUGCGAAUUGCGAUAACUUCUCCAUUUCUGGGGGAAACGGAGUAGUAGGAUGGGGAUGGGGAUGGGGAUGGGGGUGGCGAGGGAUGAGAUAGAUAAAAUCUCAGAACCUUCCGUCACAGUUUUCAAGGGAGGCGGUGGGGUCGGCGACCAAAUGGCGGAUGAUGCACAUAAUAGUAGCCCUGGGAAUUUGGCUUGGCGGUAUUCAUCUCAAUUUUGCUCUAGGCCUCAUAUCCCUCUUCUACCUCUCCCUGUCCAAAGCCCUCUUGUGAGUUUUGUUUUUCUCAUUCUCUCAUCCCUUUUUUACCUUUUCCUUUGGGUGCGUCUCUUUCUAAUCUCUCUCUCUCUCUCUUUUUAAGGGUUUUCGCUUUACUUUUGAUAUUAGUGUUAAUUCCUGUCGACCAUAAAAGCAAAUACGGCCGCGUAUUGGCUAGGUAUGUUUUGCACCUCUUUUCGUUGGCCCCCCUCUCCUUCUUCUUCUUUCAUCAAUCUGUUGUCCCCCCUCUCUCUGCUUAUAAUCUGCUGUUUGCUUUCAGAUAUAUAUGUCAAAAUGCUUGCAGCUAUUUUCCAGUUACUCUACAUGUUGAGGAUAUACAUGCGUUUGAUACCAAUCGUGCUUAUGGUUAGUGACUGCUGUUUUUAUUUGUUACUUUAUUUUUUCAUCCCCUUCUACAAUUGUUCGGUCUCUCUCUCACCAUCGUAGAAGAAAUUAUUUAUUUAUUUUUUUAAAAAAAACCAUAAAAGAAAUAUGAGAAACGAGAUGUUUGGUUAUAGGAAACUUGGCUCCUCGUAUCUUGUCUUAAUACCUUGUUUAUGGCACAAGGUUAUAAUGAGCAAACAUGCAUGAUAUCCUAUUGGGUGCAUUUUGGUUUUUAGUGCCUCUAAGAUUACUGAAUGAGGCUACACUUCCCAAAUUGUUGUGUGGUCGGAUUUUUGUGGCUGAGCAUGAACCACCACUCUUUUGAGUCGUUUCCAAGUAGUGGAAGGGCUUGAGCAAGAGCUUUGGAUUUUAUACAACAUCUUACGUACUCCACUUUUUUUUUUCAAGUGUUAUUGUGUUCUUUCAUUGUUUCUCAAGGAAAGCAAUUGUUUCUAAAAACAGAAAAAGAAGUGUACUCCUCAUAACGUCUCUGGGGCUUAUGCCUCAAGGAUGUCUUGAAGCCUUUCAAAACAUGGAUAAUCAUUUUGUAUUUGCGUUUAGUGGUUUCCUUUUUGUUUUCUGCUUCCAUUUUGGUUUAGGUGAUAAAAAACUUAUGUUCUUUCUUUAUUUUGUAUUACCUAAAGUUUUGUUUCCCAAAUAAAAAAAACAAACAAACAAAUAAGUUGGUAAUAAAUUACAAUAGUAGGAAACGACAAUACAGUAGUCUUCUAUCAUUGUCCUUGUUUGAUAGAGGAAUCAACUGAAUCCAAAGGAGAAAUCUUCACUUUCUUCCUUGGGGGACUGUGCAUCUUUUUCCUUAUUUUUUAUGGAUAUUUCUUUUAUUUAAGAAAUCCUUUAUUUUCAGAGAAAAUAUUUGGAAAAUACAUUUUUUUGAGCAAUUUUAUUUUCCAAUGUUGUAGUUUUUGGUUAUGAGCCACAUUCAGUUUUACCUAUUGGUGUUGUUGCGUUGGCCGACCUUACUGGUUUCAUGCCUCUCAAAAAAUUGAAAGUCCUUGCAAGUUCUGCUGUAAGACUUCUUUCUUUUCAUUCUAGGCAUUUACUAGCUUUCUUUGUAACUUCUAAUCGUUUCAUCAUGUGCGGGGUAUUCUACCAGGUGUUUUAUACUCCGUUUUUGAGGCACAUAUGGACAUGGAUGGGCCUAACGCCAGCGACAAGGAAAAAUUUUAUCUCCCUCUUGGCAGCUGGCUAUAGUUGCAUCAUUGUGCCUGGUGGAGUACAAGAGACAUUUCAUAUGGAGCAUAAUUCGGAGGUCUUUAUCCAUCCUUUCUUUACCUGUAAAUUUUGACAUUGAUUCUUCUAUCUUUAUUUGAUUUAUUUACACUUUCCUCCAUUUUAUUAGAAGGUUAAGGCUUAUCCACUUGCACAAUGGAGCCAAGAUAGAUAAAACUCUAGUCCCUUCUUGUUUGUCUAUUUUGAACUUAGCCAGAGCAUUGCUAAAUUUUCUCUCUUUUUCUUCUACAUUCUCCUAUUUUCUAGUAUCAAAAGGUAGAUAUAACUGCUGGAUUUUGCUGCUUCAAGCAUUCUGGAGUUACUUUUCCUUUGUGAUCAGUGCUAGAUGAGUUUGUUUUUUGUAAUUUUUUGGGGUCUUAAUCUAGUUGAGAUGUCUGAGAUGCUCCUGAUCCUUGAUCCUUGGUUUCUUUGCUCAUUGUAUGUUCCUCUUGUACUUUGAGCUUUUGUCUCCUUAUUAAUAUAUUAAUGAAAGAGGUUGUUUCCUUUUCAAAAAAUAAUGGUGCUUAGUAUGGAGCAUGUAAGCCUUAAAUUAAUUAAUAACAUUUUACAAAUCCUCAAUUGGUAUGAACAAGUAUUGUUGAACAUAAUAGUUAUAUAAAAAUUAAAAAGUAACAAAUUCCCACACUAAACAAAAAAAUCUACUUCACUACUAUUAUUAAUAGGAUGGACUUAUAAACAUUUUUUAUCAAUAAAGUCAUAGUAGUAGUAAGAGUCAAUGUUUUCGAGGCAACCCAUGGUUCACUCCUAAGGCGAGAUGUGAGGCAAACCAAAGCCAUUGAUGGUGAGGCAACAAGGCUACAGCAAAAGAAUAUCCUUUCAGAAAGAUCCUUGGAUUGACAAUUAGUCUUAUGUUCAUGUCUUCCUCGUCUUUUCAGGAUAGCAUUGUUGCCCGAUGGGUAUGUAUUUGACCCUUAGGAUGGUGAAACUUUAUCAUGAGUAGUUUUCUUUAGAAGACUGUUGAAAGAAGUUGAAAUUCAAGAUUUUGAGCCAUUACUACAAAUCGGCAUUGGUGGUUCACAAAUAAAAACCAAAUAUGUCUAAUUCUAACUCCUUCUUGUGCUAGUUGCUUCACAACAUUCAUGAAAAUGGCCCUAACCAUUAGCACUUCUGGAAACAGAUCUUUUGAAGUAUGGUGGCAGAUGAACCAUCAUGGGUUGGCCUAAUGGUAAAAAGGUCAUUACUUAACUAAGAGGUCAUGGGUUCGAUCCAUGGUGGCCAUCUACCUAGGAAAUAAUUUUCUAUGAGUUUCCUUGACAGCCAAAUGUUGUAGGGUUAGGCGGGUUGUUCCGUGAGAUUAGUUGAGGUUCGCGUAAGCUGGCCCGAACACUCAUGGAUAUAAAAAGAAAUAUAUGGUGGCAGACGAAUACAUUUUUGGUUAGACACUUGGAUUGUUGAUUCUUCUCUAAAAGUUGAUAUUCCUUUUCUAUUCAACAUAGGUUCUCCCUCCAAUUGUUUGGUUUAUGAUAAUUGGGAUGGUAAUUUUCGUUCAUGGAACAUUAUCUUUCGAUCAUCGCUCAUAGAUGAAGAUCGUUCAAAGAUGAGAUUCUUGUUUCUCGGAUCUUUACAGGUAAAAAAGUGAAAUUUGGAAGUCUGGGACUCUUAAAAGAAUCAACAUUCUUAUUUGGAUAAUGAGUUCUGGAUUGCAGAAUUGUUUUGAGCUUUCUUGAAAGAAAUCUUCCUUUGCAUUGCCCAUCACCUUUUAUUUGCUUUCUUUGCAUGAAGUAUAGGGACACCUUGCAACAUUUAUUUUUUGAUUCUAUUUAUUGAAGGCAAUGUUGGUGGAAACCCUCCACGCAUCCCACUAUUGUUCCUUUAUUAGUUGGUCUCAGAUGUGGCAUUAGCGUCCAAACUUUUGUGGUCUAAUGUGGUCUAAUGGGCUGAAAGAGUGCAACUAGAGAGUUCAAGUCUCUUCCUUAGGAUGACCGUUUUGGUUCAGCUUGUCUGAAAGCCUCCCCUCAUGAUGUUCUUUCUCUAAAAGCUUGGCAAACUACUCUAUUUGGGAUAUUUGUCUUAAUUGGAAUGCUUUAAUGGAAGUGUCUGUUUCCUUUUAAAAAAAACUUUUGAUUAUAAGAACAAUAUCUAUCGACAUUCUGUUACGGGAAAAAAUGUUGAGGUGGUCGCAACACUAAAAGAAAGAUGAUUUUUUUCUUCAAAAAAAGAAGGAAACAGAAGAAAAGAGAAAAUAAGAAGUCCGUAUUUCUCUUACCACCACAAAAUUAGGAAACAAAAGAGGAGAAAGCCUGCAGCUACCAUUCAGGUCGGUAUUUCUCUUGUCCCAUUGAUGAUAAAAUUAAGUUUGUUCUAGUGUGUCACUUCUUGCUUUUAAAGUGUAAACUUGUCAAAUUCUGAGGUUUUAGCUUCAGAAUAAUUUGUCAGAUCAUUUUAAUGUCCUAAGCAAUGCCUUUUGGUCUUUUUGUACUCUAACCCCCCCCCCCGGCACACACACACCAAAUAAGGAAAAUAAUUGUCCAAAAAUGGGUCCAGUUAGAGGUAGGACGGUGGUCUGGCUUGGCGGGAGUUCUUAGUUAGAGUAGAUUAUGGAUUAUGUAAGGAAUCAUUAUGGAUGCAGUAGGUCGAUUAAUAUAAAAUAAAAUAACACUAACAGCAACAAUAGUCACGAGCCUCCUUUUGUUUGGUUGAGGCAUAAAUCCUGAGACACCUCAAAGCCCUCUUGCUAAAGGCUUAUGGUUAACAUUCAGGGAGAGGAAAAGGAAAUGUAAUUAGUAGAACUUCUUGCUUUUCUGUAAAGUUGGGUUGCAGUAAUCAUUCUCAUUCCAUGAGAAGCUUGGCAGGAUUGACAAUUCUGAAAUUCACUUUGUAGACUGUCUUCCUCAAGACAAGACGAGGAUUUGUUCGUAUAGCGAUGGAGAUGGGUACACCACUGGUCCCAGUUUUCUGCUUUGGUCAGGUAUUUUUCUAAUGUUUUCGUAGUGUUAUAUUUCUCGUGCUAUAAUUUGUAUUUUAAAAUUUGAUUUUGAUCAGUUUCCUCCAAAUUCAUGUAGUCAAGUGUCUAUCAAUGGUGGAAACCUGGUGGUAAGUUUUUCCUCCAAUUUUCAAGAGCAAUCAAGUUCACACCAAUUGUCUUCUGGGGAGUUUUUGGGUAUGUGUAUAUUUUCUCGCCGAGUCUUCACAAAUAUCAUGCUCUUCUCUUAUCUUACCAUGCUGUUCUUGUCCAUCUUGCUAAAAAAGAAAGAGCACGUCUUGUUAAAUGGUUGCGUGGUUGCAUUGUUGUAUGAUUGUAUCUAGAUUAUUGCUUUUAGGAGUCUACUUUAAAUAUAUGUAUUUUUAGUCAUUAUAUCAUCAAUUGUGCACAAAACUUCUAGCUUCGGAGUCGAAGCUCUAUUAUGUGCUCAUAACACAAACACUCCAUUUUAGUUAGUGUCUAGUGUCGGACACAGACAAACACCUGUCCAACAUGAAAAUUUACAUGUCCUAUUCUUAUUUGUUGUUUUCAAUUUUAAACAUGCGGGCCAUGUUUGGGAUACUUCCUGGACACGUCUAAACAAUUCUUUUAAAGAAUAAAGACAAAACAGCCCAACCUUUCUUGUUGCGAAUUUAAAGCCCAAAUCAAUUAUAUGUUGAAAGAUGGGGGAAGCCCCUUUUUAAAACCAGAUUUUCUUUAAAAAACUGAAGUUAGGAACCUUGGGUUUCAUCUCUUAUAAUUGUUAAUUAACUUCAUUCUUAAAUCAUCCAUUGACCUAAAAGUUUAAGUUGACGAUGGAAGACAAAUUUAAUAUUAUGUCAUCUAACACUCACCCUCACUUGUGGGUCUGUAAUUUGUAGAAGACCCAUUCUUGCCCUUCACUUCAUAGGGAUACUCUCCUGCAAUCAGGGAUGCCUAUUGUAGGCUUUUGUUGAACCUUCUAGGAGUUGCAUAGACUGCAACUUGAGGCAAGCUGAGUUUGGGUGUCAUUAACAACCAUGUAAUUGCUCAACUGUUCAGGAUUUAUGAUUAUUGUUAUUAUUUUCUUUUGUGUAUUUCCCUUUCGCAGGUUUUUUGAAAUCUAUUUAUUUUUCUACCUAAAAGGUCAUUAUGUACUCUGAAUUAUUAUAUUUAAUAAAUAUAAAAUUAACAGGUGCCAUUAACAACCUCGUAAUUGCUCAACAAUUCAGGAUGUCAGUGUUGACACUGCACAGUCAAUAUUGAAUUAUAUAUUUAGUUAUUUUUUUGGGAAAUUGGACCGGGCAAAACUAACUUCGCGCCAGCCUUGGGCUUUAGUUUGGUAAAAAUGUUGUAUACAUGCAAUUUAUUUUGAGAAAUUUGCCUCAAGAGGAGGAGGAACAAGAUGAUCCAUGAAAAAGUUCAAUAGUAUGUUAUAACAUUGGGAUCAAGUGUGUUGGUUGGUGAUCUUUGGUUUUGUUCGUAAGUUAAUCUAUCUAGUUCUAAUUUCAUCGUUACCUGCCUAUCAUUGAAUAUUGUUGUGUUUUCAGAUCGCCUCUUCCUUAUAGGCGGCAGAUGCAUGUGGUGGUGGGAAGACCCAUUGAGGUGAAGAAAAAUCCAAAUCCAACGAGUGAUGAGGUAGGUGUCUCAAAGGUCCAUUAACAAUUUAACAUAUAUGCUAGAAUGAUUGCAAUUCUUUACGAACGUUUAAGCAUACAUAAUAUUGACGUCAAAGAAUCUCUCUUUUUGGUCCUCUAUGGAACUCCACCGCCCAACUUUGUUUGGCUAGAUGAGUGCUGAGAAAGAGAGGUAGUGGGGGAGCUGAGGGGUCAAAACUAGUUGCCUUACUUUUUGAAUUUAACAAUCAUAAGUAGGAUUCAAACCGAUUGUUUGAGUAAGUUCUUUAGAAUUAUCUGCUUAGGGGGAUCAUUUACCAAGUCCUGUAUUUCAUUAUUCUUACAACUAUCAUGGUAAGUCCCAUAUCUCUUACAUGGUUUUUAUCAGGUGCUUGAUUUACACGGUCGGUUUGUUGAAGCACUCGAAAGUAUGUUUGAAAGGUAUAAAGGACAGCUUGGCUAUGAUGAUCUGCAGUUAAAUGUCCUUUGAUUAAAGGUUGAGAGAUUUAUUUGGUCCAACUUCAAUCAAUCCUGUACUCAUCUCUUGUAUUCAAGAAUAUCUGUAGCAAUGAUCGGAGUGCCCAUUAUUAUACAUUCGAGAUCUUUUGGCAAAUGAUGUGGGGUCCAGCAGAAUAGAAAACCAGGGUUUUAAAUCUUUGAGAAUAAUACACUUAAAUGGAAUUCGAAUUCAGUUAUGAAAUGUUGUAGGAUAAACCAACCCUUGUUGAAUUAGAAAUGAUGAUCAUAAGAUGGUUCGAUUAAUAAUUUAAUCUUUAAUAUUUUGUAGUCGGAUGCUAUAAUGGUUUACAAAUUGAAGGUUUUAACUCAAACCAUGCUCGAAAACUUCGAGGAUGGUGAUUUUAGAAAAAUAAUAAAUCACUAACAGUUGAAUUUUGAAGCAUUGUAGGAUGAAAUAUAUGUUUCGAAUUUUCUUUUAUUUUCAAUAUGUGCAUUCUUACCUCAAUAUCAAUCUGCAUGUUAUUGAUCUAACAAUAAAAUAAAUUAAUAAAAAUAUAUAUUUACUAUAAUUAUUUUUUAAAAAAUAAACUUUCAAAUAUAAAAUACCACUUUAGCAAUACAAUGGUUCUAAAAUCGCUUUUUGUAUUAAAUUGAAAAUUAAUUUUAAGAGUUUGUUAUCAAUUAUAGAUUUGAUUGUUUGAGAAAGGGUAGUUUAGAUAUGAUUUUAAAAAAAUUGAUCGAAUUUUAAACAGGUAGUAAGCUUUUUAAAUUAAUCUUCAUAAUUUAGAAUUGAUCUUUAUAACCCUUAUGUUUGAUUCAAGGUUAAUUUAAAGUUGUCUAGUUAUUCAUUUAUUUUCUAUUUGAGAAACAAUUAUUUAAUUAAUUAAUUACAGUAUAAAUGUACUUCUAUUUAUUUUAUUUUAUAACUCAUAUACCUUUAUAUAUAUAUAUAUAUAUAUAUAUAAAAGAAUUUACGAAAACCAUCUAACUCGGAUAUAAUAAUAGAAGCAUUGCAUUUUAACAGAAGAAUGGUAUGCGGUAAUAUUGAGGCCAUCGAUGUUUCGCAACCACUUGUGGAGGUCCAAGUUCUGAUGGCGAUCGCUCUCCUUCAAGGCGUGCACCUCCUGCGCGAGAUAAACUAGAAAUAGACAACCUCCAAUUCAAAUUUCUGAAGAAUCACGUUAUUGAAACGGACAAUCGGAUUGGAAACGGUAUCAUAUAGGUGUGAUUUUUAGGGUUUCUUUCUGGGUUGCAUGUUCGUAAAAUUACAACCACACAUCAAAUCAGCAAUUUCAGGUUUGAAUCCCCAAGCAUGCAGCUCCUUCUCUUUUCCAGAUUAACCCAUUAGCAUCUGCAUCUCAUACCGUUUCCCCGUCUUCUCCCCCUCAAAAUGCAUAUCAUAUAAUACUACCUUGUCUCUCUUUUUCGUCAAUUUUAGGAAAAUGUGUGCAUGCUGUUCCGUUUAUUUGAUUCGAUUGAUGCAGGGAGGGCACGAGAAGCGAAUCUUAGGGUUAGGUUUUUCCAUAAAAGUUAAGAUGAGGAUCAUGGGUUGAGCGUUUUGUAUAGGAAGUUGCUGUCAUCUACCGAGUAUUGAUACUUUCAUGUCUUAUUUCUCAUAGACGCCAACUCCUUUUUACGGAUUUCUGGGUUGGGUUUCCCUUUUAUUAAGUGCAGCAUUUUUUUCCCCUUAUCUGUCUUCUGAAAAUUACGUGUUGCAUUCUUUCCUUCAUUUCUUAAACUUUCUUCUGGAAACCUAACUUCCAUUAGUAUUUACUUGUAGGAUUCUGAUUCUUCCGUUGGAACUGAAGAUGUGUGACGCGAAGGAGAAACAGGAAUCUGUACAAGAUGUGUCAACUGCUUUAAGUGAAGGAAACCAAGUUAAUGCAAAAGAAGAUGAGCUCCAUGAUUCUCUCUCUGUGCCAGCUGAGGCAACUCCAAACUCUUGCGAAAAAGAGAUUGAUUCACCUGGAACUUGUGUACAGGAAAUUGUACCUCUUGAGGAUAAUUUAGAAAAACCUACAAUUCUUCAGCAAUCCAAUCAAAUUUCUGGGCAUUCACUUCCCAUGGAUUAUGACCAAGAGUUGGAUAAGUCUGUUGCAGAACCUGCUUCCGAUGUCAAGUCUGGCCCUGUUGAGUUACCCUCGAGGGAUCUAGAUGCUGCUGUUUCCAGCUCUCCCCUAGAAACUGUUCAGUCCUCCAUAGAUGCCAAAUCUGAGGCCUCUAAGAUGCCUGAAAUUAAAACCUGUUCUCUUGAUGAUGCUUCAACAGUGAGUCACGAUGAACCUGUAACUCCCCAUCCAGUGUCAUCUUGUGUAAAAGCUGAAACAGAAAAUGCCAUAGAAUUGAAGGUCAAUGAAGACAUUGUUACUACACCACAUAAUGGGGAUUCAAACAUGAAUCACUCGUUUCUUUUGGAUGAAAAUCAUAUUGCUGAAGGUAGUGAAUCAGGAACAGAAGAAGAGCAAUCUGCUUUCAUGAAGGAGCUUGAGAACUUCUUCAGAGAAAGAAGCUUGGAAUUCAAACCUCCUAAGUUCUAUGGAGAGGGUCUGAAUUGCCUCAAGUAAUAUUUUUAUUCUUCUUUACUGUAGCAUGAUUUACAUCAUCCAAUAGGAAAUGGAGUUCUCAGCUCACAUUUUGAACUUUUUAUUAUAAGGUUGUGGAGGGCUGUGACUAGAUUGGGAGGCUAUGACAAGGUAUUUUUUGUUCUUUCUGUAAUGACCACAAUGUUUCUUGCUUCAAUGAUGACAUGUUUGGAUCGUGUGAAAUCUAAUAUAAAUAUUUCAAAGAUGCUUUUAGUUCCCAUGUGACUUUUUGUUUAGGGCUUAAGCUGCCUCGUACACAUUGAGGCUAUAAAAUGCAUUUGAGUUAGCACGGACACUUUAGUUUGGAUAGUGUGUUCGUGUCGGACACUUGGACACUUUGACACUUGGUGGACACCUUUUGUACCUUUUUAGUGCAGCAAAUGUAUUAGAUUUGCAUAGAACAUUCAUUGAUUAGACUAAAAAGGCGUAUAUAUGACAAUGAUAAUAACUUUUGGGCAUGGAAUACAUCAAGCUCAGUUUUUUAAGCAUAUAAAUGCAUCAAUUCAUUUACUAUGAAUUUUCUUUUACUAUAAAUAUGAUAUAUAUACUUUAAAUAUGAAUAUUUUAAUAAAUGUGUCCUUGCCUUGUCGUGUCCUAGAUUUUUAAAAUAUGGUGUGUCGUCGUGUCCGCGUCAUGUCGUAUUCAUGUCUCGUAUCUGUCUUCGUGCUUCUUUGGCUACUGUGCCUAAAUUUAAUGGUCGAGAAAAUGAACAUGGUAUUUAUAUCUUCAUGCAAAGUGUUUUAACUGCUCCCCUUCAUCAACCUUAGGGCAUAGGUAGUUAGGGGAGAAAAUUGCGGGUGUAUGAUUUACUUUUUUAUUUUGCUUUCUUCUCAUGAUAUUUCUUGUUUCAUUUGAUUCAAUUGUUUUUUUGGCUCUGAAAUCUUAUUUUUGACACAUCCAUCACUGGCAUCCUUUCUGGACAGGUGACUUCAUGCAAGUUGUGGCGUCAAGUAGGAGAGUCUUUCAAGCCUCCAAAGUAAGGACACAAUUGGUAGUCUAAUAUCAAAAUUUUCCUACGUGUGACACUGAGGGAGACAAGUUGCUGCUUUUCCCAAUCAUAUUUUUCGAAUUGUUAAUUUAGCUUAUGUUCUUUCACCUGUCUUUCUUAUUGAGUAAAAUUAGUUAUAGUGCCUGAAAUCUUGAACAGCAUAGCCUAAUGCCCAACCUAAUUCCGGUUUACAUUUAUACUAAAUCAUUGUUGACAAAUUCUUCAGGUAGUUUGAAGAAUAAAUGGUAUCAUGGUAUCUGAGUUGUAACAUCUCCAUUUUAGGAGGAUUUUUCUUUAUCUUUUACAUUACCUCAUCUUUCAGCCUAUAUAUGAUAAGCAUUCUUUUUUUUUUGGUUCUACAGGACAUGCACAACAGUUUCAUGGACAUUUCGAGGAUUUUAUGAGAAGGUGAUGGCGAAAAGAUAUUUUCUUUGAAUAUUUGUGUAUUUCCAUUGAUGUAUUUAUAUCCAUCUUUUGUAUGUGCAUCCUAUGGGAUUUUCAUAGUCACAGGUUUCUUACAAAUAAAAGGUUAGGGGAUUAUUAAUACUUCUUGUGGGUCAUUUGAAGUUUUGUAAUGUAAAUAUAAUCCAUUGCACUUGUUUCAAAUGGAUGAAGUUUUAAAUCCAUGUUUUCUUUCUUACCAUAGCAAGUAUUUUUUCAAUUUAUUAUCUGAGUUUUGUUGCACUCGUUUUACCCUUAGCUUUGUAUCAAGACUCAAGUGUCUCCAAUCUCUAUCUACUGCUUAGAAGCUCAUGGAAAGAGAAACGUAUAUAGUUGCAUAAGUUAUCUAACACAAUACUUUUGGUUGUAACUUCUCAAUUUUUUUUAGGCUCUUCUUGAUUAUGAGAGGCAUAAAACCAAUGGUGGUGAACUUAGUGUACCUAUUGCUUCCAACUCAGAACCGAUGAGUAUUGAAAACCAGGUAUUGCAGAAUUUCAAGCUCUGGACUUAUAUUUAUUUUAUUUCUUCAUGACGAAUAGCUAAUAUUUUUUGGGCAAAUUUAUUUCUGUUAUAUUUUAUAUAUGAUAGCUAUUAUGGUGUUUUUUGCUCGUAAGAGGUAAGAGAGUUGAAGGUUACAUACAACGCAUUUCAUUUCAUAGAUUCAGGGCUAGUGACUGGUUUCAACUAUUAUUUAGUUUUUUUCACACUUUUAUAUGACUUGUGUUUAGCGAUACUUGGUUAUACCAAAUUUGGAUUUGAAAAAGGUUUUUAAUUCACUAUCAGAGGCUUACUCCCCAUUUUCCUUGUUGAGGCUUUUGCCUUACCUCUCCGUGAGGAAAAGGUCUUCUUUAGUCUUUUAAGACAUUGGUCAGAGACUCCCAAAUUUUGGUGGGAAAUUGUGUCAGGCUUUGAUAGAUGAUUGAUAUCUCUAGAAGCUUACUUAUUCCGUAAAAGUACAACAUUCCAUCAAAGAAAAUUUUCAAUAGACAAAUAGUGUUCAAUAAAAUCAUUGGUAUUAGUCCUGCCAAUAGCCACUGGCUAACCAAAAAGUGUAUUUUCUUUGAAUUUUUUAACGUCCAUAGCUUAGAUACGAACAAAAAGAAGCUGAAUCAUGAGGAUGGGUUUGAGGAGCUAACCAAAGAUCUGGAAUAAGAGAAGACAUCCAGUCCGAGGUCAUCUUAAAUGUUGCAUAUGUUAGAUCAUAAAAAAUAGUGGGGGCUAGUUUUAGGAAGUAUAGGUGUUAUUUGUUAAUAAUGCUGGUGUUAUUGAUCCUGCUCAUGUUUGUGUUAUAUUGCCCCGAGGAAAUAGCAUCCUGCUAAUAAUUGUUUGCCUCAAGGAUAUACCUAAGAGUCUAACUAGUACACGAUUGAACAAAUUAAUGUACAUACAGUCAAAUUUCUUCAGUAAUUUUAUACAUCCUGAUUUUCUCUCACACAACUUUAAUCAGGGAUCCGGAUCAGGUAGAGCACGAAGAGAUGCUGCUGCACGUGCCAUGCAAGGUUGGCACUCACAACGUCUUCUGGGAAAUGGUGAAGUUAGUGACCCUAUUAUCAAGGUCUGGUGAAUGCUGUGUUUCAUGGAUUGUUUUCUCUUGUGCAUCCUCAAUUUAUUCCCUUACCAUCCUUUUCCAAUGGAGUAUCAUGUUUAAUAAUCUCUGUAGGACAAGAACUCACUCUCAAUGCAGAAAAGGGAAAAACAACUAAAAAGCAUUGGUAAGCUUCUUUUGUGUUCUUCACAGCUAGGAUGGCUGCAUAUCUGUAAUUCUUUCUUCCUCUGGUUACAACUAUUAUUAAUAAUUUUUGGUUGAUGUAGGUCUUCUUAAACGUAAGAAACCAUCUUACAUGGAGCACUCCAUGAAAUCAGCACGUACAAAAUCACCAAAACCACAGUUAGUAAACUCUUUAUAUGGAUUUUUAUUUGUGCAUGUAAGAAAACAUUGGAUGGAAUGUUGGUAAAAAAAUUCCUGUUUGUGGCUUAGGUUGGACGUAGCAGUAGUUGAUAUUGGACAACCAGCCGACUGGGUCAAGGUCAAUGUGCAGAAAACUGUAAGUUGCGGAAGUAUGUUUUAAUGAAAAACACCAGUAAUAAUGAUCAUAGAGCCAACUCACGUAGUUCCGUUCUUGUGGCAGAAAGAUUGUUAUGAGGUCUAUGCAUUAGUUCCUGGACUACUCCGCGAGGAGGUACAUCAUUUCUGUUUUAUGCCUUUUCAUCAUUUGCAAUGUGUACAGUUGUCAUGGAGAAACCAUUUAAUUUGUUUUUCUAUUUUAUUUAAUCAAUAAAAACUUCUAAGAAGUUCAAUGGACAACGUAUUUGCUUGGGUUUUUUUUUUUUCUUGCAAUGGUUAAGAGAGAUGAGCAUCUUCUAUCUGUUUGCUGUUCUAGCAGCCUUUGGCUUGUGAGGCCUUGUGCUAUGAGCUCAAGGCAUCUUUACUUUUAACCUUUUUUUAUUGUUUUGGUCUGAAUUAGUACAUAUGUUUCAGUGUUGUCCGAGCAGUGUGUAAAUCUUUUCCAAAUUCUGUUUCUGCAGGUGCGUGUUCAGUCUGAUCCGGCAGGACGCUUGGUCAUUAGUGGUGACCCUGAACAUCCUGAUAAUCCAUGGGGUGUCACACCCUUCAAAAAGGUCCUUACUGACCGUAACUUUAUUAAGAAGCAGUUUAUUUUAGUAACCAGGAUUACCCUCAACAAUUUACAUUAUCGUUGAAAUUUACAAGACUUCCUACGUUUUCUCACUCUAAUCUGCUUUAUUUCCCUAAUUUCCUCACCUCGGACCUUCAAAUUCUUUGCCUGGAAAGAGGCUGAAGAAAUAUUCAAUGCGUGUUUUUCAACGAUUAAAAUUAAUCUUGUGAAUUUAGAAAAAAUAUUCAAUGCUUAUUUUUUAUUGCAGGUGGUCAGCCUACCGUCAAGGAUUGAUCCACACCAGACUUCUGCCGUUGUCACCUUACAUGGACAGUUGUUUGUUCGUGUUCCAUUUGAACAGUUGGAAUGAAUGCAUUACAUAACCACUCAACUGAAGCUCGAUGUUCAAACCAAUCUUGUAGUUUGACGUGUUAGUCUGUUUUAUAAUGUUAAUACAGUUUGACAGUGGCAAAAGACCGUUUAGAUAGGCAGGAAACAUGAUUUUGUUUUGUUUUGUAAGAUCUUUGAUAGUGGUUAGCUAGUAUCGAAAAGCUAUUAAUGUAUCUUAUGUGAACUCCUAAUCUAAGUAUCCUUUACGGCGUAUUUAUAGUAGCAAGGAUACUACUGCUCAUUUUUUCUUGUUGACGGUUGCAUCAUUUUAGCCCUAGGAAAAAGGAGUACACCAAUUGGGAGUAUACUGUAACAAAUCUUGUAGAUGACAGCAUUGAAAUAGGAAAGCAGAUUGAUCAGCGUCAAUAUUAAGCAUGAACGUGAUGAUAUUUUCAUUUUCAAACAAACUAAGGUAUGUAGUUCAUAUAAAUUUAAAAUAGAAAUGUAAAUAUUUUAUAACACUUAAAAGAAAUCAACCAGAAAAGGAUACUCUUGCAACGUGAUGUAACAAUCAAUAUCCAUUUAAAAAAAUUAGAAGUUUACACAUUCAUUGUUCAGUUGCCAUUGAGGCCAAGUCUAAUUCUUCGUCGGAAUCAAUUACAUCCUCAAAAUCAUAAUAUGCUUUGACCUGCAUGUGAAGUAAUAACGGUUAGCUCCAUUUACAAGACCUCGAUAAGCAUAACAGUACGAUACAUCUAUUCUAUCAUCAUACAAGAUAAGAAAAAGGGCUACAAUUGAGAGGUGGAAUGUGAUUAAUCACCUUUACCAACAACUGAGGCAUUCUGAGCCUCUUUAAAGGGAAACCAAGAGGGUGUUGCGUUAAAGAAAGAUCUGAUUGGCCAUCAAGCAAAAGGACAAGAUGGUUUACGUCUUCAUUUUUUAUGCAGUGCAGAUACGAUCGUGGAUUAGCCAUUCCUCUCUUUUCUUUCAUCGCUCUUCUCUACUUGACCCGGUGCCUGGAGCUAAAACAAUCGGGGUGCAUAAAAGACUCGUUUUCACUCUUUCUUUGUUGAGUGCAUCAUUGGAACGUCAAAUUACAAACAGUACUUGUCCAGAUAUCUCUAGUUGGACUCCAAAUACAGUUUUCUAGAGAUCUUUAGAGAACUUGGGACUCAGAAGGCAUUUCAUUCAAGUUAAUAUUGAAGCUCAAACUCUUCAUUCAUUCCAAACUUUUUAUAUUAUACAUAACAUUCAUAUCCAUCUCACCUUUUAGCAAGAAGCGCUAGGUUAAAAGGCUAUUUCCACCCAAAAGCUCUGAGCAAAUUCUUUAUAGAUGGUAAUGCAGAUGGCAAAUUAAGCCAUUUGGCUUGUUCACAAUUUGCUUCUCAAUCGCUUGAAGCUGGCUGGCUUGCUAUCCGAGGCUUGAAAAAGAAGCUAAAUGGUACUAAAAGGAAAAUGGGAUUGGAGGCUUUUUCAUGAAUUAUCUGCUUUGUGGAGAAAAGUGAUGACUAAUAUUUAGUUGAAAGGAGGGAGAUCUCCUUGUCUAGUUACCCUUAAAACCCAAAAUUCAUCUCUAAGUCUUCCAUUUAUAGUAUAAUUGGAAAUUGGAAAGGCAACCAUUUAUUUCAUCAUGAAAAUAAACAAUUGUUGGAUAUAUGAAAUAACAAAAAAGGGAAAGGAUAAUUUAAGGCUAUGUUUAAGUAAAUUUGUGUAAUGGCAAUUUCGUAUAACUACAAAAGGAUCUUCCACCUUCGUAGGGCUUUAACGUGAAAGGUGUUUUAAGCCAUAAGAGGAAAUUAAAUUUGUCAUUGAAGAUACAGCUAUUUCUUCGGGCAUUCAAUUGCUUAUCGGGCUCGUUUUGAGAUAAUUUUGGGGAAAUUUUGCUCCAAGUUCCAUGAAUCUAUUGGCAACUUGGUUGGAUUUUAUAGCCUGUUGAGCUUAGUGAAAGAUUUUGGUAAUCUUUAGAUUUUGAUUUUGAUGUUUUGAAGAGGGUCAUGGAUUGGUUGAUAGUUAAGCCUCAAGAAGCUGGUUUUUUAUUUCUUCAAAAUUCAAUCAAUCAUAGAAGUCUCAUUUCAUGUGAAUCUUUUAUUUUCUCUUCUUUUAUUUGAUAUCUUGGUCUGGUUUUGAUUUACCAUUCUUACACUGACAAGUCUUUUAUAGCUUUAUGUUCCGUAUAUUCUUUCGUAAAUUUGCGCAUUAGUCUCAGUUCAUUAUUUCAAUGGAAAGCUUUGUUUCCCUUUUUUAUUAAAGAAAAAAAUGUCUACUGCAUUCGAUCUAAACGAACCACAAAAAGGCUCUCAUGAGGUGCAACCAUAAGGUCCUGCUUAUUUACAGAUUUAACCCAAGGGGUUCUAAAAAACAUCAAUUCCAUGACUAAUUUAACUCCCUGUGCUGUGUGCACCACGACUAAACAACUCUACUCCAGGCUACAAAUGUCAUAAGAGUCUCCUCCAUUGAAUGGAUAAUCCUCUAGAAUAAGAUAAAUUAGAUAUAUCGAUAGAAAGAACCACGACCCAAUUGAAAAUAGAGAUCAUGGCGCUCUAAAAUCUGUUAGAAUAAGGCAGAGGAUAAAGAGGUGGCUUUGAGACUCAUGGACUGUAUACUCUAUAGCAUAGGGACAGUGCACCAACACUAAUGGUCUAGGUCCUUUCAUUGAUAAUGCCAUGUUUGAAAAACUCUUGGAACACUCUAAUUUUGUUCUUUCUUGGUGUCCCCAUCCUUUCUAAAAAAUUCACAUUUGAAGGAAUCAGGACCUGAUGAUUUUUAGUUUCCAUUUGCCAAAGUUGAUUAAUAGAAAGAUUUCUGUUUCUUCAAACGGACUCUCUAACCAUUAUACUAAGCCACUGCUAAUAGGCUGGCAUGAACUUCCCUCUAGAACAAACCGUUGCUUCCAUCAUAUUCAUUUAGAGGAGAAAAUCCAUAAUUUCAUUCUACAUAAACUGGAAAUGGAGUUUUUACCCACUCUAUGAGAAGUCCAUCUAUGAAAGAGUUUUGAAAUAAGGUAGCUCUUUCAGCUAUUUUAGCUUAGCUUCUAACACAGCCGUUACUCUUUCAGAAUCAACUUCAAUAUGUUUUGUCUUGUCGUGAAGGACUGUAUUGUGGACAAUGGAAAUUGCUGCCUUAUUAUCACAGUAAAUGUGCAUGCACAUUGUCUGAGUGAACUUCAAUUCUUCCAACAGUCUUCUUAUCCAUAUAGCCUCACAAACACCAUGAGGUAAAGCUCUAAAUUCUGCUUCUCUACUACUUCUUGCAAACACUCUGUUUUUUACUUCGCCAAGUAACAUCCUCCACCAAAGGAGCAGUAACCAAAAGUGGAUCUUCUAUCCAUCGUGCUACCUGCCCAAUCAGCAUCAAUGUGAACUUCACCUUUGAGAUGGCCAUUCCUUUUUCUGAAGUACCUAUCAAACAUCUUAGGGUUCUAUAAACUGCAUCAAAGUCAGUUAACUUAGGACCAUGCAUGAACUAACUUACCAUACUGACUGCAAAAGCGAUGUCAGAAUGUGUGUGGAAAGAUAUACGAGUCUCUUCACAAGUCUCUGGUACUUUUCUCUUUCUUUUAUCUCAUUUUUUAUUGCAACUUCCAAUUUCAGAUUCUGCUCAAUCGCAGUUUCUGCCACCUUGAAACCAAAGAAAUCUUCUCUUCUAGCAUAUUAAGAAUAUACUUCCUUUGGUGGACAAGAAUGCCACUUUUGGACCUGACGAACUCCAUGCCUAAGAAGUACCUUAAAGUUCCUAGGUCUUUGAUCUGAAAAUCAUCGACUAACUUUUUCUUCGCCAGUCUUGUCUCAUCAUUGACGGUAGAAUGAUAUCAUCAGUAUACUCUACAGCCUUAUCAUUUUCUGUAUGUUUAUAAAACAUCAUAUGAUUGACUUGACUUUAAUUGAAUCUAUGAGUGAUAUAUAAUUAAAUUUUCCUUCAACCACCAGCUUAAGCUUUUGGGUGAAUUGGUGAUUUAAUAGAAUCCAUAGCUUGUGCCUGCUUUUUCAAAGGGUUCAAACCAUGCUCUAAGAGAUUGUUCGAGAGUGUAGAAUGAUCUCUUUAACUUGCACAAUUUGUUAAUUUCGAGAUCUACCUCAAACCCGGGUGGAACAUCCAUACAUACCUCUUCUUCAAGUUCCCAAUUGAGAAAGAUAUUUUUAACAUCCAUUUAAUAAAGGGGUCAAUCAAAGUUAACUGCAACAGACAACAAAAUUUUGAUAGAAUUGAUUUUAGCAACUAGAGCAAAUGUUUUUUGAUAAUCAACUCCCUAGGUCUAAGUAAACACCUUAGCAACCAAUUUGGCCUUGUACCUUUCAACACCACCAACUUUACAUUUCACCGUGAACACCCACUUGCAUUCAAUUGUUUUCUUUUUUUUUUUAGUUCAACUAUGUCCCAUGUGCAAUGUUGUUUCAGAGCAUUCAUCUCUUCCAUCACUGCUAAUUUCCAAUUCAAAUUACUUAAGGCCUCCUGUAUAUUCCUUGGAACAAACAGGUUGGUUAUUUUGGAUGUGAAGGCUUUGUGACUGUCAGACAAUCUAAGAUAAGAAAGACAAUUUGCAAUGGGAUAUUUGACAAAAUUAAAAGUACCUUUCCUAUGGGCAACUGGAAAUAUCAAGAUCAGAGACAUCAGAUAAGGGAUUAUGAGAAAAACUGAGAGAAUUAGAAGAAGGAGAAUGUAUUUUACCUGGAUCUUUAGAAUCAUUUAUCGAGGUAUUAGAUUGAUUUUGUGAUAGAUCAACCAUCUGUUCUCAAUUCUUUUGAGUUAAGUUUCUUCUAGUGUAAACCCGUAGUUUUUUUACUUGUCAAGUCAGUCGGUACUGUUUCUCUGCCUACAAGAAGAACUCUCCACACUUGGCAUCAAAGAAUUAGAACUCAUAAUUUCAUAAUCAAUGAUGUUUGGGAUAAGUGAAGUGUUCCAAAAAUUAUCUUUCAAGAUUAGGUCUCCCCCCUAAAGAGAAUUUUGGCCAAAAAAAAGGGUUGAUUCUCCAAAAAAGACACAUGCAUACUCUCAAAGUACUUUCUGGUCGGAGGGUCAAAACAUUUGUAAGCCUUCUUAUGGGAGAACAACCAAACCUUGAAUGAUUGGCAUCUCCACCAAAGGAGUGUCUGUUCUCCUUAUUUUAAAGAAACUAUAAUGCUAUGGCGUCAGAAGGCUUACAAAUCUAGACAUAUACACCAAAUACAAGAAAGGUUUGGUUGUUCAUCAGCCUUCAGACACCAAAGCAUUAUAGUUUCUUUAACUUAAGGAGAACAGACACUACUUUGGUGUAUAUCUCCUAAUUUGACAUUUCAACUCGAUUUCUACUCGUAUGAAUCAAAGAGAUCUAGGUCUCGCCAAAUCUUUUCGAAGGAGUGAAAGUAUUGUGUCACUGAGUUACUUUUUUGGCUUAUAUCUUCCUAGUUUGAGAUUCAACUCAAAAACUUGUGAUUGAUUGCCUAAAUAAGAGUACAUUUGUGUCACACUGUCCCACGAUUCCUUGGUCGUAGAGUAGCACAUGUAAUUACAGUUGAUGUCUUCAACCAUGGAGUUUACAAGCCAAGUCAUAACCAUGGGAGUUUUCAACAUCCAAUGCAGCAAACAAUGGGUUGUUUGGUUUUGAGGCAGUUUUCUCUCUGAUAAUGAAGCCAAGUUUCCCUUGUUCACGAAUAUAAAGUCUAACACCUUGUGACCAACGAAGAAAGUUGACUCCAUUAAGUCGCAUUGUGGUGAUUUGGAUAGUGGGGCUAUUGGAAUGGAUACAAUUAUCGACUUUAGCCAUAGGUAACUUAGUAUUUGACAUGGUUGAAGCAACAAAGGUAAAAAAAACGGAGAGAACAGAUCUGAAAACACAAACCAAUCUUGUCAUUGGCAGCGGACGACUCAGAAAGGGGUAACCGGCAAGGACCACAACAAACAACGGCAAACAAAAAAAAAACCAACUUACAAACAAAAAUCGCAAGAAAAUGCAGGUACUAGAGACGUCCGACAAGUUGUGGUCGGCAAGGCGAUCAGUCAAAGUAGAACUACUGGCAACGACAAACCUUGAGGGGCAGAACACAUGGCUAGCGCUGGCAAAGGGCUAUAAGAGUUUUAGGGUUUUUUAGGGUUUCAAAAACCUUCUCUGAUACCAUGCCAAAGAAUGUAAUUUUUAGUAUACCUCACAAAGAGAAAAGGGUUUUCUUAAAUAGAAGAACAACACAUCUACAAAGAAGCAAAAAAAAUUGGCAAAUAUAAUACAACUAGUACAAUAAAAUAUAAUACAAAAAAGAAAAUAAUCAUCAUAUAGUUCUAUAUCAAAGUAGGAAAUAUCCACCAACUUGAGAAUAAUUUUCCAAACAAGGCAAUAACUUGCUACCUUCGGUCGUGGAGUAAUGGCUUCAAAACUAUGAAUGAUUGGAACAUCAAAAUUCGGAGGUUCUAGAACAAUAUAUGCACCUUUGUUUUUGUAUCUUUCCUCAGUGGCCUACAAGGGAAAAACAAUAAGAAAACUAGUUCUCAUUUCAAGUGAAAUAAAAGGUAAUAUAAAGUUUACUCAUUUAUCAAAAAGGUUCCCAACUGGAACUUAGGGAAGGCUGAAAGAUAGACAGAUUGGCCCAUGUAGAAUAAUUGCUAAAUAUGAGCCAAAUGCCUACAAGAUUGAGUUGUCUGAAGGGUUCAACAUCAGCCCAAUUUUUAAUAUUACUAGUUUACUGUUUUAGCUUACUGUUAUAGUUUAUUAAAACUACUUAGUUAGUUACAAAGUAACCAACUUGUAUUACUUUUCCUCAAUAAAUAAACACCUCUCGUAUUGAGAGGCAAGAUAUUCAUUCAUUCAAAAAAUAGUCUUUGAUAUUACACCAUAUUAUAUCACUGACACUGAUUUUUUUAUUGCCAAGUUGAUGGAUAGAAAACUUAUCCCUUCAAGCUGAGUUUAAAUAGACAAAAGGGAAGAACUCAAAAGAAAUACAAAAAUUAAAAACAAUCUAUGUCAUCCACUCUACAAAGAGAUAAAGAUCCGGUCAAUACCUGAAAUUGUGGAUAGUCUGGAGCACUAAACAAAGUAAUCAGCUUCCCUGAAUCUACAACAUGAUCUAUCGUGUAACCCUGAUCCAUUCCUGCAAGACCGGGUCUCUUUUCUCUAGCAUCAGGACCUUCAUGGGAUCUGAUAAUUAGCUAGACAACCGAAAGGAAAAGGUUACAAACUGAUUGUUCAGACAAUUUGCUUUAUGUUAUAAAAUACGUCUAGAGUAAUGUUGGAGCGUCCAACAGUAUAUGCUACGUUAGUUGACAGAUGGAAAGUUAGGAAGUUGGACAAGUUUUUACUUGUUAGUUAGUGAGUUCGGGUGUACCGUGUACAACAUGACCUGUAUCAGUCCUUGUUUUCUCUAUUUCUGUCGACUUUAGAAUUAAAGCACCAAAUUCACCAUGUCAAAGAGAUGGAACAUGAAAGGGGAAUCUAUGAAGGAUAGAGUAAAGUCAGCUGCAGAAGAGAUUAAGAAGACAAAAUACAGAAGAAAAAAAAGAAUGGAAAUGGAGAGGGGAUUGCAAUACUCUUGGAACGAUGGAGAAGGAAACCAGCAAGCAACCAAAAAACCCUAGAAGGCUAGAAGAACCAUAUCAUGAGGCUUGAUCUAUACGUUAAGCUUCUAUAUCUAUAAGAACAGUUAAAAGGAGAAGAAAGCAAAACAUACUUAUCCUAAAAGAUAUAUAGAAAUGGAGAAGAAAAAAACUUUUUUGUUAAGAAAAAACAAAAGAAUACACAGACAUUAAAAAAACUAUCGGGCCUAUACAAGAAGGGGCUCUAAGCAAGAGAAAUAAGUCCAAGCGAAUAAUUACAAAAGAGCCUAGAAACAAAGAGCCAAAGAUAAGCAUAGAAUCUAACAAGAAACCAAACAUCAUCAAAAAAACUAUUGAGCCCACUAUUGGUUCACCUAACUGCCACAAAGCAAACCCUUCAUCACAGAAGGGCAGAUGAAGGAAAAGCUCUUCAAAUGCCUCCCUACACUAUCAUGGAGAAGCCUUCGUAUCAAGGGUCCACUGCCACUAAUCAAUCUCCUCUUCCGGAAGGUAGCAUCUCCCAUAUUGUUUAGGAUAUCACAAGUCAAGGAGGUUCUAAUGAUUGAAAUAUAGGAGGGAUGGAAUGCCAGAUGGAAUAUUAUUAAAAGAAUCAACCUUAACAAUAAUGAGUUGGAUUAAUUCCAAUCUCCAUGGAAGAGAAGGUAGAAGUUAGUUGGUGUUCGGUAUUCCAUCUAACAAGCUCAUCCACAUUCUCAUGAGAUACUUCGUCUUUGGAUUAACAAACACAAGAUUAAUUUUGAACCCCAAAAGGAAAAUAGUGAAUGUAAUACGGAAAGGCAACCAGAAAAGGUGAAAUCUUUUACUUGAAGUAUUUGCCAUGAAGUCUUAACAUAGCCUAAAGGUUCCAAUAAAGAAGAUGAAGCGUGAAUCUUGGUCCAUCUCAGAGUGUCUUUUGCUAGAGGGAGGAGGAAUAGAGGAAGAAAUUAAUGUGUUUCUUCCCAAUGCAACUGGGAAAGAUUGAUGUAAAUAAGAACAAGAGAAUCGUUAUAAAAUCGUCUAGAAACAAGGAUGAAAAACAAAGAAUCUAUUAAGGGUCCAAACAUCAAAAUAAGAACUCACGCCCUCUAAAAAUUUUGAUGUUUCUCGGUCUCUGAAGGCCCACAAAGUAGCUCAUAAUCCGUAUUAAUACAGAUGGCUUAGUUGUUGAUGUCACAUAUAAUCAGCUUGGAUCAGACAACACUCAUGCUUUUAUGCAAAUAAAGAUGGCUAACAUAAACCUGGGCGCAGUCCAAGCAACAAAACUUAAAUAGUCGAGUGACUAUAUACUUCUAUUUAAUAUUUCAAACAAGUUUUGGACCCACUGACUGCCACCGGUAAAACUUAAUUCAUUAGCUAAGAAUUGCAUUAAAAAUGUAUCUCUGACAAGAAACGCUUUUAUAGAUGACAAGAAAUAACCAAAAAGGAGGAAAAAACUCAAGCCCCAAACCAGGGGAGGGUUGUAUUAAAAUAUAUCUUUUAAAGAAACAAUAUAGAUGUCCUGAUUCAAACACACACACGCGUUUUAACAUCUAAAAUAAACUAAGGAAGUGUUUGUUAUAGUUACCUUCAGAUCGAAUUUUUUCAAGAAUUCUUCAGUGCAAUCAGGACCCCACAAGAGACCAAUGCCCCUCUCUCUAUUUGGGGAGAGACCAGGAUUCAUAGAAGGAUCAGACCACAACACAUCGCCCGGAAUUAAAUUCAAGCCUUCCCAUGGGGGAUCAAGAACAGAUCUUCUGGCUUUGGAUAGCUCCUCCAAAGAACCAAAGAGAUAACCCGUUGGCUUCCGGAUUUAAGAUUAUCCUACGAUUUUUUUUUCCUUUCGAUCUUUUAGACGAAGGAACUGAUAUACUGCGGAAAAGUCCUCCAUGAGCCGUAUAUACACAUCCAGCAAUAAUGGAGGCUAAAGGCAGCCCUUCGAAACACCCCAAACACUUCCGAUAGACGUGCUUACCUCUGUCUCCAUACUUGGCUAGCACCUCCUUCUCAAAACCAUAAACGGAUGUGCAGUACUUGGAUUCGUGGUUUCCACGAAGAAGAAAUACACGAUGUGGCAUAAACACCUUUAGACAUUAUGGAGCAGAAUUUAAUCAAAGGAAAACCACCUGUUCAAGGCAAAGAAAGACUAGAAAGUAGCAAGGAUAAAUGUGAUGCAAUGUUUUUCUUUUACAGAAGGGCAACUACUUCUAGGCUGAGAUAAUAGAGAUUGGACAGAGACUAGAUAGAGAAGAUUAAACAGCAGGCCACAUGCUACUGUACGCAUAACAUAAAAAUCCCGACGAUGCAGGGAACAUGGUUACAUGAAUGAUUAAAAGUAAAACUGAUGUUCAAAAAUACCUUCCAAGCCAAUAAGAGCAAAAAAGUUUCAAGACCCCAAGCCCCUCUGUCGACGUAGUCCCCAUUGAAGACAAAGAAACGGUUUUCAGAAGGAAAACCAGCAUCCUGCAGAAGAAAGAGGAGAUCAUGAAAUUGACCGUGGAUGUCUCCGACGACGACUACAGUGGAGUCGCUGCUGGGGGGUGAAUCUUGGAGGAUUUUGAGGCAAUUGGGUUCUUUGUGGAGGAUUUUAGAAGCGGUGAGGAUUAGAGUGUCGAAAACAGAGACGGGAAGGACGGAAGGAAAGUGGGAUGGAGGUAAAUUUUUGGAAGACCAGUCGAAGGCGGCGAUUAGAUGGUGUAUCCACUGGAGGGAAAGGGUGGCAUCGGGAGGCCAAGAGAGAGGUAAGUGAAUCGGAGGUGGAGUGGAAGAAGGUGAAGAUGAUGUGCAGGGAUUUUCGUCAGAUUCAGAGAGGGUGGAGGAGGUGGUGGUGGAGGGUAGAUGAUCGAAAGGAGCCGGAGUAACAUCCGUGGGAAUCGGAUUGGGCGACGCUGAAGAAUCCAAAUCCGGAAAAUGCUUCGACGACAUUGUUAUUUUCUUCGUCGUUGAAUGAUGAGAGAUGUAGCAAGCCCUAGCAAUGGCAGCGCCUCCAUUUCUAUACUAUUUUAUUUUUUUACACUUAACUACUGCCAUGCCACCCGCGCGCCAGCUCCUUUUGCACUCCACUGUCCCAUUAAUUAGGCAUCACCAUUGCCAUAAUAUGCUGGCCGAAAAGUUUUCAUUAAACCGAGCCCAUCUAUCGAACCCACCACUCGCAAUGACCCUAUUCAAAAUUAAACUCUAAUUUAAAUCAGUGAGUUUUUAUAAAUUAAAAUAAAAAUGACCAACUAUUUACCAAUAUAAAAAAUAUAUAAAAUUAUUUAACUAUUAUUUUUUAAUGUAAAUAUUUUAUAAAUUUAUUAUUUUUAUAAUUUAUUAAGAAACAUUUUUAAAAACAAUAAAAUAAAUUAAAAUGUCUACCCGCUGUACCAAAAUAAACAAAUAAAUUUAGAAGAGUGUCAAUGAGAGCAGAUCACCAAAAUAAAAUAUAUUCUCCACAUAUAAAUAUAUAUAUAUUCCAUUUGCACAUAUAAAUAACGAUAUCCUGCGUGAAGUUGGGUUAAACUUUUCAAAGCAUUUCUUUUCAGACGAGACAGACAACCGGCGGAAGCCACCAAAAAAGAAGAUUAUAUUCCGGAUCGAUUUUUCAAUAUGGACCCUAUCACAUAUGAGAGGAUUACGCGGCGGCAGAGGCGGUCCUGCAGAGGCUUCCGGCUCACCUCCAGAAGACUGUCGGUGUCAAAGCUGCGGUCCAAAUUCGGGUGGCUGUUGCGUAUCUUAAAUCGGUGGCGGCGCUCCAUUGUUGAGAUUAAGAAGAGCGGAACAUCAUCAAAAGGUUCUUCUAAUUCAGCUGCGCAAGCUGCGAAGCUCAGGUCCUUCCGCCGCUCCAACUCCUUCUACGCCGAAGCCAUUGCCGAUUGCUUGGAUUUCAUCAAGACCACCUCCUCCUUCUCAACGCCUCCUUCCACUAUACCUACACAUACCUUCUAAUUUUCUAGCUUUUUUUCUUCUUUUCUUUAUCGCAUCCCAUAUGGUAUAUUAUAUUAUUACUGGCGAUGGUUUAAUCCUUUCCUACACAAUCAAUUGAACAUACUUCUUCACCUUACUCCUAAUACUAUCUAUCAAUUAUCAUCAUAAUACAUCAUUUAUUUUAUUUCAGCUUCUAAACUAUAAACAUUUCAACUAAAUUUGAAAUACCCAAUUUAAUUAUCAAAUUAUUUAUGCAUCCAUGUUUUCACUUAUCAUUAUCCCAAUUAAAAAUCUCUCGUUUGCUCGUCCCCAGGCCCAGAUUGUUGUUCUACGCUCUUCUACUUUUAAUUAUCUGCCAUUGAAUUUUAAUUUUAUUUGCAUCACUUGCAAUGAGUAUAGUAUUUUAAAAUUAAUAAUUAAAUAUAUAUCUAAACUCCUAUAACGAUUUAAUCUCUUGUAUAUUUACGAAGUGAGAUGAUAUUAAUUUAAAAUAAUAUGGUGGGGGUAGAAAAUUGUGGUUGAGUAUUUAACGAAGAACAAAUUUAAUUAGUUGAGUUUGAGUAGGUGAAAAAGAAAAAUUGGAAAUGGAAAUUGUGAGAAAGAUCCGUGAUUACGCCACCUACUUCAUUUCUAUCUUUUGACUAAUGCGUUGCGUUCCAUCAUUGAAAACAAGGAACCAACGCAGCACUUUCUUCACCUGCUCUUCUUUCAAUCUUUUUUUUUAUAAACAUUUCUUGAUUUCAAUGCUAAAUUGUAAUCACGGCUCUUUUGGUCCAAACUUUAUUUUAAAAUUUUUAAUCAUUUUCAAUCAUUUUUUUUUUACCUACACAUUAACAUACCCCCAAUUUAAAUAUUUUGAUGUAGCUAAGGGUGUGGUAUAUGCUUUAUCGCUACAAUAAUACUUUCGUGCAUUUAAUUUUAAAUAUCUAAAAAGUUAAAAAAAAAAAUUGACAUGUGAUUGAACAACAUGUUAUGUGAUUUACAUGUGUACUCAACACAACAACGAUUUUGUUUAAUAAUGGAAUAUACUACCUUGCAAAGUAAAAAAGUUCACUAAUGAAUUAUUAUGGAGUUGUAAUGAUGGACGGUGAAUAUAUAUAUAUAUGUAUAUUGGGUAGAUAAUUUAUGAUUUAAUUUCUAAUCUUCCUCUUCAAAUUUGGGCUUCUCAAGUUCUCAAUUUUUUCUCUCAGUUACUACGAGGUUGAAGAGGACCCAACUUGUACUUCUACUGGUGAUUCAUUUGCCCAAAUCUAUCAGUGAUAUAUUAUUAAAAUUUUGGAAUAGAUUGGUUAGGAUAGUGUUAAGGAGAGUAUGUCAAAUAAAAUAAGAAAGUUAGAUUGGAAUUUCACGUGGAUCGUUAUGCUUUCAAUCUUUAAAACCCGUUUUUGAAUAAUGAUAUACUAUUGAUAGGUGAAGCCCCAACCAACACCUAAGAAGUCAGCUUAAGAAAGUCAUUUCAAAUGAGGUUCAUUAAUUAGUUAAACAACUUAACUUGAACUCAAAAGGGACAACAAAGACAAGUAUGUAAUCCAUAUUAAUUGCUCAUUGAUUUAUUGGAGUCUAUAUAUUGAUGGAUUUUAAUUUGUAUUUGUAUUAUACAAAAUAAUUAAUAUAUAGAGACACAAAUGAAUUUUCUUCUCAUGGACAUACACAUACACACAUAUGAACAAGGACCAAUAUAACACCAACCAACCUAGAGAGAAAAAUGAAUUCUCUAUUCAUAAACAAAUUUUAAACCACAUAUAUCGAUCAAUUUAUCAACCACAUGUUCAUUAUUUGACUAUUGAAAAUAACUAUCAUCUUAACUUUAGAAGAUUACUCGAUGGAUAUUAAUUAUUGUAAAACGAUCGAGGAAUUAAUAUUCAAAAUUAUUGCUUGAGAACCAUCUUUUUGUGACAUGUCAAAAUAUUGUAACCAUUAGCAAAACAAGGACGAGGAAAAACACAUACUAAAGUUUGGUUGAAAUUAAAACAUUAAUUAAGAAGGAAAAAGGAGAUGAUGUUUUGAAUAAAAACAGUGAUAUCCUAAUUAUCCAAACAAUUGUAUAGUGUGGCAUAGAGAAAAGAUAAAAGAGAAGCGUAUAUGAAGUCUAAUAUCCAAAAGAUUUUAACCCUAAACCCAAAGUUAGGUCAUUUGACAAAGAAAAAAGAUUAAGAAACCGGAUGAAUCAAAUUCACUCUUAUAAAAUUACCAUACAUAUCAUGAUGAAAAUACCAUGCGACGUUUGGGGCAAGUUACGGAGUUGGUUAUCAAAGCUCAAAAUUAUUAUAGUAGGGUUAUAAGAUUUUUUAUUGUUUGAAGUUAUAUAUUAUUUAAGUUCAAGUUAGUAUGUGUUUGAGGUUGUAAGGUAUUUUAGUUUGAUAAAAAAAAAUACAUAUUUUUUCAUUUUCCACUUCUUCUAUUUUGUAUGUUGUCUUCCUUCUUCUCUGGCGCUUUUCUUCUUAUUUGUUUUUCAAAUUUUUAUUUGUUAGGCAGUUUUUCCCCAUUUUUUGUGUUUCUACUAUAGAACAAAACGAAGGAGCGAGAAGCGGGAGAUCGAAGUGAAAGGAAUCAUAUGAACAAAGUAAAAAUCAAAGAGAAAAAAUUAUUGUUGCGUUUGAUAAGAAACUGGAAACAGAAAACUAAAAUAAUAAGUUAUAACAAAAAUCUAGUAAGAGAAACUGAAUCACAAAAUUAUCAAAGAAAAUAAUAUUUGCCAAGGAACUAGAAAAAGGAGCUAAAAACUAAAAAUAUAAAAUAUAAAGGAAGAAAUGUUCAAUGAGGAACUAGAAAGAGAAGUGUCAACUCGAGGCCUUCACCACGGUUUGAGGACAAGAUGAUACUUUCACACGUGACUGACAUAAACAAAAUGUCAUUUUCAAGCAAAUUUAAAUCUUGGAUUAACUUUCAUUUGGGCUCAUUCGAACAAACUUUAUUCUUUCGGAGGAUGAAGUGUAAUCAAGAUUAUUGAGAAUCUAAAAGAUGUUAGGAUGAGUGAUUUAUCAAUGGCAAAACAAAAAUGAUGAAAUAAAGAGUUGAAUCGAGGAUUGUCGGAAUGAAAUAAGUUUGAUAUUACAAAUGGGGUCCAAAAUGCUUAAUCAAACACAUGAAUCUUGGAAUAUAUGACAUUACAAACGCAUCCCACUUUAGUCCACAAACAACUCUUAUUAGAACUUGCACACUUAAAAGAGUAACUUCAUCUUUCCAUUUUUUAUACCUUUCACACCUACCAAGAAAACUCAAUCUUACUCUCUAUCUCUACUUUAGCAUUUGCCAAGUAAAUUUAUCUUACUUUCUCAAUCUAUUUUUCACAACUAUUAUUAAAUUUAAUAUUUAAACUCUACACCCUAAACACAAAUUUACCAAUUUCAACGUAUUAACCCCUCAAUUACUAACUCAAUUAGCGGGCCAAAUGCCCCACAAGGACGUAUAGGUCUUAUUUGGUUAUUGGUUGUGUUGAAAGGUUUAAGGAAACGAUAACUAGAACAAUUAUCAAAAGAGCUUUUUUUAAAAAAAGAAAAAAUUUCAAAACGUGCUAGUUAUAAACUUUAAGCUUGAGAAUGAUUGCUUGAAAAACACAAAAAAAAAAAAAAAAAAGCUUUAUUCAGUCUUAAAAUUUGUUGGUUUAUGCUUAAUUUAUGAUAUUUGAUGUUUUUAUUCAUGUUUAAUUUUAAGAAAUCCAAUGCUUGGACCAACACAAGCAAUUUCCAGAGUAAAAUGAUCAAAGUACCCUUUAGAAAGUCAAAAUUCGACUUGGAGCCAAAAAAAAGGUGAGGAAUGCGGGUACGACAUGCUGCAUCAUAGUUAGGUCAUAACUUUUGAUUCAAGGCGACUGUUUUGGACGAAUGAUCCAUCGUUUUCUUUAUUUUUUCAACCUCUAUCUAGACCUUGCAUUAGUUUUGAGCUUUGAUUACCGAUUUUGGAAAGACUUAUGAAAGUUUGAUUAGGGCCUCCAUCGAGAGUCGAUUUUUGGACCUAGAUGACAAUUUGGAACUUCAAAUGAGUGGAGAUAUAUACGAAGGAAACACAAGAGUAUAAGUAUGAUUCAUAUUUGAGGACGAUAGUCAAGAGCCCAACUUGUAUCUCCUUUCCUCUUUAUUUUGUUAAUUUUAUAUGUACUUAGAAACAUCGUGAAUAGUUUACGCUUGUUAUGUAUCCAUGAAUAAAAAUAGUGGAUAUGUCUUAGGAGGGAUGAUUUAGCACGUUGUUUGGGUUGCAAGAACCUUUUUACUUUUGUUUGUUUGAUAUUUUUUUUUAUUUGCUUUUAUUAGUUUGGGGAUGACUAUAAUUCUUUUGCAGUCAUUUUGGUUUUCAUGUAAGUUUGAAAGGAUGUAAGUCUUUGUUGGAUAAAAAGAUAAGCAUGCCUUGUUUCACACUAUAGGCAUAAUUCACAGAGUAUUAGGAAGGGUUAUGAAAUGGAAUAAUGGUGAUGGCUUGAACAACUUGGAAUAAUGUGAAAUCAAAGGAUAAGCAUACCUUUUUUGACACUAUAGGCAUAUUUUUAAGCUAUAUGUUUGAAUUAAUAUAACAUAAAGCAUUGGGAUUUAAACCUAAAAAGAAAAAGGGUAAAAAGAAAAAUAAUUAAAGAAAUCAGAAUGAGCAGAGGGCUUGGCUGUGGAGGGAAUGAGAAUAAUAAUAACGAUAAUAAAAGAGGGUUGAAUACCAUUCCAAGCUUACUGCGAAAAGCGCUCUAUUCUAUUUGCCGCGCCUCUGCCCCUCCUUCUCCAAUAUCUUCCGCUCCCAUCUCCUCCAAGUCAACGACCUCAACAUCAAUGGCGGAUGCUACCGAGACUCUUAAAACCAAGGUUUGCGUUAUUGGGAGUGGCCCUGCUGCCCACACUGCUGCCAUAUAUGCCGCCCGUGCCGAGCUCAAGCCUAUUCUCUUCGAAGGAUGGAUGGCCAACAACAUCGCUCCCGGCGGCCAGCUCACUACAACAACCGACGUUGAAAACUUCCCUGGAUUCCCCGAAGGCAUUCUUGGCAUCGAACUCAUGGACCAUUGUCGCAACCAGUCGCUUCGCUUUGGCACUCAGAUCUACACCGAGACCGUAACCAAGGUCGAUUUCUCAUCCAAGCCAUUUAAGGUCUUUGCCGAUUCGAAAACCGUCCUCGCCGAUUCUGUGAUUGUCGCCACUGGUGCGGUUGCCAAGCGAUUGACAUUUCCUGGCUCCGGUGAAGGGAAUGGGUUCUGGAAUCGGGGUAUUUCGGCUUGCGCUGUCUGUGAUGGAGCUGCGCCUAUUUUCAGAAACAAGCCCUUGGCGGUCAUUGGGGGCGGAGAUUCUGCCAUGGAAGAAGCCAAUUUCCUCACCAAGUAUGGCUCCAAAGUGUAUAUUAUCCACCGAAGAGACACUUUCAGAGCUUCCAAGAUCAUGCAACAGCGCGUCUCCAGCAACCCUAAAAUCGAGGUGAUCUGGAAUUCGGUGGUUAAGGAAGCUUAUAGCGACGCUAAUGGGCGAGUCCUGGGAGGUCUGAAGGUCCAUGAUCUGAUCUCCGGAAAGGUUUCUGAUUUGGCAGUUUCCGGAUUGUUCUUCGCUAUUGGUCACGAACCAGCCACCAAAUUCUUAGAUGGACAACUGCAACUCGAUUCUGAUGGGUAUGUGUUGACGAAGCCAGGCCAGGGACGACGCAUACCAGUAUCCCGGGAGUCUUUGCUGCUGGCGAUGUUCAGGACAAGAAGUACAGACAAGCUAUCACUGCCGCUGGUACAGGUCAGUAAAAAUGUUUCUGCUUUCCAUAAUUAUUUUCCUUCUUCCUUGUGCCUGUUUGUCACCAGACAUGGCCAUAAGUGAGGUAAAAACUUCAAGAAAAAUACAUAUUAGAUUUGAAGAUGAAUGUGUAUUAGAUUAUGCAACAAAAAGUUUACUCCGAACUGUCUAUAUCCAAGUCUAUUGCAAAUGUUGCAUUUAGUUUCUAAUAUAUCUGAUAAAAUAUAGAAAAAUGAAAUGAUUGAGGUCCACGAGAACGAACUUCCAAACACUUGGUGCCUGUGUCUUGAGGCGUUAGGGACACCGCCAGGCUAAAGCUUUUCCUCAUAAAAACAUUGCUUGAGUGAAACAAUGUUUUGCUAUUUUAUUUGUAAAAACGGAUACACACGUUCAAAUAUUUAGUGUACUUGAAUACAUAACCUAAAUUGUGAAGGACAGGGAGCACAUAACAUCAAUUUUACCUCCUAGGAACUGUUUAACAAGACAUGCAUACUAGUUGAUCUAAAUAGGAGAAGAUAAAGAAUUCUCUCCCUAAUUUAAUCAGGAUAUGAGGUCCGAUUAGCCCAAAUAAUGGUUAGCAAGUAAUUUAAGGAGGCUGCAUGUGUUGUGCACCAUGAAGCCUUAGAAUAGGUGGUAAUUUCCCGAUCAGUCUCGAAAUUUGUCUCUAACCGUUGGAGAGCUGCUUCUAUCCCUUUUAAUCCAAAUUAUCCAGAAAAUACAAGUCACUCACGUACUUCCUCGACUUCAUCGUGUGUGAAUGUGUAUGGAAGAGGGAAAUUCAUAAAAUAAUUAAUUUUAAAGUUAUUUUAGAAACAACUUUUAUCAUUGAAAAAAAAGUGAAAGAAUACAAAGGCAAAUUAAAAAAACAAGCCCAACAAAAAACAGUCCCGCCAAAGGAAGGGGAUGAAACUAAGAUUAAUGUUUUCUAGCGAAUAGUUAAAAAAGAGGAAAAACUUCGAAACCGUGUGGUGAAAGGGGUGAAAAGCACAGACCGUCCUUUUUUGUUGUACCGGUGUGUGCCUUUAAUUCCAAAGAACCCACUAAGAUUAAUUUUGAGGUUGUUUCAUUGUUAUAACAUUUAAGUCCAUAUCAAAAGAAAUCCUCCACUAACAUUUUAAGUCCAGAUCAAAAGAAAUUCUCCACUCGUUUUCCUCUCUCCUUUAUUAUUUCCAGAACGUUAUAUAUCUUAUCUGCUCAUGCCUCUGUGGACACACUUGAGAUAAACGUAUUGAUCACAACUUGGCCAAACCCUACUGGGACUUUGCUUCUACCUUUUCCAAUUUCUCUUCGUGAAGGGAAGCACUUCUACUUCUCCCUUUCUUCCCGAUGCACAAGGAGGUAUAGGAGGGAAAUUACUUUAGGAUGGAGAGAAAAAGGUGUGAGCGUGGAAUUGUGUAGCAGGUAUUUGGGCAAUAUAUUAUUUAAUGGUGUGGAAUUGUAUAGCGUCGCCCCAAAGAGGAUUCUAUUAUUAGGCCUAAAGUGAAAUGAAAAGCUAACAUGCUUAAAUCCCAUAUGAAGAACUCUAAAUAAUAUUGGAUGGGUUUUCAUGGCUAUAUUUACGAGGAGUUGCUAAAAUAUUAGUGGAGCCGCGCUUCUUUGAACGUGCAGAUGUGACAGUGAACCUGAUUCAUGAUUGAGAAGUAGGAGCACUGAAUUAUAUACAUAUGUAUUAUUAUUAUUAUUAUUCAUGGCAGUGAAAGUUAUUUGUCGAAGUUUAGACAAUGGGACUUACCUCAUUUUAAAUUUAGUCCCCUGUUCCUUUUCCUUGUAAAAAAAAAGUUACUUUUGUUCGAAAAUCAUGUCUUUCUUUCACUUGUCCUUCAUAAAGGUUGAUCGAAUGAAGUUGCUUCCUUUCCUAAUAUUUAUUUGCUGUGGUACAGGUUGCAUGGCAGCAUUGGAUGCGGAGCAUUACCUGCAAGAAAUUGGUUCUCAAGAGGGGAAGAGUGAUUGAUGAUAGACUUUGCCUGGGUUUCUCAAAGUUGGCCGUAGAGAAUUUGAAGACAAAUGGCCAAAUGUUAAGAACGACUGUGGAAGGGAAAGCUUGUUAAUUAUUGAUUUUGGGGAGCUUAUGGGGAGGGAUUGACGGGAAAUUGUUAUAGUAUUUUGGAAGAAGGUUAUUCAAGAUAACCUUUAACUUGUGCACUGGAUUUGUGGUGGUUGGUUUAAAAUCUAUUGCAGGUUUGGGGAGUAAGGUUUGAAAGUGUAAACUUGGUUUUCAUGCUUUGUAUUAUUUCUUACAUGGGAUAAUUUUAAAUAACAUUUGGAUCACCUUUUUCUUAAUUUAGAGACUUUUAAGACACUUUGGAGAUGAAAGACUCGUAUGUAGUUUUUCCCAAAAUCUUCUUUCGAAAUUUCCUCCCAUGAGCAUUCAACAAGAAGUGACACCUCCUGUUGCAUGAACUCCAUAACAGUGGACAAGGGAAUUUGACAAAUGUAAAACGGGAAAAAGAUAGAGUUGAUGAAAAUUUCACUGAGCGCUCCAGAGCAUCAUUGAACACUACUUUUCCUUCUCCUUCACCCCUUUUAUUUUUGGCUUCAUUUUAUAUUCUCUUGCAACUUUUCUUCUCGCAAUUCCCUUGCCCACCGUCAGUCACCCAUCUCUCAGAAUAUGUUGACAGUAGCUUGGCUCAAGCCAAACCUAAGCAGGUGGUACCACACACGUUCAC